rnacentral:lncRNA from 1 species
AACUGAAGAUUAAAACCUAGUAUUAGAAAGGAAAACUAAAUUAACACCAAUUUGCCCAAAAUUAAACCAUGUAUUAUACUAAAUUAAUUCACAAGAGAGUUCCACAUCACUCAAAUAUUAUCUCGCACUCAAAUUCACAAAACUCACUUUCCAGGUACAAAGUUUGUAGCAUAUGACCAUGCAUUGUUUGCAACCGGGUCCGCAAGAUGGUCAGCGAGGUUCUCCAAUGGUCCCUUUCCGGUAACAAUGGCUUGAACAAAGAAUCCAAACAUAGAGAACAUGGCUAGUCUGCCGUUCUUGAGCUCCUUCACUUUCAGCUCAGCAAAUGCCUCUGGGUCAUCAGCCAGACCCAAUGGGUCGAAGCUACCACCAGGGUAAAGUGGGUCAACUACCUCACCAAGAGGUCCACCAGCAAUUCUGUAACCUUCAACUGCACCCAUCAAGAUCACUUGGGUAGCCCAGAUGGCUAAAAUGCUUUGUGCAUGGAUCAAACUUGGGUUCCCCAAGUAGUCAAGACCACCCUCACUAAAGAUCUGGGAUCCAGCCUUGAACCAGACAGCCUCACCAAACUUGACACCAUUACGCGCCAAGAGUUCGGGGAAGACGCACCCAAGAGCUCCGAGCAUGGCCCAUCUGCUGUGGAUGACCUCAAGCUCACGGUUCUUGGCGAAUGUUUCAGGAUCAGCAGAGAGCCCAGCAGUGUCCCAACCGUAGUCACCGGGGAACUCACCGGUCAGGUAAGAUGGGGCUUCGCCGGAGAAUGGGCCAAGGUACUUAACACGGUCGGGGCCGUACCAUGGACUUCCUGAUGGUGCGACUUUCUUGACUGCUGUCUUCCUCAUGGAAACCCUUCCAUUUCCGGUAAUUUCAGAACCAGAUGGUGCUACUUUCACCGCCUGUCCGACGAAAGAAGAGGAUAGUGCCAUGGUGGAAGCUGCCAUUUUUGUGAGAUUUGUUUUGAAGAUGUUUUGAUGAUAUGAUAGUAUUAUGAGUGAUGAAGAUGUGUGGAUCUGGAACGUAGAUUUAUAGGGUGGUUUUUGGGCCAGGUAGUUGAUCAAUGCUUAUCUUGAUACACUCUUUAACUUCAUUUUGAUUGGCUACCAAGAUUUUAGUUCUAUCAGAGGGUAUAUAAUUUGUGUGGUUCAAGUUCUCUGGUCCACGGGAGAUAUUUGAAGGGGCAGCGAUAUUCAUGGCUCUGGCUUAUUGAGCGAAUAUAAUGGCUCGCAUUCUCAGCCACUAGCUAGUCUUGGUGGGGUUUUAGCCAGUCUUUGUGCGGUUUUUCAUGUUUAACCAUUACCAUAGUAUCGACUAAGUUUAGUCCAAACAUGCAUUGAAGUUCAGUAGAUUUGUAUUAUCAUUUUGUUUUUUAUACAAAUUUAUCAUUUUCGUACAUAAUAUAAACUCUAGGAAAAUUAAAUAGAAUAUAUUUUGAGAUAUUGACAACAUUGACCAAAUAAUAAAAAAACGUAACACACCAUUCUAAAAAAUAACAUAUAACCAUGAUGUCCGAAAAAAAUAUAACAUAUAACCAUGAUUUUCGAAAAACAAAAUUCUUGAAGAUGUACAAUUUUCGAAGGUACUAUUUGGUGACUAAUUUUAAAAGAAGCCAUUUUCAAAAUGUAAUAUUCUCGAAGUGAUUAUUUCAGCUACUUAAGGUGAUGUUGAUUUCAAAUCUCUAACAUGACAAAAAGCUUCCCCAACAAAUCUGAAGCAUGGACAUUUCAACCUAAAGAUGGGUGAGGGAAGUUCUUUUAUUGAUCAUCUUUUGUUUUCUAACAGCUUGUAGAACAUCUAGAAAUAUUGGAUGCCACAUAUGAAAAAGAAGACUUGCCGUUGUUCCUAUUGUCAUCUUUAACAAAUUCAUAUGAUGACUUUUGUGAUAAUAUUAUCUAUAGCUGAGACACCAUUGUCUUGGAUGAGAUCAUGACCACUUUAGACUUGAACGAAAGGAUGAAACUUAUCAUUAGUGAUAGUAAUGGUGAUAUAAAGGACGAAGGUCUCCAAGUAAGAGGAAGAUAUAUGUAGGGAAGUAACGAUUCCAAAUCCCUUAACAAGUCAAGAUCCAAGUCCAAAGAGAAACGUAUAUAGUGCAAAUAUUGUGUGUCUGUUGAAGCUGAUGUGGCCGAGAUCGUCUUUGAUGGCGAGCUUCUAGAAUUAUUUCUGACGAUGGUUAUUUGAUUACCACGAACGGUGGGUUCUUGAAUUUGUGCGUGCUUUUCACAUGAGUCCAAACAAAUACUAUUGUCACACCACAUUGAAAAGGAUAGUUGAUGCCAAGUUUUAAUAGGCAACGUCGACACUUCCUCCCUUAUUUUAGGACAAGCCACAAUUAGAUUUUGAAUGUUCGAUGGUGUAGUAAGUGUUGGGUUUCUAUAACAUCAAGUACACACAAACAAGGUAGUGGAAACAAUGAAAUGAUAUACCUAAGUGCAUAUGCUCUUUAGAUCUAGGUUUUACUAGUUUUAGCAAAAUACUUAAAAAUCAACAUAAAAUAAAGAUAAAACACUUACUUUUUGUUCAUUUGUAACGUCAUAAUAAAUACUCUCUCCGUCCCAAAAUUAUUGUUCACAGACAAAAAAAAAACACACAGAUUAAGAAAACAUUAAUUACUACUAACUUUAUUCAAUAAAAUGACAGUUAUGUCCUUAUUUUGCAUUUAAUGUUCGAUUAAAUGCUUAGUUGGUUAAGUAAUAAUAAUAAAGUGUAUUUUGGUAAAAAAGUUAUUUAUUUUUAUAAGUGGACUAUAAUUUUAGGACAAACCAAAAAGGAAAGAUGGACUAUAAUUUUGGGACGGAGAGAGUAAUAAUUACUAAAAUAAAAUCCUAAAAUAGGAUAAUCUAUAGCCGUGCGCGCUGCGGACUAUAUAAUACAAGUUUCUUAUUAAGGAAAAAUAGGAAAAAUCACCCGAGUCGUCCGUAAGUCAUAAAAAUAAGUGUGCCAAAAUGUAUAUAUUAUUAUAUAUUCAAAAAGUACAUGUCGUCCUGAUCCCGAAAAUAUAAAUUUCGUAGAAAUCUUAGUUCAUAUGAAGACGAUAUGAAUUUUAUAAGACAUAAAAAUCAACAGCCUAACUAAAAAUUAUUAACGUCAAAAUGUACAAAGAGAAUGGUUGACCUUUGGGUAAAGUCACCAAAAUGAAAAUCAUAAUGCUCUUUAAUGUAAGAAUUUUGGUAAAAGAAACACAAAAACUCGGAGUCCGUAUGGGAAAGUUAUGAUUUUUGCAAAAUCAUUAAAUCAUAUAAAAAUAAGGGCUAAAAACAAAUUCAGAAUUAGCCGAUGGAGCCUAAAGGAAAGUUGUAGUAUUGUCGAGAGCUACAUGUGGAAAAAAAGAACGUCAAAAGCAGAGUCCGUAUGAAGAAGGUGAAAAUGCGACCCAAUGAGAGCUUGACACGUGACACAAUGUGGCUAGGGAGAAGUCACCUUAAAAUGCACGACGUACACCCCCAUUGCACACUGUGCACCCAAAAUCGGCUAUAAAUAGGAGGUCAAGCCUCAUUCACUCCUCAACACCGCUUCUAUCAUUCUCUUUCGAUUUCCUUUGGUUCUGGCCCAUUUUAUCUUAGUUUUAGCAUUCGGCGAAGCCCUGCGAUCCCUAAAGUAGUAGUAGUUAGCGAGUAGAAGCUUUGCCAAUGCAAUUUCCUAACUUUGUUAGGAAGAACCUUUGUAAGUUAAGCUAUACUCUAGUCUUUUCAAUGUAAGUUAUAUUUAUAGUCAUAAGUCAUUAUUAUGAACCUAUAAAUAAGAUUUAUCAAUAAUUCUAUGUCGUUAUACUGAUUGAUCUACUUACGGGAGAUGUGCCUAGAAUGGUCACGUUGGCUUGGUUGUUGGAUUUCAAAAAAGAUAAUGAUUCUGCCUCCCAACUGUCCUGCUUGGAUGAUCCUUAAUUGAUAGAUCUUGAUUUAGACAUCAAAAUUAAUGAGGAAUCUAGUCAUCAGGACCAUUAGACUAGAACUUUAUAUAAAUUAUACUUAGGUAUCGGAAAUAUCUGAGGUGUUAGGCAAAGCUCUGCCCAGAUCACCAGCCACCCACCUAAGUCAAGUGAGUACAUAGUCCCCUUCAUGAACACGAUUUAAUACAAGUAUUAAUUGAAAUAUUAAAAAUCUGCUGGAAGUCGUAUGUGAAUUAUAUACUUAUUGCCUGGAUUGUAUGUUAGGAUAUAUGGUGCUAUGUGCGAACUAGAUAUGGUUCUAUUUUAUGUUAAGAUAAAUAGAUAAUAUUACAUAAUAAUAUUCAAAGCAAAAUUGUUGAGAAGAUAAAUGAUUAAUAACACCUAAUACUCUUAUGGAAUAUAUAUAUAUAUAUAUACUAAGAUAGGUUAGUGUCGCCCAAGAAUAGAGUUGGUAUUAAAAAUUUAGUUUCAGGCACGGUAUUCUAUUCUAGGAAUAAACUUAGACUUAUGGAAGAUACCUAGUUCAAUUAAGUUGAUAUUAGAUAGUCUCAUUAGGAGAAUGUGCGUAACCUAGGAAUGGAGAGUAAAGUUUUGUUCCAUGACACUAUUAGGUGUCGAUUUGUUAUAGCUUCGUACUAGAUGACCAGAAAUGGUGGGUCCUGAUCAGGCAACUGUUAGCAGUAUGUCUAGUCACGCCACAUAGUAUUUUUGGAUUAGAUGUCCAAACCCAUAACUAUAAUUGGUAUAUACUUGACCCGAGAGUAGCAUGGUCCAUUUCAGGUUGCCUUCAUCAAAGCAAUUUGACAAGAUAGAUAUUUGAGAAAGAGGUUAUUUGUGAUUUACUAAUAUUAUAAGAAUAAUAUAUUAAUUAAGAAAUCAUAUUAUUUAAGUAGUAUUGUUCAAAAAUUAAUUUGGAAUUAAUUUAGUAAUCAAAAGAGACUAAUUAAAUUUGCAGGGACUGAUUAGGUAAAUCAGUGAUAUUUAUAGUUUGGGGCCUUUGGGCUAAUGAUCAAUGUUGAUUAGGAUUGGACUAAUUCUUUGUGAGAGUCCAUGAAGAGUUAGUCCAAAACGCUAAUGAGUUAUUGGAUUAAAAGCCCAAGUGAGUUAGGGUUUACAAGUUGAAUCCCUAGGAAUUCAUAACAUUAUUGAAGCAACAUACUAUUGAAUAAAAAAACUUCUAAACCCUAAUGGAAAUCACAAUUUUCAGAAGAAUUACAUACCUCUAAUUUGUUAUUGUAAGCAAACCUUUGAAUCCAACAAGAUCAAUCCAAAAGUCUCUUUGAAAACAAACUUCAAUUGUGAGCGAGCCUCUAAUGGUUCGCACUCACAAGACAAGAACCCUAGAAAGAUUAGGAGAGAGGUUCAAAUUUUUGGAUCUACUAUCUCAAUAGAAGUGGCCAAAAAUUUCAAGGUACAAGACCCUAUUUAUAGCUUAUUAGGAAACAUCUAGAAACCCUAAUUUGAACAUAAAAUAAAAUUAUCUCAAAUAAGUCAAUUAUUUAGUUUCUUGAUUAUCUGCAUGGAGGCUUCCUGAAACCUUAGUGGGUCUAAAAAAAAGGUCCACUGGAGGAAGGUUCUGGAAUCUCUCCUCUGCUCAACUCUUAAAACAAGUUUCGCUUUAGUCCUUCAACCUUUAAUUAAUUUUAAUUAACCAUAAAUUAAUUCCAAACCAAUUCUAAAUUAAUCAUAACUAUUUAUAAUUAAUAUAUUAAUCAUAUAAUAUAUUAAUAAAUCAUUUCUCUCUCUUCUAAAAUCAAUCUAAGCAAUUUCUUGGUUAUGAGGGCAACCCAAAAAGGACUUUGCUUUUAUUUAUCAACAUUAUAUCAAUUUAGUUUGGAUCUUAGACACCUUAAUCCAACAUAAGGUUCGUAAUACAUAUACAUGUUGUGUAUGUCCAUUAGCAAAACAAAAAUGAUUACCAUUUGUUUCUGCAAACAAUGUAUCUCAUACACCUUUUCAAUUGAUUCAUUGUGACAUUUGGGGUCCUUAUCAAAUCAAUUCACAUCGGGGUUAUAGGUUUAUCAUUACUAUUGUGGAUGAUUACACUAGAUUCACUAGGAACUAUUUGAUAAGACACAAAUCUGAGGCACAAUUUGUUAUUCCCCAUUUUUUUUUUUUAAAAAUGGUGCUCAAAUAAUAUCAUACUCAUAUAAAUAUUUUCAGAUCGGAUAAUGCAAAAGAACUUCAACUCAACGUGUUUUUUAAACUAAAUGGAGUAUUACAUCAGUUCUCGUGUGUUGAUAGACCACAACAAAACUUUGUUGUUGAGAGAAAACUUCAACAUCUCUUAAAUGUGGCAAUGACAUUGUUCUAUCAAGCUCACAUUCCUUUUAUAUGUUGGCUUGAAUGUGUUUCAACAAGUGCCUACAUGAUAAAUAGAACUCCCUCAAAAGUUCUUGGAAAUAUUUCUGCUUAUAAAAAUCUCUAUAAAGAAUAGCCUCAUUACUCAUAGCUUUGAAAUUUUGGUUGUUUACCUUUUGCAUCCACACUUCAUUCUCAAAGACAUAAGUUUGAUCAUUGAGCAAGAGCAUGUGUUUUCAUUAGAUAACCACAAGGAAUGAAAGCAUAUAGAUUUCUUGAUAUAGAAACAAAUCAAAGUUUUGUUUCUAGAGAUGUCAUAUUUCAUGAGGGGAUAUUUCCUUUUAAAUAAUGCUCGCCAUCUUCUCAUACAAAUCCAUUUAUCUUUCAUGUUUUGCCUAUACUUUUACCUAGAAUCACUCAUUCUUUUACUCCUUCAGAAAAUCUCAAUCAAUUUGAUUCCCAAAUUGAUACCUUACAAAUGAAAUUCCAAAUUCACAACCAAUAUUUCUAGACCACGAAGACAAAGAGCUCCUCCUUCAUAUCUUCAGGAUUUUCAGUAAUUUGAUAAAUCCAAUUCCAGAAGAAACAUCUAUCAAAUACCCAUUAUUUGUUGUAUUAUCUUAUUUACAUCUUUCUCCUUCUUACCAAGCAUAUACUUAUGCCUUAUCUACUCAAACUAAACCCACUUCUUUUAAAGAAGCCAUUCAACAACCUAAAUGAAAGCAAGCAAUUGAUGAAGAACGUCAUGCUUUAGAGUUAAAUAAUAGUUGAACCAUUGUAACCCUAUCUCUUGAUAGAAAACCUUUGGGCUGAAAACGGGAUUUUAAACUUAAAAAGAAGGUUGAUGGAUCCAUUGAAAUCCAUAAGGAUAUAAUGGUAGCAAUGGGCUAUAGUCAAUAAGGAGUGGAUUUUUUUGGAUACUUUCUCACUUGUGUAAAAUUUAGUCAUAGUCAAACAUUUGCUGCUAACAAAGCUUGGCCACUAAUCCAAUUAGAUGUUAAUAAGCUUUCCCAAAUGGGGAUUUAAAUGAAGAGGUUUAUAUGCACUUACCACAAGGAUAUACUCCAUCUUUGUUUCUAAUUCCAGUGGAAAAUUAGUCUGCAAUUUUGAAAAAUAUUUAUAUGGUUUACAACAAGCUUCAAGGCAAUGGUAUGAUAAAUUUUCAAAAUUUUCUUAUUUCUAAAUAUUUCAAGCAAUAUCAAUAAAAAAAUUCCUUAUUUUUCAAAGGAAAAGAUGAUAAUUUUAUGGCCUUAUUAGUAUAUGUAGACGAUAUUGUCCUUACGGCUUAUUCUCUCACAACCAUUAAUAACAUCAAACAACGUUCAAGUGAUGCCUUUUAUCUCAAAGAUUUGGGUAAACUCAAACAUUUUUUGGGUUUGGAAAUUGGAAGAUCCCCAAAUGGAAUUGUCAUUUCUCAAAGGAAAUGUGUUAGAUCUAUUUGAAGAUGUUAGCAUGUUGGUAUCCAAACCAACCUCUCAAUUAAUGGAUCCUUGUCAUAAAAAAUUAAUUUUUUAUGGAUAACCUGUAUAAGAUCCAUCUCAUUAUCGCCAUUUAGUUGGUCGUCUUCUUUAUCUCACAAUCACACCUCCCGAAAUAGCUUAUGUAGUACACAGAUUAAGCCAAUAUAUUUCUGAUCUAAAAAUACCACAUCUUCAGGUAGCUCAUCAUGUGUUAUGAUUUUUAAAGGAUAACCCUAGACAAGGUUUGUUUAUUUCAUCCAAACCAUCUUUGCAAGUCAAAGCAUUCAAUGAUUCUGAUUGGGUUGGAUGUAUUAACACUAGAAGAUCUUUUACAGGUUUUUGUGUUUUUCUUGGAGAUUUCUUAAUCUUGUGGAAAUCCAAGAAAAAAACCACUUUUCCAAGAAGAUCAAUAGAAGUAGAGUACAGGGCACUGGAUCUGUCAUAAAUGAUGUGAUCUGGUUAAGAUAACUUAUGCGUGAUUUUUUUUAUUAAUUUGGAUCCACCAACAUUUGUUUUUUGUGAUAAUAAUUUUGCAAUGCAAUUAGCUGUCAAUCCUAUAUUUCACUAGAGGACUAAGCAUAUCUAAAUCGAUUUCCAUUUCAUAAGGGAAAUGAUUGUGGAUCACACCAUCAAACUCAUGCCCAUUCAUACUUCAAAUUAACUAGCGGAUAUAUUUACAAAACCCCUUGCUUAUUCUAGAAUUGCUUUGAUUUUAUCCAAGAUGGCACUUAAAAGUAUUUUUUAGUGUACAUCUUGAGGGAGGUAUUAGAGCAUAUUGACCGCUUAGUUGAUUAAAUAUCUAUUACGAUGCCGUUUUAUAUUUGUCAUUAGAAAUAAAGGUAGUGAAACUAUGUCAUUUACUUGUGUAAAUAAGUUGUUAAGUUAGUUAGGUGCAUGUUAGCUAAUGUUGUGCAAGAUAAUAGUUAUAUAUAAUCUCAUUUUAUAUUUAUUGAUGAAUAAGAGAAGAUUAUAUUCCCUUUUCAAUUCUUUUUCUUCUUGAUUGUAAAUCUUUCCUCUACCCAUACCUUUCAUAACCCCCUAAAACUAUUUAAUCAAAUCGGUCACUGAAUUCUUGUUUCCAAUUUUGAUUCGAACGACGGUACCUCAAGCCAUUGUUUCAGAUCUUGAGGUAAAUACAAUUGCUCUAUUUCCCUUAAUUAUAAAUUGCAUUCAUGAUUUAUUGUUGAUUGAUGGUGCUAAAUGUUCAGAUGUAAAUCAUACACAUUGUGAACUUAUAGAAACAAUAUGUUGUUCCUAAAAUUGGUAAAAUCCAAAAUCCAAGAUGAUGCAAAUAUCGAUGCUCUACUAAAACUCAUAUAUGUCAAUGGCGCUACAUGAUGGAAAAAGAGCCACUUUUAGUUUGUUGUCAAAAGGCAAAGUGAAGUUAAGACAGUCUUCUCUCAAAUACGACCUCUAGCCUUAGGCUUCAAGUUGUUUCUCGUGUGAGUUUGGGUCUUUCAAAAUUCAACAAAUUUGCUACAAUGGAUACAAAUGUUCUUUAUGGAUACAUCACUAGACUGUAAAAUGAGAUUGAUAACAUUCACGAUGUUGUUAGAUUGCUUACAUUCAUGAUGUUGUUACAUUGGUAAAAGUCCGAGAUGACAUCAUGGUGGACGUUGGUAGAACGAGACAUGACAUUGUGUUCCUGCUCAGUACUACGCUUCCACCAUACUUAGUGUCACUUAUAUGUAGAAAGGUGUUAUCUAUAUCAAUUUUAUAUAUUAUGUAUAGUGUAGGGAGACAAUUUUAACAAUGUAUUGUAUAAAUAUAUUCUGCAAUAUACGCCUCCAAAUGAUGAGGUUUUUCCCACUUUAAUAUGGUAUCAAGCUACGGUUUCUACCCUCUUUAAUCAUACGUAUGGAUCAAACCUUUUACCGCCUCACAUUUUUUUUUCUGGCCAUUAAUCACGUUGUCGCUGCUCUUAUAUGCCACUAUAAUUGUCGACUGCUUCUCAAUUUUUCUCGACGUGCUCUCCUCCGUGCAUUAGGGUCUUCCUAAAAUAUGGUUGUGGUUGAUUCUUUUAUGUUUCCAACAAUAUUUUACAAUCUCCUGCUGUGAUCACAUAAUUUUGCCCUCAUCAUUAUUGUGUGCGUUUCUUGCUCCUUAAGGUAUUGCCUCCAUGACCACUCCUGGUUCAUCCUCUACCACCACUCCCAUGAAGUUAAGUCUCGUUUGUACUCUCACCAACGUUUACAAUCAUUUUAGUUUCAAAUUAAAUGUUGAUGAGCCAAACUGUAAACUAUGGAAUCAGAUUUUUUCAAACAUGUGUCGAGGCACAUUGUCCUAUGGUAAUAUUUCAUAGAAAUCGGUUCCAACCAGAGAUGAUGAGGAAUGAUAUUCGGUUGAUGCAAGGCAUCAAUUCUUAUUUUUAUAGUAUUGUGAUCCCGAGUUUCUUCAAUUCAUCUUGAGCGAUGAUUACACCACCACAAAUCUUUCGAAAAAAUUAGAUGAAUUUUUCGGAACAACAAAAUAUCUCGAAUGUUGCAAUUACAGGAUUAAUUUCGCAAUACGAAGAAGGGUUCAAGCUCCAUUACCGAAUUUUAUCACAUUCUCAAGAACCGUGCCAAUGAUCUCAAAGAUGUUGGUUCCACCAUCAUCGAAAUUGAGCUAGUAAUGCCAAUCUUGAGACAAUUACCAUCUCAUACCAUAGUAUUACGGAUGUCAUCACCAACAUCAAGCCUUUUCACUCUUUCCUUGAGGCCAAGAAUAUGCUUUUACUUCAUGAGUCUCGAGAAACGGCUUAAGAUUCCUUCACAAAUUCAUCCAUGUCUCAUAGUGUGGCUCUAUUUUCCUCAUCCAACAAUUUGGGAAAUCCAAAUACCGAUGGUCGAAAAACUGGAACAAUUCCCGAAAAAUUGAAAAACAAUGCACAUGGAAAUCAUUUUGAUUCGCAACCGCAAUUUAUUAGAAUUCUUGGAAAUGCUCUGUUGCCACCUCCGCGUGCUGCCUCUGGUUACGUUGCUGCUAUCCCAGCUGCUUCGCACUUAAUCCUACUGUCUUACAGCUCCUAUCUGUAGGUUCCAUUCUCGCCGAAUCAGCAGCCCACGUGACAACUGUCAGUGCCUCCGCAACCCUCUUCUCAACAUUUCACUUUUCAUCAGCAUCUGACUCAUGUUGUUGGGUCUUCAUCAUCAGCUACACCCCUCAGACUUGUUUCUCAACAACCAAGUCAGGUGCCUCACGGUCACUUUUCUCAACAUCAAUUUUUUGGUGGAUCUACUUUUGGUUGUCACGUUCAGACUACUCCUUAACAAUUCAUCGAUAUCGCCUCUGCCUUUCAAUCCAUGUCUCUUCAGCCGCCUCUCGACAACAACGUUUACGUGGACUCCGGUGCUAGCUAUCACAUGUCCUUCAAAUCAGUUAACAUGCCUUGCCUAUCACUACGUAAUUCUAGAUCUCUAAUAGUUGCUAAAGGUGCUAUACUUCAUAUUACUCAGACUGGUCAAAUUUUUUUUCCACAUUCACACAACUGUUUAGCUCUAAAUAGCAUACUUGUCUCAAAUAAAAUUGUUAAAAAUCUCAUUAAUGUAUGUCAGUUCACUGUUGAUAACUUUGUCUCUGUAACUUUUGACCCUUUUGGUUUCACUGUGAAGGAUUUUAAAACAUGUGCGUUUAUUUAAAGAUGUGAUAAUGGCAGUGAUCAUUGUCCCGUUAUCCCCAUGCCAACUCCUUCUUUUUCUAACACUAGUUGUGUUGUUGUUUCUCUCCCAACUUGGCAUAUGCGUCUUGGUUACCUUGGCUCAUCUAUUUUGAAUUUUUUACAUUCUUGCAAGUUUAUUUCCCAUACUACUACUAAACUACCCAUCUAUCAUGCUUAUUAGCUUGGGAUGCAUUGUCGUUUACCCUUCUCUUCGUCUAUAAUUAAAACUACUAGUAUGUUUGAAUUGGUGCAUUUAGAUUUAUGGAUAUCUCUUAUUGCUAGUCUAAGUUGUUUUAAAUAUUAUAUUUUUUGGAUGAUUUUACUCAUUUCUUAUGGGUUUUCCAUCUUCGUGAAAAAUCUGAUAUUUUUGAUGUUUUAUCUAACUUCCAUGGAUGUGUCCAAACUCAAUUUAAACCUGACAUCAAAUUUUUUCAAUGUGAUAAUGGUUGUGAAUUCAAUAACAAAUCUGUUCUCACUUUCUGUGCCCAUAAGGAAAUCAAAAUUGGCUUCUCUUGUCCGUAUACGUCCCAACAGAACGAUAAGGUUGAAAGAGUCAUACGAACCAUUAAUAACAUCCUUCGAACUUACCUGUUUCAAGCCUCCCUGCCUCCAACAUUUUGGGUUGAAGCUCUCCUCAUUACUGUUCAUACCCUUAAUCUCCUUCCCACCUCCACUCUUGCGUUUCAAACACCCUUUGAGCUUCUCUUUGGUGUUUUUUCCCUCCUAUGAUCACCUUUGAGUAUUUGGGUGCCUUUGCUACCCAAAUCUCUCAUCCACGACUCCCCAUAAGAUCUCUUAUAGGUCUUCUUCAUGUGUAGACCUCAAUCCCUCCUCUAAUCAUUGUGGCUUUUGUUGCCUUAAUCUCAUCUCCCAACGAGUAAUUAUCUCUCGUCAUGUCAUCUUUGACGAUCACUUCCAUUUCUCUACCUUUCAUGAUAAACCCUCAACCAAUUACUAUGAUCCUUUCCUUUCCGAGGAUAUACCUCCCCUCCUUACAGUAUGCACUACUCUUCGCAUCACUGAGCCCUCUCCUAGUGAAUCUUCUCCCGCUCUUUCUGAUAGUAGUUCCCCUCAACCCACUGCCUCCUCCUCCUUUCCUAAUACUAUUCCUACCCCCUCCUCCUACCCAUCCCAUGGUCACUUGCUCUCGCACUGGCUUUCUCAGGCCUAAGUAGAUUUUUAAUCUAUUUGCCACUUCUGAUGUCUCCCCUAUCCCUCGCUCUAUAUCUCAAGCUCUAUGUGAUCCUAACUGGAUUUUUCCAUGGACUCUGAAAUGCAGGCUCUUCACUCCAAUCACAAAUGGGAACUUGUUCCCCUUUCUCCAUGCCAAAAUUGUUGGUUGUCGCUGGCUUUAUUGUCAUAAGUUUGACAGAAAAGGUAACCUAGAUCGCUAUAAAGGUUGCCUUGUUGCUUAGGGAUUCUCUCAGCUUCCUGGUCUUGACUUUGAUGAUACCUUCAGUUCUGUUGUCAAACCUGAUACGAUUUGUACUGUUCUAAUUAUUGCGAUGUCCAAGCAUUAGCCAAUUCAUCAACUAGAUAUCAAAAAUGGUUUCCUACAUGGUUACCUAUCUGAGGAAGUUUACAUGAAACAACCUCAUGGGUAUGUCCAUCCCUCCCUUCCUAAUCAUGUAUGCCGACUUCUCAAAGCUCUUUAUGGUCUCAAAUAGACUCCCAAGCCAGGUACCAACGCUUUGCUGUUUUCAUCACCUCUCUCGGUUUUACUAGAAGUCGGUCUGAUUGUUCCUUAUUUACUUAUCACUCUGGUUUCGACCAUAUCUUCUUUCAUUUUUAUGUUGAUGAUAUCAUCCUCACCUCCUCCUCUUUCUCCACUCUCAUCACUCACAUUAUCUCAUGUCUCUCGUCUGAGUUUUCCAUGUCCAAAUUGGGUCCUAUUUCCUUAUUCAUUGGCAUCGAUGCUUUUCGAUCUGAGGAGAGUCUAAUUUUAUCUCAGGCUUCCUUUAAUGACAUCUUAGCUCGUGCUGACAUGUCUUCUUGCAAUCCGUGCAGUACCCUAUCUGACACUAAAUCUAAACUUUCUCCUCACGGCUCUCCUGUCUCUGAUCCCACUCUCUACAGGAGUCUUGUUGGUGCCUUACAAUAUCUUACUUUCACUCGUCCUGACAUUGCAUAUGUUGUACAGAUCUCUCUUCAUGUUUGCGUGAACCUCAUCUUCUUGCUCUUAAACGUAUCCUUCACUAUCUUCAGGGUACUAUUUCUCAUGAUAUGUUUAUUCGACCUUCCUCCAUUGAUCACUUGGUCUCCUAUUAUGAUGCAAACUGGACCGAGUGUCCUCAUACUCGUUGGUCUACUUCUGGGUUUUGUGUUUAUCUUGGCAAUAAUCUCGUCUUUUGGUCCUCUAAACAUCAACAUGUUGUUUCUCACUCCUCAGCUGAGGAUGAGUAUUGUGGGAUGGCUAAUAUGGUUGCUAAAGCUGCUUGGCUUUGUAAUCUCCUUCUUGAGUAAUCUUGUACGUUAUCUAAAGCAACAUUUAUGUUUUACUAAAUGUGAGUGCCAUGUAUUUAUCUUCUGAACCAUUAAAACACGAACGUAUUGCUCGUGCCGUCGAUUCACUAAUUUGCAGAUAUAUUUACAAAGGGUCUUCACCGGUUUAAAUAUUUGUAAAUCUCAUGCUCUAACUAGAGGGUGCCUUAGUUUAUAUUAGUUUAUAUAUAUUAUGUAUAGUGUAGGGACCAAUUGUAACUUUAUAUUGUAUAAAUAUAUUCUGCAGUAUAUGUCUCAAAUUGAUGAGGCUUUUCCCACAUUUAACAAAAGGAAAACUAAAUUAACACCAAAUUGCCCAAAAUUAAACCAUAUAUUAUACUAAAUUAAUUCACAACAGUUCGACAUCAAUCAAAUAUUAUCUCGCACUCGAAUUCACAAAACUCACUUUCCGGGUACAAAGUUUGUAGCAUAUGACCAUGCAUUGUUUGCAACAGGGUCAGCAAGGUGGUCAGCGAGGUUCUCCAAUGGUCCCUUUCCGGUAACAAUGGCUUGAACAAAGAAUCCAAACAUAGAGAACAUGGCUAGUCUACCGUUCUUGAGCUCCUUCACUUUCAGCUCAGCAAAUGCCUCUGGGUCAUCAGCCAGACCCAAUGGGUCGAAGCUACCACCAGGGUAAAGUGGGUCAACUACCUCACCAAGAGGUCCACCAGCAAUUCUGUAACCUUCAACUGCACCCAUCAAGAUCACUUGGGUAGCCCAGAUGGCUAAAAUGCUUUGUGCAUGGAUCAAACUUGGGUUCCCCAAGUAGUCAAGACCACCCUCACUAAAGAUCUGGGAUCCAGCCUUGAACCAUACAGCCUCACCAAACUUGACACCAUUACGCGCCAAGAGUUCGGGGAAGACGCACCCAAGAGCUCCGAGCAUGGCCCAUCUGCUGUGGAUGACCUCAAGCUCACGGUUCUUGGCGAAUGUUUCAGGAUCAGCAGAGAGCCCAGCAGUGUCCCAACCGUAGUCACCGGGGAACUCACCGGUCAGGUAAGAUGGGGCUUCGCCGGAGAAUGGGCCAAGGUACUUAACACGGUCGGGGCCGUACCAUGGACUUCCUGAUGGUGCGACUUUCUUGACUGCUGUCUUCCUCAUGGAAACCCUUCCAUUUCCGGUGAUUUCUGAACCAGAUGGUGCUACUUUCACCGCCUGUCCGACGAAAGAAGAGGAUAGUGCCAUGGUGGAAGCUGCCAUUUUUGUGAGAUUUGUUUUGAAGAUGUUUUGAUGAUAUGAUAGUAUUAUGAGUGAUGAAGAUGUGUGGAUCUGGAACAUAGAUUUAUAGGGUGGUUUUUGGGCCAAGUAGUUGAUAAAUGUUUAUCUUGAUGCAAUUUUUAACUUCAUUUUGAUUGGCUACCAAGAUUUUAGUUCUAUCAGUGGGUCCAUAAUCUGCGUGGUUCCACUAUUCGAGUUCUCUGGCCCACAUGAGAUAUUUGAAGGGGCAGCGAUAUUCAUGGCUCUGUCUUAUUAAGCGAAUAUAAUGGCUAGAAAUCUCAGCCACUAGCUACCAUGCACAAACCGGUUUUUUUUUUGAACCGGACCGCUUCAAAAAUCCGGUUCGGUUCUAGUCAAUUUAGUCAAAACCAGUUUGGUUCCAAACCGGUCCAGCUUCAAAAUAAUUCAAACGUAUGUAAACUCGUUAAAGAAAAAACCGGUUCAAAAAGGGUUCAAAACCAGUUUGACGGAAAAAAGGUUUUUUUCAAUUUUUAUUUUGUUUUUAGGCUAAUAACUGAAAAAUAGGAAUUUUUUUUUAUAAUAUUGCUUUUAUUGUGUUUAAAAAAAAAGUUUCACACUAGGUUUUUUGAAAAUGGAAGUGGAAUGAAUUGGGAAUUCAUAAGCCUUUUUUUUGGUAAUACACACGUACACACGUCCAUAUGCCAAAAGGUUUUUAUUAUUAUUUUUUUUAUUUCUUGUUUAAUCUUUUGAUGUAUUAAAUUUUUUUUUUGUUUCAGAUUUGAUGUUUUAUCUUUUUUUUUUUCAUUUUUUUUGUUUUUUAUAUUGGAAAUACAUAAUACAACUUCAAACAUAAAAACACAAAACAUCCAAAUUGUCAAACUAAUACAUCUUCAAAUAUAAAACAUUGAUGUCGUCGUAGUCUUCAUUCCAAGUCCGUAGUCAUUGUAUUUAUUCGUCAUCCGCCAUGUCGUUGCGUAAUUCUCUCUCAUACUCGAUCUCUUCUAGGGUGAGUGACACCGACAUUCCCAUCGCUACUUCUUCCUCAUGUACUCGUGCUUCGACAUGCAACGAUGUGCCUUCUAGUGCUUCGAUGUCUUGUAUCCUUUCCACGCCAUCAAGGUAGUAUUUCAAGCAAAUGCACACUUCCACCGACAAAUGGGUUAGUUUUGUUCUUCUUGGUGAUAUUACCCUGCCACUAACAGAAAAACCGAUUCCGANUUACCCUGCCACUAACAGAAAAAGCCGAUUCCGAAGCUACCAUAGAAGCUUGGGAGCUUAGUAGAUCACGGGCCAUAGCGGCUAGAAUUGGAAAUUAGGUUUCCUUUCCUUUCCACCAAACCAAAAUAUCAAAAUUUUCAAACUCUUGAAUACUCAUUUCACUACUAGAAAAAUAGCCUUUUACGACGCGCGAACAACGACACGCGCUGUUUUAUGAUACACAAUAGUGUGUGCCCUAAAAAUAAUGUCGGCUCUCCAAAAAUUAGAAGGAUUUAGGGUACGCAUUUUUGCGCGCCCUAAAAUAAGUGUUACAUUAAAAAAAAACACGGAGGGCACAUAACAUAAAACGCGCGUCCACUAAGUAUGUCGCUUUAUAUUUUUUAAAUGAAAUGCGGGUCACAUUUUUUAGGGAAAACGAAAUUCCAAAAAGUUUGAAAGGCCCGCCAUGUUCCUACCUUCUUUCCACCGUUCUUCUCUCCCUUACUCAAAAUACCCAAAAAAAACCCUAAUAUACUCAUCGCUCCUCUUUUCUCCCAUAACAAACUCGCACCAUCACCAAAUCUCUGAUCUCCCACCAGCAAAAGGUCUCCUACCGAUGUCUCCACCUACUCUCUGCCCUCUCACUAUUUCUCUCAAUUAAAAACGCUAGAUCUCUCAAUCAGAGAACCAUGGCUACUUCUCCUUUCUCCCACACCAGUUGGCAAAAAGUGAGGAGUCUCGAGCCUAGCAGUUGAUAUUCACAUGCCCUCUUAAAUUGAAGGAAUCAGAACAUUGUCGACAUCAAUUCGUUAAUCAUCACUAGAGAAAUCAGAUACGCCAUCUGGUUGAUGAGUCAAGAGAAAUCACAUAUGUCAUCGCUUCAGCAAUCAUCCCUCCUUUUAACCGUAAGUUUUCAAUCUUACACUUUACAAAUAUCAUAUAAACAUCUCUCUCUCUCUCUCUCUCUCUCUUUCUCUCUCCUGCUAUACCUUGAUGAAUUAUCGCAUACAUAUGGAGGAACUGCUUUCUAAAAGCCAGCUAUCGGGAGAGUCAACAGGGUCAAUUGGGUGUUCAAAAGGUGCUUCGAUAUCAUCUUCCCGCCAGCAAAUCUCUGUUAAAGUUGUCACAGAGUAAUCCAUUUGAGUUUGGGCAUAUAUUUUUUGUUAUUAAUUUAGGGGGAGACUGUGUUCCAUGAUUUUGGUCAUGCAUUUCUUCAGCACACGCUAACAAGACAAGAUGAAGGGCUUGUUGUUGGUAUUCGUGGCAUAGAGUGGAUGCUGUUGAGUUACCUUUCCAGUUCAUGGAAAAUUGGUGCUACCGUAGGUAGGUAUAUAUAUCUCCAAUUUCAAGAUGUUGUUCAACUGCUGCAGGAACGAGGUGAGGGUGGCUGAUGAGAAUUUGUGACAGGAACUAUCCGAUUGGGGAUUCCAGCUCAAGUGGGGCAGUUGGCGCAUCAGAUCCAGCAGAAUCAGAAGAUAAUGAGGCCUUUAUUGCAAUUCUCUUCUUUUGAAUAUGAAAAGAUGCACUUUUCAGUCCUAAUCUGGGAUGUGAAAAUGAAAGGAACCCCUGUUUAGCCAACAAAACAAAGUAAAAUUCAGUUACAACACUUACCCAAAUAUAGCAUUCUACCUUUAAUUUUUCUCAUCAAGACAAAAUUGAAUCAGUUAUGAAACCGACCACAUAAAAGGCUGUUUUUCUAGAGUUGCAAUGUUAGGAAUAAAAGUCACAAUGGUAUGUGGUCGGUUUCAUAACUGAUUCAAUUUUGAUGAGUAAACAGGUUAGAUUUCAUAUGGUUGUUUGUUCAGAUUGGUAUUCAUCCUGAUUUUCCUUCAAUUAUGCAACAACUAUGCUGGAAUUUGCUAUGUUCCAUACUCGGAUUUUGAAUUUAUCGGAAAAUUGAAUAAUUAAUCUGGAAAAAUACCAUCUUUGAAUGAUUUUUUUGUCAUCUGUAGAUAAGGAAUACCAUCUUUGGGUAAUUAGUUUAUCUAGUCUACAUGAUUAAAUUAAUGGACAUAUAAUUCUCUAUUGAUAGAACAAAAAACAUUGCUUUGUAGUGAAGAUAAGGAAUACCAUAUUUGGGUAAUUAGUUUAUCCAUACUCGGAUUAUGAAUUUAGCCCACCAUCAGCAGGGGAUUGCUGAGUUUUAUGUGACCAUAAUGCCCUUUCGGUUUGUAGUGAAGAUCCAAGCAUGUAAUUAAUAACACCUCUAAUUAAUUAAUUAAUUAAUCCCCUAAAACUAACUAUGGUUAAAUUAAACUGGUGGUAGGUGCCAGUGUACAUAGGGGCACAUAUGGUCAAAUAUGUUUUAAUUAUUAGUCUAAUAUCUUUUGAUACUUAUCAAUAACAACAAAAUAAUGUAAAAUCGUGUGAAUACAAUUCAAGGGUAUAAUGGUCUAGACAGAGAUUAUUUUUAUUAAAGAUAUUUAUUUAUUAAUCAUCAGAGAAGAAGGAAUUAAUAUGAAAGAAUCACUUACUGCAAAAUAAUCUUCAAAUGUAAAAUCAACAUAGCCUAAGCCCUGAUUUUUAUUUCACCACAGGUUGGCGAGCUGGCGGGAAUAGCUUUGGGAGCAACUGUCAUGCUUAAUAUUCUUAUAGUUGUGUACGUUAUGGUCAAAAUAGUUCAGCAAGAACCUCUGUUGAAAUGAUAUAGGCCACUAAUUAUUUAAAACUAUCACUGGCUCCUCAUUAUGGUCAAAAUAGUUGGUCUGUUAAAAAUUGUGACUAUGAGCAAUUUGCCACUUCUAAAUGGGUUCUUUGUAGUUUUCCUUUCUAUAAUUCAGGAAAUAGGAUCAUAUUUUACUCUUGCAGAAAUAGUUAUGGUCUGUGAGCAUUCUUCCAGAUUGUAAGAACGUAAUUUUCAACACAACAAAGGUGAAAUUAUAUCUAUGUUUUCUUGUGUAUUUAACUUCACAGGAGCUGAAACAUGAUCUAAUUUUUUUUAUCUAUUGGUUAUGUUGAAUAUGGAUAAAAGGUUGUGGCUCAGAAAAGUGUUGGUGAUGCUUCUACAUUUGUUGAGAGUGAAUUUUCACUGUCAAAUUCAAGUUGGAUUUGGUAUGUAGAAAAAGUGUGUGUUUAGAGUAAGGACUUUUUCCUUGUUGGACUGUAAUAGUAGACCAAUAUGAUUCGUUUUAUAAAACCCUUAGACAGAUCACAGUUGGUUCUGCAAUUGCAUGGUCAGGUAAACAUUCUAAACACAUUUUCAAUUUAUUUUGUGAUAUUUAAUUUCUCCCAUAUUCUUUUAAAUUAUAUUAUAAUAUGCUUAUAAACACUACUUUCCUUUCAUGUAGCCAAAAAAUUGUCCCAAAGUUGACUGAGGUACUUUGGACAAAAAUACAAUGUUAGCUUACAUCUUUAUUAGUUAAUAUAAUCAAAUUUCUAAUUUUAGGUGCUAACUGAUACGCGUCCGCAAGUUCAGUCUGCAUGGCAGACAACACUCCAGCAGGUUUGACUAUAUUCUUAUGGGUUGUGGCAUUCACAUUCCCAUAGUGAUCUUGAUAAAGUUGCUUCUAUUUCCAUGCUAAGUUGGCUUUUAUUUGUAAUAUAGGAGGUCCAAAAUCUUGCAAAGAAGGCUGCAGAAACUGUGGUGUUGGUAAUUGAUGAUGAAGGGACUGAGUAUUUGAUAUCAGAACUUCUCAAGUUGCUUCUAUUUCCAUGCUAAGUUGGAUUUUAUUUAUCUUACUGUUUAUUAUCAUUUUUUAUAUAAAAUUUCAUCAUUUAUAUUAUAUAUAUAGUACAUUAUAGACUUUGCAUCAUAAUUUGUUGAAUGUUACAAGAUAUAAUUCAAAAUUCAAUUUCCUCAUGUUGUUGCUGAAAUGACAGCAAUUGGUUUUGGCCUACCAAAGAAUGCAUUCACCGCUUUAAUGAAGAAUGUAAGUGUUUAUUUUUCUUUUCUGUUUGGUGAAAAUCAUCAAAUGACAAUCUCAUUAUAUAUCUUAGGAUCUUAUCAGUUAAUAAACUUGAUCGUGGGUAUGAUCAAGCAUAGGUUUACAUUUAUACCCCUGCUUUUAUCUUUUAUCUUUUAUGUUAUAUAAUUAUAUUCCCCCUUUUUUUAUCAGGUUAAUUUGGUGGUUAAUUAUGAUCUUCCUAUAAGACAUGAUCAUCAAUCUCACUACAAGAAAAAUACCCUUUUACGACGCGCAAAACACGACGCUCUUUGAUUUAUGUUACGCAUUAGAGAGCGACAUUAAAAAAGUGUCAUCUCUUAAAAAAUUUUAAGGAUUUAGGUCGCGCAUUACUGAGUGCCCUUAAAUUAGUGUCUCAUGUAAAAAUAUUAAAAACACGGAAGGCACUUGUGCGUCGUCUGUGAAUGUCGUUUUAUAUUUUUUUUUAAGAAACACGCGUCUCGGAGGGAAAAUGAAAUCCCCAAAUUUUUUAAACCCCCACCUUUUUCUCCCUCGUCUCCACCCCUCAUCCACAUCCACUACCUCCGAUCCUCAUUUCCUCUUCUAGCCUCAAACUACGGCGAUGCACCUUCCUUCUCGAAGAAUGCUUCAUUUACCACCAUCGUCCGAUUAUGUGAGCCCAAGGAAUUGACCAAGACGAAGAAGAUAAUGGAUCAAUUGCUUCACAUCAUGUUUAAGGUUAAGGGUUUGAGUUAGUCCGCAACAGGUAAUCGAAUUUUGCCUAAUAUAUAUUUCUACUCUCAAACUGUUUAUUCGUCCGAUUGGAUGCAUAUUUACUAUUAAAUUUGGGGAUUUUCUUUUAAAACCCCCGCGCCUCUUCUUGUUUGUAGCUAAACAACCGUGAAUUUGUUAGAGUGAUUGGAAGAGGAAAAAUAGAAGAUAGAAGAAAAAGAAGAAGAAGAAAAGCGAACAAACGGGAUUUCUUGACCUGAUGUGUUAAUCCGUGAUCAGGUCUUCUGAGCGAAGAGAAGAUCUGAGGCUCAAUUGAAGAAAUAUGAGCGCUUCUAGAUUUAUAAAGUGCAUCACAGUCGGUGAUGGCGCUGUCGGGAAGACUUGUCUCUUGAUUUCCUACACCCGUAACACCUUCCCCACGGUAAUCAUCUCUUCAUCAACCGCCUUCAGUUUCUGCCCAACUAAAGCACGGUUACACACUUAUUUCUCUUCGGACGUUUCUGUGGCUUCCAUGGGAACGGAGGAGGAUGAUAUAAAUGAGGCAACAACUUCAUUCGCUACAUGUUUGAACCUUAAAUUGAAGGGAUUAUAUAUUGAAAUUUGAAUCUACAACUUCGAAUUUCAGUCAUCUCUCUUCUCUUCUACAUCUCACCUGAUUCUCUAUUGAAAUUUCUAGGGUUUUUAAUUGAACCUACAUCUUCAUCUUAAUCUUCUUUUCUGAAGUUAGGGCUUUUUUCUUAAGAACAACUAAUUUUUUGCAGUAAGUAAACCUCUAAUUUUUUCAUUUCUCAUUUCCUUAGACCUCUCCCCUUUCCAUCUCAUAUCGAGGCAAAAUCAAUUUCACUUUGGUGGCUUCGAUUUCCUAGCACAUAUUAUGUUAUUAUAUGGAUUUGUAGGAAAUUAGAAAUCAUGUUAGAAUGUUUGAUGUUCUGUAUGUUCAUAAAAGUACAUCUAAAACAAAAAUCUUAGAUUAAACAAAACUGAAGCAUUUAAUGAGAUGUAAUUACUAACUUUUGUUGGAGAUGCAAAUGCUAAAUAAAGAAAACUGAAGCAUUAAAUGAGAACCUUUAUAAUUCGAUUUCAUUCAGAUCUUCGGUGGAUAUUUAGGGCUAACAAAGAAAACUGAAGCAUUUAAUGAGAUGUAAUUACUAACUUUCGUUCAAGGUAACCCCUGUUAUGAAUACAUGUAAGAAUUUAUUUAUCUUUUUCUCUCACCACUUGCUAUCCAUGUGCUGCUCUCUCAUAGUUGAUAUCUAACAACAAAGACCUGAUCAGUCUAGUUUGCUUGUUUUUUUUCUUUUUCUUAUAAUUCUUGAAUACGUGCAGAUUUUUUAAGACUUCUAGUUUUGUUUUUUGUUCAGUGAUAUUGAUGAUGAGGCAAGUUUAUCAACACUAUGGGAGAGAUAUCAAAGUGUCUCUGAAAAGGUAUUGCGAUAUCAAAGCAUAAAUUAUUUAUGGAUUAAAAUGGGAAAAUGACUUAUAUGGGUAAGAAAGUUUUAAAAACUUUUAAAAAUGACUAUCAAAGUAUUGUUUGUAUAAAAAACACCAACCAAGUUUACCAUUUUGUCAAAUCUAACAGGUUGGUAACCUGCAUCUGCCGGUCAAAAAAAAUUACCUGAUCAUUUUAAAAACUGAAAUUAUAAAUGACAUGGCAUCCUUUUUUAGUCUUACGUGGAUUAAUUGCAAGGGAAGAUCCAUUUUCUCAGCGUUCUUUCUCAAAAUCAGGAGGGAGUCAACACAGAACCCUCUCUAGGGUUAGUUUCUGCCCCUGUAUACAGUUAUUUUUGUUUAAAUUGACUGAUUUUAACAGUUGACGAAUAUGCUCCUGCUUUGGGCUAAUCACACAUAUGUCUUUUUUAUGACCAAAUUGCCCCUGUAUAUAGUUUUUUUUUGUUACAAUUGACUGAUUUUACCAGUCAAUUAAGGUGUUGUUUAGAAACUGUUAGUAUCCAAGACCAUUUACAUGCUCGUGCACAAAGACGAAUUUGCCCUUGAUUGUGACCAAACUGCCCCUGUAUACAUAUUUUUUAUUACUAAAAACACCCCCUGUCCUAGAAAAAUAUGACACUUCUAUACAAAAGCUAAUACCAAUUUCUCACUACAAAUCAACUAAUAAGAAAAGAAGUGGGCAACUCUCUAAAAUGACCAAAAUUUGAAUUGCAGUGUCACAAAUUGACAAUUUUUUAAAGCUAUAAUGAAAUAAUGCUUUGUUUUGUAAAAUAUACAAAAUCCGUUUGUUGUUGUGUGCAACUAAUCCACAAACAUUUACAUAAUUCUCGUUAGUGUACUUUGCAAAGUGGUGCUGAAGUAAUUUGGGCAACAAAAGUACAUAUAACUAUAUUAAUAUUCUCUAAAUAAUCAUAUAUAAUGAAAUAAUGGUUUGUUUUGUAAAAUAUACAACCCAUACUGUAUUUUUGAUAAAAAAAAAUAAUGAUUUUAAGAGAUUUUGUCCGAAAUACCCUUAUAUACUCUUUUUUUUGGUAAAAAAUUAAUGAUGUAAUAGUUUUUGACUAAAAUGCCCGUAUAUACUAUUUAACAGGUUUGACCCCAUCUGAAUUAUGAUUCAGCUUAAAAUUGAAUGCCAUUUUGACAAUUUUAUUGCUUUUAAGACUAUUUACUGCUGAAAAUAUGUCAAAUUUGUUACAUUUUGCUGCUAUAAAUAGUCAAAAAAUAACUAAAAGUCUACAAAGAUUCAAGGUAACAGUAAAUAAUACUGGCAUUUCCAGCAGCAAAUCUUCAAUUGCAGGGACUAAACUUUGUCAUUUUUAGCAGAAAACUUUAUCAACCAACAAAAAGAGGUUAAUAAAGAAUCUAAAUGGCAUUCCAUUGUAACAGCAUCAAAACACGACCUGCACUCAAAACCCUCCAAAAUAGCCCCUACACUCAAUUGUAACAGCCCCUCUGUUGUGAUUCCUUUAACUGUGACCAAAUUGCCCCUCUAUUGUGAUUCCUUUAGAUUCAAGGUAACAUUGUUUUAAGUGAAAAGAUCAUUUCAUAACUUGUUUACAUAAAUUCUUUCUUAGCUUGUUUACAUAAAUUCUUUUUCUGUCAAUUCCUUUCAAGACAAAAAGAAAGAAAGCAGGAACUUAUAGCCAUGCAAGUAAUUUCAUUAUUUUUCUCAUUAACGAUUGUACUUCCUUUGCUCUUUCUUGCAUAAUAAUAAACAGAUUUAAAGAGGAGUGGAGCCAUAUGACCACCUGAUGCCCCCAAAUCAAUUUAUUUGAGCUAGAUUUGAACGAUUUACAAGGAGAAGAAGAAAAUCAAUUGUCAAGAGGAGAGGAGAUGUAUGACCACCCACCUGAUGCCCUAAAUCGAUUUAUAAUAUGUAUUUUUCAUUUAAUGCUGAGUAGAUGUGCAACACACUACCUAAAUAUGCCAACUAAUCAUUACUUUUGCCAACUCAGCCGUUCACCUGGAGAUCCGGUUACCACCGGGUCAUAUUUGAACAAAAGAUAAACUUCGUUGGUAUUUUUUGUACGACGCCUAUAGUUAAAUGGUAUUUUUGAACAACUAAAACUUCAAUGGUUUUUUUUGAAUGUUUUUGAAACUUUCUUACCCUUAUAAGUCAUUUUCUCGAUUAAAAUUGAACUUUUUUCAUACAUUACCUAACAUUGACUUGUCUUAAUUUGCAGGCAGAAAUACAAAAGGCUUUUCAUAUAUUUCUUAAACAAUUUUUUGUAAUAUACAAGAAUUGGGAGCCAUUAGAUUUAGAUAAUUCCAUAGAACCUUUCAUUGAUUCAAGGGAUCCUCUUUCUGAAAAAAAGAUUGCAGUGGCAUCAGAAGGCAGUCAUAUCAGUGAUGGAAGCUGGUGGUCUUAAUUGGUUAGUAGGUAAGGUAUGCAUCUUCAGAUUUAAUUUCUAUUGAGAACUAAACACAUUUGAAUAUCUGAGAACUAAACACACUUGAAUAUUUAUAAAUGAUGCACACAUCCAAAGGGAUAAUAGCAAUGUUUCUAAUGGCGUCAAAUAGACCUGAUUGUGACCACUAAUGGUUCAUCAGGUUUGUUGAUUUUUAUUUUAUUUUAUUUGAAGUGCAUUAUCUGGUUUAAUAUGAAAUGAUUCAUGUUGAAAUUGGUUUCUUUUGUUACUCCAUAAUACUUGAUAUCUUAUUUUUUGCAUGCAGGUGCUAACAAAUAUGGUGUCAUUAUCAUUGUUGUUGUUGUUGUUGGAUACGGAUAUGUUUGGUGGAAGGUAAAUAUAAGCUCAUAUAUUAAUAUUAUUACUUUUUACAGUUAACUUGUACAUAGUUUUUCUUCAACUAACAGAAAUGGUAUCAUUAACAGGGUUGGAAACUUCCUGAUAUGAUGUUUGCUACAAAAUGAAGUUUAUCUGAUGCCACAUAUGCUUUAGCUAAAUAGAUUGACACUGUUUACUCAUCACUUGCAGUAAGUUAUUUAAAAACUUUGUUAUUUUUUUGUUAUUAAUUUGGGUUGUUUAUUAUGUUGUUUAGGCUACCAAGAGACAUUUAUCUACAAGGAUUGACCGUGUUGAUAGUAGUUUAGAUGAGGUUGCAGAAAUUACUGCUGCUAAAAAAGAGGAGGUAUGACAAGAUAAAGGUUGUUCUAGAUGUUUAAUCUAUACAUAAUGCGGUUUACACCCUGGUGUGGUUCUUUUCCAUUUUGUCUUGUGACUUUGAUAUUGUUUUCUGAGUUGGAUAUGUGGUAUGAUAAAUUAUUUUUACAUGAGAGUAGGCUGAGUAGGGUUGAAUUGAAAUAGGUACUGAAUAUUACCGUUUGACAUGCGAUUUUUUCUAGCUUAAUGAGAUAUUUAUAACAAAUAAUUUUGAAUUUUUGUUGUCUUUUGUAGGGAAAUCCAUCAAGUUCAUCAAGGCCAGCUCUUGAAUUACCAUAGAGAGUAAACUUCUAAUCUUAUACAAAUACAAUGAUUUGCUAAAUUCAAGAAAUAACAAUGCACUUUUAUUUAUUACUUUUAUUAAAACAUCCUAGUUUAAUUUCUAGCUUAAUGAGACAUUUAUUACUUUUAGCAGAGAUCGAUAUAUAUAUGAGCUUUUUGCUUUCAAACAUUGUUGGGGAAGAAUGUUGAAACUUGCUCUUUGUGAAGGUAAUUUUUUUUCUUAAUGCAUUAUCCUCUAUAUUCUUGAUAUUUUUCCCACUUUUUAAAUCUUUUAUCAAAUUCUCACUUUUGGAUACAGUGCUUGAUGAGAGAAUGUGUGACCUAAAUCUUUUAUCAAAUUCUCACUUUUGGAGUUGGCCAUAAGAAAAUGUAGGCAAAGGGUAAUUUGUUAUAGUUCAGGUUGACAAGGUGCUGUAUUUUUCACAUAAUUGACAAGGAGCUGUUGUAUCUAUUCAGACUAGACUUAGAGCAAUGGUUGCAAGAGAUGAGUUCAGCAGAAAAAGAAACAAGGCUGCAACUAUAGUUAAGGUACUAUGGAUGAAUUAUGUUUGUAAAGUAUUUAAGAAAAUGAUUAUAAACAAGGGUGAAUUUGUACAAAUUAGUUAGCUACUUGCANUGAGUAUUUGAUAUCAAAACUUCUCAAGUUGCUUCUAUUUCCAUGCUAAGUUGGCUUUUAUUUAUCUUACUGUUUAUUAUCAUUUUUUAUAUAAAACUUCAUCAUUUAUAUUAUAUAUAAUACAUUAUAGACUUUGCAUCAUAAUUUGUUCAAUGUUACAGGAUACAAUUCAAAAUUCAAUUUCCUCAUGUUGUUGCUGAAAUGACAGCAAUUGGUUUUGGCCUACCAAAGAAUGCAUUCACCGCUCUAAUGAAGAAUGUAAGUGUUUAUUUUUCUUUUCUGUUUGGUGAAAAUCAUCAAAUGAAAAUCUCAUUAUAUAUCUUAGGAUCUUAUCAGUUAAUGAACUUGAUCGUGGGUAUGAUCAAGCAUAGAUUUACAUUUCUACCCCUGUUUUUAUCUUUUAUCUUUUGUGUCAUAUAAUUAUAUUUCCCUUUUUUUAUCAGGUUAAUUUGGUGGUUAAUUAUGAUCUUCCUAUAAGACAUGAUCAUCAAUCUCAACCUGACCAUGAAGUGUAGUUGCACUGAAUCGGAAGAGCAGGGUGAUUAUGGGAGAUGUUAAGUAGUUAUAGGGCUUUAGAUGCUUUCCCUUUGGGUAGGAAAUGUUUUUAAGACAUGAUCAUCAUUCUCUACCCCUGCUUUCCCUCUGGUGUUUAUCUCCCAUAAAACCCUAAAAUGUGGAUGUGCUAAAACUGAAGAAAUUAGAAGACACAUACUGGAUUUUAGCAAGUCGGGUAAGUUUAAAAAUAUCUUAAUACGAUAUUGAUUAGAUUACACAACAUGUAAUGUAGAAAAUAUCAUGAAUAUUUAUGAUCAAUAUUCAACUUUUGAAAAUGUAUCCAGUUUGAUGUUUAUCUAUUUGACAUUUUUUUGAUAGAAAAUGAGAAUACCGGAGAAGAUGAACCACAAAUUUACAUUGAAAUGAUCAAUGGAAUUAUCAAAUCCCUUCAGGUAUCAUCUCAUAUCACUUGCUUAUGAAAUUUAUUCAUCUAUACUUGAAAAGAUAUAUUUAUUUUUGUGUUGUUUCCAGGCUAUCCUUGAUGCAGUUCUCAGCACAACAAUUAUGAUUUUAUGAUGUUAGGCUAAACUAUAAAGCAAUCAUUCUUUGUUUUAGGAAACGUUUCAGAGCUUCUUUAGGCAGCUUAAUGAUGAGUUAUUGAAACAAAAUGGUGCCCCUUUAUAGCAAUGUAGUAUUAGGUUAUAUAGAUAGGAAAAACCUCUUAAUAACAACGUACAAUUAGAUCCCCUUAAUAUCAAUGUAUUACAAUUUUAUGACAUGAUGUUAUUGAAUGAAAUUGAUUGUGUAAUGGAUUGUAUUUUUUGUAUAUGGUAUUUUAUUUUCUAUUAUGAGACAUGAAAUGCAAAUUUAAUUUGAAAAUUAGUAAAUCUAUAAAUAAUUUUUAAAAAAAAUAAAAUAAAAAUUAUGAUACGCAAAAAUGUGUGUCAUCUUCAUUUAUGACAUGGCCUUUCUUGACAGUGGCUUUAAUGAUACGCAUUGCGUGUCAUAAAUACGUGUCGUCUAUAGACGACGCGCAAAAGCGCGUCGUCUCUCGUUAUGACAGGGCCUUCCUUGACGCGCAUGCGCGUCGUCUGACCGUUUUACGACUCGCAAUGAGCGUCGUAAAAGGCAUUUUUUCUAGUAGUGUUUGAGACAAGAAAUCAGAACCAAUGUACCUUCCGAGCUCGCUACUUGGCGCGUUAGACCGAGCUCGUUUGGAAUUUUCAUUCCUCAAAGUAUUAUAAAGCCUAAUUGUUUCGUUAUUUUAGUGAAAAGUGGAUCCGGGUGCCCCCAUAUUUUGCAUCACGUCAUGAAUGUUUGUUGAACCAUAUUUUGUUAAAUAAACUUCAAAUAAAUUUUGAAAAACUUUGUUAAAUUUUGAAACUUCCUUUGAUGCAUAAUCAAUGUCAUCAUCCAAUAAACCCAAAUCGUAACAAAUAUUUUCAAUUAAAGUCUCAACCCCCCCAACAUUUAGAGUUGGAUUCAAAGUGGCGGAACAAGUAAUAAUGGGAGCCAUUUCUUGAAAAUAUUUUUUUAACUUUGCUUUCAUCGGUUUCAUCAUAUUAGCAAACAUUGUGCUCCUCAUUUCAAACUCAUUUAUUUUCGCACACAUUAAAAAAAUUUGGUUUAAAACUAAACAACUUGUAGGAUAAUAAACCCCCGAUAAAAAAGUGGUUGUUUUUUUUUUAAAAAAACAUCAAGCAUGUCUGUAACAAGUUUGAUAGUAUCCCAACUUGAUUCCGGAUAAGCCGUAACCUUAUUACGGUCCGAAGGUUGUCAUGUAACAUUUUUAAAGUAUGUUUUUGACGUAAGGCACAUUCAAAAAUUUUGCAAGUGGAGUCCCAUCGGGUAUUAUUUUCCCAAUUCAGACCUAAAAAGAGGGCAUUCGCAUCGACACAAAAUUGCAUAUAAUUAUGAUAUCGAGCGUUACUAGAACUAAAAAUAUCUUUUAGCAUGUCUUUGAAACCAUCUUUUAUAGUUUCAAUGUGAGUUAGUCCAUCUUGCACAACCAAAUUAAUCAUAUGUGCAACACAUCGACUAUGAAAAAUAAACACCAUCACAAAUUGGUUUAUAUUUUAGUUUUAGUUGUCCAACCGCGACGGUGUUGUUUGAAGCAUUAUCAAAAGAUAUAGAAAAAAUCUUUCCUUCAAGUUUAUAAGUUUUGAUCACACAAUCUAAAAUUUUAAAUAAAUUUCUAUCGGUGUGCGGGUACUCAAACAAUUCAAACGUAAUCGUAUGCUUUAUCAUUACCCAAUUAGUUGGAUUAAUCCAAUGAGCGGUAACACAAAGGUACGCAUCCGGUGAACCGUCAGGAGCCGUCCAAACAUCACAAGUUAAAUUCACACCGGUUUCUAAAGAUUGAAAUCCUAAAAUCAAUUCAUUUUUUGCAAGUUUCCACAUUUCAAUACAAUCGCGUCUAAUAGAAGUACGACUCACAUGGCAAUAUCGUGGUUGGAGAGUAUCUUGGAUGAGUGAAGUCAAUCGUUUGUUGUCGAAGUGGUCAAAAGGCAAGCAUUCUUGAAUCACGAACUUCGUCAUCCUAUCCCGAACUUUAGCCAUAUCGUAACUCCACAAUGUUGCAUCAUUCGUCAUUCUUGUUUGAAUAUGUCCCGACCCAAAUUUCACCGUGGGGCAUCUUUUGGUCAUAUGAUUUUUCAAUGUCGAAUUCUCAUCUUCAUUAAAAAAAGCACCACAUUUCUUGCAUUGCGCUUUUUUAUACCGUUCGACAUUACACACAAAUCGUAGUUGCACAAAAUAGCCGGAUUUCUAUUUGUUUCUUUGAUGCUAACAACGGUAAGAGUGUUUGAUGAAUCUCGAACACCAACGGAAGCCGAAUCCAUUGUUUGAAUUAAGAGUGGUUUUUGAACUAAGAGAGGUUUGCGGUUUUUGAACUAAGAGAGGUUUUUUGAGGUUUGGUUAAGGUAAAGUUGAGACCUAAAAAUGUAAUACAUAUAUAUAUACUAUAAGGAAUAGUUAAUAUGGUAAAAAAGAAGCAAAAAUCGAGUCUUGAACAGCCUCAAACGACUAUAUAGCCGUUAGGAAAAGACAAAAAAACGGUAACAUUACAAAAACCGGUUCACCAACGGCACUUUCGAAAUCUGGUUCAAAACUGGUUCAUCACACCUGUUCAGAAUAAACCAGUUCCAAACCGGUCUCCAGGGUAAAACAUGCGAACUGGUAACAUCCGAUGGUUCGGUUCACUAUGGGUUCGGUUCUUAUGUGAACCGGUUCAAGGCUAAACCGGUUUCCGGUUCACCAACCGGUUCGGUUCCUAAACCAGUUUUUUUGCCCACGCCUACCACUAGCUAGUCUAGGUGGGCUUUUAGUACGGGGGUUUUCAUGAGGAAUAGGUUGAAAGGAGUGUUGGCAUCUCACUGCCGUCAUCUGUUACCAUUUCAUAAGGAGUGGUAGCAUUCCUAGCACAUUAGAUUUUUUUUUUUUGAUUUUUUUUUUUGAACUUAAAUAAAUUAUAUUUUUAUAAAACACAAACAAUUCAAUAUUAAUCAAGAAACUAACUACAUUUUAUAGAUAAAUUUACCUUAUUUAAACAAGGAUUAAUAGAAAGGUCAAAUAAAAUUUAAAUGGUUAACGACAUGCUUAAAAUUUUACAAAUAUAUUGAUUUUGUAACGACACAAUUUUCUACUCUAUCAAGGUAAAGAAACAUUUAUGUUAAUAAUAAAGUGACACUUUAAUAUAUAUCUUCAAAUAAUUAUUAAAAAUAAAUAAUACUAUAAAAAAUUACCAAUACUAUCUAGAAACAAAAACCACUCACAGCACGGAAUUUACAAAACAACCAUCCAACUUCCUUAUUUUUUUGAAAGAGCUUUUACGAUCUCCAUUUCCAUUUCCUUUUUUUCUUAAAAUUACAUCUUACAUCUUCCAAUUUGCUAUUAUCAUUUCUUAAGUUUGUGAAAGUAGACUAUUCCACAAAACUACUCCUCCAAUUGUGUGAAACACGAAGCAAAAGCGAGACCUUUGAGCUUUUUCUUAAAAAAUAAUCCUUGUUUGAGAUGGAGACCACACCAUUGAUGGGAGAAAUGAAGGUUCUAGAGAACGAUUGUAAGAGGAAGAUUAUUGUAUCCACAGGCCAAUAUCCAACAAAUCUCUUUCUCUUUCUUCUCGCUAUGGUGUUGACGAGCCAUGGCUGGCGACUUCCUUGGCGCAAGCCAGGGGGCGGCCUUCAGCGCCCUUGGCGACCGGUGGCGACCUCCAUAGCGAGGCCCACUCCCUAAAGCCUUAUAACACACCAUUUAUUGACCAAGUUUACCCAACAAUGCAUCCCAAUUCAUUAGAUUUGUCUUAUCAUUAUACUUUUUAUACAAUUUCAUCAUUUUUCUAUAAUAUAUUAAAACUCUAUGAAAAUUCAAAAGAAUAUACUUUUGAAUUUUCAUAGAAUUUUAUUAUAUUAUAGAAAUAUGGUGAGAAUCCUAGAUGCUUUUAUCUCUCUUUCAGACUUAAAAGCCAGUAUGCGUUCAAUAAGUACGUGGCCAACUCCGGACCUAGCUUUUGCGAACGUGGGACGUUCACUUCGGAUAGCCUCGAAAUGAGUACCUCUUACUUUAAAAAUUUAUAACUUUGGCAUACGAGCUCCGUUUUCGACAUUCACUUUCAUUUAGACUCUGUUUGCUAAUUUUGAUUUUUAUUUUUAAAUUUAUAUUUUUUAACAGGCCGGGACUGGAAAAGCCCGUUAAAAAUUCAUAACUUCUUCAUCCGACGUUCGUUUUCGUAUGACUUUUUACCAUUAAACUACUAUCGACGAGAUUUUUGAUUCUCAUUUACAUUGUGUUGGAUAAAAAUCGCUCGAUCUAUACUUCGAACUACGGGCUGCACAAUGUUAUGCCAAAUCUUAGAAAAUUCAUAACUUCCUCAUACGAAGCUAGAUUUGGAUUUCUUUUUUAUGCACGCUCUUGGUUUAACGUAUACUACGAUUUUCAUUUAGAUUGCUAAGGCUAAAAAACACUUUAUCGUAAACUCACUUUUCACGUCACACAAUGUCAUGUCAGUUUUGUCGCGAAACUUCGAUAUGUCAUAAAUUCUUCGUGAUCAGGGCCGAUCUUGAAAAAUGAAAUAUUCUUGGAGCCCCAGGACGAGCAAGAAAAAAAUGGCCCUUAUCUUUAUUAUAAUUUUGUAAUUUUAAAUAAAAAUAUAUAAUGAAAAAAAUUAGGCCAUGUGCAGCUGCCCACUUUGCCUCCUUCUAAGCCCCCAUUGUUCAUGAUAACUCGGAUUUCAGCGUUCUUUAUAUUUCUGGAGUCCUUGUCACGACCACUACAACUUUCUUCAUAGAUAUCGGGUUUAUAUAACAUUUUAUUUUUGACGCUUAUUUUUAUUCUUAAUUAAUUAUAUCAUUAUAAACAAGUAUAUAAUCACAUAAAAUCACGUAAUUCACAUAAUACUCAAGUAAUUCAUCUUUAUUACAUUAAAAUAGGUUACAAUGGUUGACCUUGACUAUUACAUCAUCAUACUAAUGUGAAACAACCUAAAAUACGACCCAAUUUUUUUUUUGUUAAAAUAAUACUAAAGAUAUCAACCAUCAUAAUAUAUCAUGAAAUCGUACGUCAUAAAUCCCCAAAAAGUUAUAAUAGAUAUGUCAUGACAAAAGAGUUGUAUCAACAUACCAUAGUAUCUAAAAUAAACUCCCAGGACAAAAGUUGAAACUGUGGUGUGUGCAAUGUCAUCAUCCUGAGCUCUUUCCUUUGCUUGCGGAAAUACCUGAAACCAAAACUGAAACUGUAAGCACAAAGCUUAAUGAGCUCCCCCAAACUACCACAUACCAUACAAUAGCAUAUACAACACAUACUAGGCCUUGCCCACUGCAUCGGACCGAAGUCCGGAAAUUGCAUCGGACCGAAGUCCAGAACUAACCAAGGCCUUGCCCUCUGCAUCGGACCGAAGUCCGGAACUACAUCAGACCGAAGUCCGGAAACUAACCAGGGCCUUGCCCUCUGCAUCGGACCGAAGUCCGGAACUAACUGCAUCGGACUGAAGUCCGGAACUGACUGCAUCGGACCGAAGUCCGAAAUUGUCUGAACAUAACAUAUCAUAAACAUCUCAACCAGUAUGAACACAUAAACUGCAUAUCGCAUCAGACCGAAGUACGAAACACAUAACACAAAUACAUGCUUGAAUCACAAAGACAUCAAGCAUUCUAAGUACUGCAACGGACGGAGGUCCGAAACUUCUGCUAACUAAACCGACCGGCAUUGUAGCCGUAGACCCGUUCCUACUGGAAGGAAAACUCACCUCGUAAUGCUGGCUGCUGAGAUGCUAACUCUAAAAGUGACUGACCGCUGCUUCGGAACUGUCCGACUACAAAUCCCAGAAACACUAGAUUAGUUACUUGCAUAUACCCUCAGGGUAAGAUGACUAUUUUGCCCCUGGUCAAAGUCAACUUCUAGUUGACCGGACUCGCCGACUAUGGGCGCAGAACCGCCGAGUCCCUCCUUUACUAACUCUGACUUUAACUCACCGAGUCCCUUUCCCACUCACUGACUCUCUCUGAACUCGUAGGUCGAAGAAAAAAGGGGACUCACGACUCGACUCGUCGAGUCUGAAGAACAACUCGCCGAGUCCUGCCGUGCAUAUUCCAAACAAACGAAUUCAAAACUAUUCCAGAGCAUCUGACUUGAAGAUCUGAGCCCUUGGAACUAUCUAAACACGUGAAGUUUCUAACUUUACGUGCAACUAAGAAGGAAUGAAGCUAUUUCACUCAAACACUACUUUUCUUGGGAAAACUCAUCCGACUCGCCGAGUUGUAUGAACAACUCGUCGAGUCUAAGGUGAUCUUCAUCGGACUCGCAGAGUUGCUCAUCAAACUCGUCGAGUCUACGACUAUCUUCAUAUGACUCGCCAAGUCACACAUGCGACUCGCCAAGUCCAUUCAGUCCCUUUUUCCAUACAGACCUGAUUUGGGCCAUGCAGUGGCUCCAAAUCACAGAUCCAAGAUUCUAGGGCAUGCUUAUCACGUAAAUUUGCAAACUUUACGUGCAUGCAUGGCUUUAAAGGCUUCAAAUGCCAACCCUAAGCUCUUAAUGGGGUUCCAAGCUCAAGAGGGACCUCAAUCACGACCAUAACCGAAACUUUACUCUUCUAGAAUGCAAUGAGAGUCUAGAUCUGAUGUUUCCAUAAAAGGGGAAGUCCAUCUCUCAAGUUUGAACCAUAAGAGGCUCCAAAGAGGGCAUAACAAGCAUAUAUGAGGUUAUAAUGGGGGAAUGCACAAGGUCAUAACUUCAUUACCUGAAUGAAAAACAGAUGUAAGCUAACUCCUAGAUUUUCCUUCCCUUCUAUGGACCUUCCUUCCUUCCCAAAGCUUCCAAGCUAUCACAAAUACCCUCAAACUCAACAAUGGGGCUAGGGUUUACAAGGGAAAUGUUAUGAGAGUGAUAGAGGCGAGGUUGGGGGCGCAUAAGUGUGUUUAAAUAGGGUGAAAACCCUUAAAAUUAGGGCUUCAUCCAGACAGGCGGACUCGCCGAGUCCAACGUAUGGACUAGUCGAGUAGCCAUCUCAAAACGCGUGAUCGUCCCGUCUCUACUUGACGAGUCAGGCUACAGACUCGUCGAGUACCCCUUCAGAAAUGAAAAUACUUUAUUUGAAUUACAUACCAGAAAUGGGGCGUUACAACUCUCCCCCACUUAUCUUAGACUUUGUCCUCGUAGUCUGCUGCUGCUGCUGAAAAUAACUCUGGGUAAUGCUCCCUCAUCUCCUACUCGGACUCCCACGUCCACUCUGAACCCUUUCGGUGCUGCCACAACACCUUCACUAGCUGAACCACCUUGUUCCUCAAGGUCUUCGUCUUCCAAUCUAUGAUCGCAACUGGUCUCUCGAUAUAAUUCAGGCUGCUAUCAACCUGAAUAUCCUCCAAGGGUACAACUGCUGACUUGUCCACCAAACACUUUCGCAACUGGGAAACAUAGAAAGUGUUGUGGAUCUGGCUAAGCUCUACCGGAAGAUCCAACCGAUAAGCAACCCGACCCACCCGGACCAAAACCCUAAAAGGGCCAAUGAACCUGGGACCCAGCUUGCCUCUCUUCCGAAACUUGAUAACACCCUUCCAAGGUGAUACCUUCAGGAGGACCAUAUCGCCCACCUGAAACUCCAAGUCCGAACGCCUCUUGUCGGUGUAACUCUUCUGCCUACUCUGUGCAGUCUGCAGUCUACUACGAACCUGCUGGAUCAACUCUGUGGUCUUGAGCACCAUUUCAGUGCUCCCAAUGACUCACUGACCAACCUCGCCCCAACAAAUCGGAGUCCUGCACUUCCUUCCGUAUAGCAUCUCGAAAGGAGGACGUUUAAUACUAGUGUGGUAACUAUUGUUAUACGGAAAUUCCGCUAGUGGGAGAUACGUAUCCCAACUACCACCGAAGUCUAGAACACAUGCCCGGAGUAUGUCCUCGAGAGUCUGAAUUGUCCUCUCACUCUGCCCGUCCGUCUGGGGGUGGAAGGCGGUGCUAAAAUGAAGACGAGUCCCCAUCUCGUCAUGAAACUGCUUCCAAAAUCUGGAAGUAAAACGGACGUCUCGGUCUGACACUACCGAAACAGGCACUCCGUGCUGUGCUACUACCUCGCGUACAUAGAUGUGGGCUAGCUUCUUAGCCGAUAUGCUCUCCUAGAUCGGUAUAAAAUGUGCGCUCUUGGUCAGCCGAUCCAUUAUGACCCAAAUCGAAUCCACUCCCCGUGCGGUCCUGGGAAGCUUGGUGACAAAAUCCAUGGUAAUGUCCUCCCAUUUCCAUAUGGGAAUAUCUAACGGCAGCAUCUUGCCGUGGGGUCUCUGGUGCUCUGCCUUGACCUUCCUGCAGGUCAGGCAUCUCCCCACAUUCCAGGCGACAUCCUGCUUCAUGCAGGGCCACCAAUAGUCGGGUCGAAGAUCUCUGUAGAUCUUCGUUGCCCCUGGGUGGAUGGAAAAUCAAGAAUUAUGAGCCUCGUCCAUCAAUACCUGCCAUACUCCGCCCCAGUACAGUACCCAAACCCUCCCAUGGAGGGUCAACAAUCGUUAACUGUCAUAAUCAAAGGAAGCUACUCGGUCCACGAUUCUCUCACACUUCUGCCUCUCCUCCUUGAGGCCCUCGACGUGUGCCUCCCUGAUCUGCUCCAACAAGGGAGUAAUCACUGUCAUCCUCAAGCAUACAUCCCUGAUCGGGGCCGCUGCCGUCUUGUGGCUCAGGGCGUCGGCCACUACGUUGGCCUUCCCCGGGUGAUAAAGGAUCUCACAGUCGUAAUCCUUCACCACAUCUAACCACCGACGCUGCCGCAUGUUAAGAUUCGGCUGGUCCAUGAGGUACUUCAGACUCUUGUGAUCCGUGUAGAUGGUGCAACGGACCCCAUAGAGGUAGUGUCUCCAAAUCUUGAGGGCGAACACCACUGCCCCCAACUCCAAAUCAUGCAUCGGAUAGUUAGCCUCGUGAGACUUCAACUGUCUGGAGGCAUAAGCUAUCACAUGCCCCCGUUGCAUCAACACUGCCCCCAUAUCUGCGAUCGAGGCAUCACAGUAGACUACAAAAUCAUCCACUCUCUCCGGCAAGGUCAGAAUCGGUGCCUCGCACAAUCGCUGUCUGAGAGUCUCGAAAGUCGCCUGCUGCUCAGGCCCCUAACGAAACACCACCGACUUCUUGGUUAGUCGGGUGAGUGGAACUGCUAUCUUGGAGAAAUACUGAAUGAAUCUCCUGUAGUACCCUGCCAAACCUAGGAAGCUCUGAAUCUAUGAUGGAGACUUUGGGACCUCCCACUGCAUCAUGGCCUCUAUCUUGGCCGGAUCUACCAGUAUACCCUUCUGGUUGAUGAGGUGCCUAAGGAAUUGCACCUCGCGCAACUAGAACUCGCACUUGGAGAACUUUGCUAAAAGUUUCUCCCUCCUCAAGACCUCUAGCACCUCCCUUAGGUGCUCCUCGUGCUGCUCCUGAGUCUUGGAAUAAACCAAGAUGUCAUCGAUGAAUACAAUCACAGACCGGUCCAACAUCGGCAUGCACACGCGGUUCAUGAGUUCCAUGAACGCGGAUGGAGCGUUGGUGAGCCCAAACGACAUCACCACAAACUCAUAAUGACCAUAACGGGUCCUAAAAGUUGUCUUCUGAACAUCCUCACCCCUGACCCGCAUCUGAUGAUAACCGGAGCGCAAAUCAAUCUUGGAAAACCAAGACGCUCCUUGAAGCUAAUCGAACAAGGCAUCUAUCCUCGGAAGUGGGUAACGGUUAUUCACCGUUACCUUGUUCAACUCCCAGUAGUCUAUGCACAUACGGUGCGACCCAUCCUUCUUCUUCACAAACAAGAUUGGGGCUCCCCAUGGAGAACUAAUUAGUCUAAUGAAACCCUUGUCUAGCAGCUCCUGCAGCUGCGUAUACAACUCCUGCAUUUCUGGAGGAGCCAACCGAUACGGCGCCUUGGCUAUCGGAGCCGCACCAGGAACCAAGUCAAUCUUGAACUCAACCUGUCUCUCUGAAGGUAUCCCAGGUAAUUCCUCUGGGAAUGAGUCCGGGUACUCUCGCACCACUGCUACAUCAUCUACUGUCAUCGUACUCUUAUCCCGGGUAUCCAUCACAUAUGUGACAUAACCUGCUUAACCCUGUUGGAAGUAGCGCCUCACUCUCACUGCUGAACAAAGAAUCGGUCCGCGUUGUGGGCUCUCGCCCUGAAUCACUAACUCUCCCCCGUUGGGAGUGCGAACCCUCACUAGCUGCAAUUCGCAAUCAAUCAUCGCCCCAUUGGGGCUCAACCAAUCCAUGCUUACUAUGGCCUUGUUCCCUCGCAAAGGAAUAGGGACCAUGUCCACCGAAAACUGCUCAUCGAAUAACUGCAGUGAGCAUGCCUUAUGCACCCUCGUGACCCUGACGGUCCUAUCAUCGGCUAUCUCCACCUCGAGUGGACAAUCCAGCUCCCUAGGAUCUCUGCUAAACCUCUUGCUAAGUGCAAGAGAGACAAACGAUCGGGUAGCCCCUGAAUCAAAUGACACUGUAGCUGAAAUGUCGUUCACUAAGAACGACCCUAUACAUAAACAUAUAACAUUAGAAACAAUCAAUAAUCAAUGCAUAGAUAAAAGGAAAAUACAUACCCGUCACCACGUCAGGAGUCGCUCGCGCCUCCUCUGCUGUUAUCUGAAAAGCUCUACUCUUCGCCACUGGCACCUCGGCCCGCCCCUGACGACCGUUCGUAAUCCUCAAUGUAGCAGGGGCAGGUGCCGACACCUUCCCUGCUGCUGCUAAGCUUGGGCACUGGGACUUUUUAUGUCCCCUCUGAUUGCAAUGGAAGCAAAUCAGAUCUGAUGCUGCGGUAGCUGUGGUAGAAACUGUACAAUCUCUGCUCAUAUGCCUAGUCCAACCGUACUUGUAGCAGCCGGAACUCCCUGCCUUGCACGCCCCAUCGUGUAAUCUCCCACACUUGCCACACCGACUGUGGCUCUGCUGACCUCUGGACCUAUGAUCCGAAACCUUGGGCUUCUUGCCCAAACUCCCUGUACCCGAAGCCGCCUCCGCCUUCCUCUUAUUCUCCAUCUCAAGAUCAAUCUCUCUCUCUCUCUCUCUCUCUCUCGCCCUUGCAAUCAUAUCAUCCAGCAUCUUACAGCUGGAUCGGCUCACAAACUGGCGGAUAUCACUCCGCAGCGUCUCAUGAUAACGGGCCUUCUUCAUUUCCUCGUCAGCUGCGUACUGAGGAACAAGAAGAGCCCUCUCCCUGAACUUGGCGGUAAUCUCCGCCACUGUCUCUAUAGUCUGAGUAAGGUCUUGAAACUCUCUAGCUAACUGUUGCACCUCAAUAGUCGGUGCGAACUCGGCUCUGAACCUGGUGGUAAAAUCAGCCUAAGUCAUAGUAUCAAGUGCUAUGUCAUCCCUGAUACCAUGCCCAACCUCCUCCCACCAGUCACAUGCCCUAUCCUUCAGGAGACAGGAUGCUAAUCUGACCUUGUCCCCUUCGGGACAUCUGCUAGUGCGGAACACGUUGGCAACAUCUGCCAACCACCUAGUGCUCGCAAUGAGGUCCCGCACCCCAUGAUAGCCUGGAGCUCCACAAGCCCGAAACUCCCUGAAGGUGAGUGUGCGCGACCCCAUCAUGGCCGCCAUCUCAGCACGAAAUGUGCUCAACUUCUCAUCCAUCAACUCCAAGAUACCCUCCUUGAUCGAACCGAAGAUCACAGGACUCUGCUCAAGUAUGAUACGGGUAACCUCUGAAGUGAAAAACUCCCUAGUUUGCUCAUCCAACUGCUCGGCCCCCCAGCCUGAUCCUGAUCCUUCCUCGGCACCUGAGCUGCCGACUGCUGGCCUAGGGCGUAAAACCACCAUUCUGAAAACACAUCAUGAUAAACGUCAAAAACACUGAUAUAUCUCUAGGGAUCGCUACUACUAUAGGUUUCCUGGUCUCGCCUCUGCCUUCCUUGAUUCAAGUACAAAUCCUCAACAAAAACCAGUCCUCAACUGCUGAAGGCCUCCUUGUAAUGCCAAUUAGUCAUCACCUGAAUAUCAUCACAUGUGACGAGACUCAGAUAAUCCUUCGAGUAAAAGACUCAUUCCUACAACGGAUGGACUCAAACAAGAGCUGCGCAGUAGAGCCAAAUCCAGCACUCUGAGAUUAUUCAACCCUGAUCUCAGGCGAUGUGUCGUAUUCACCUAAUGGUUAACUCUCAUUACCCGGAGUCUCAUAAAGCACAAAGCAAGCAGCAUUCGGACACAGGAAACUAAUCAAGCCACUCUAUUCUCAUAACAAGAAAUUGUACUAGCAUACAAUGUUAAGCUCGUACUGUCAGGCAUAACCUAAACAGGCUAUCCUACUGCUGUCUACUCAAUACUAGCAUGCAGUUCUCAUAAAGCUGAAGCACAUAUAGCAUGCACAUAAGGCAUCCUGCUAGAUCCUUAGUCCUAUUCUAGCAUGCUGUUCUACUGAAACUAAAACUGAUAAUCAUAACAUAAACUUGUAUGGGUAAUUUAGGGGUACUUACUUGAGCUCGACUGAUCGCAUGCACCACACCCUUUUCUCGUUUUCAAAACUCUUUUCUUUUUAAGUCUCUUUCUCAAAAGUUCUUUUGAACACAUUUUUCUUUCGAAAAUCUUUUUUCUAUUUCCUCAGUUUGAGUUCAGUUACACCCGUAAGUGUGUCUGAAUCCCUCAAACCAAGGCUCAGAUACCAACUUGAAAUAACCCAAAAUACAACCCAAUUUUUUUUUGUUAAAAAAAUACUAAAGAUAUCAACCAUCAUAAUAUAUCAUGAAAUCGUACGUCAUAAAUCCCCAAAAAGUUAUAAUAGAUGUGUCAUGACAAAAGAGUUGUAUCAACAUAACAUAGUAUCUAAAAUAAACUCCCAUGACAAAAGCUGAAACUGUGGUGUGUGCAAUGCCGUCAUCCCGAGCUCUUCCCUUUGCUUGCGGAAGUACCUGAAACCAAAACUGAAACUGUAAGCACAAAGCUUAGUGAGCUCCCCCAAACUACCACAUACCAUACAAUCAUAUAAAACACAUAUUGGGCCUUGCCCACUGCAUCGGACCGAAGUCUAGAAAAUGCAUCGGACCGAAGUCCGGAACUAACCAGGGCCUUGCCCUCUGCAUCGGACCAAAGUCCAGAACUGCAUCGGACCGAAGUCUGGAAACUAACCAGGGCCUCGCCCUCUGCAUCGGACCGAAGUUCGGAACUAACUGCAUCCAACCGAAGUCCGGAAUUGUCUGAACAUAACAUAUCAUAAACAUCUCAACUAGCAUGAACACAUAAACUGCAUACCGCAUCGGACCGAAGUCCGAAACACAUAACACAAAUACAUGCUUGAAUCACAAAGACAUCAAGCAUUCUAACUACUGCAACGGACAGAGGUCCGGAACUUCUGCUAACUAAACGGGCCGGCAUUGUGGCCGUAGACCCGUUCCUACUGGAAGGAAAACUCACCUCGUAAUGUUGGCUGCUGAGAUGCAAACUCUAAAAGUGGCUGACCGCUGCUCCGGAACUGUCCGACUACAAAUCCCAGAAACACUAGAUUAGUUACUUGCAUAUACCCUCAGGGUAAGAUGACUAUUUUGCCCCCGGUCAAAGUCAACUUCUAGUUGACCGGACUCACCGAGUCAGGGCGCAGACUCGCCGAGUCCCUCCUUUACUAACUCUGACUUUAAUUCACAGAGUCCCUUUCCCACUCACUGACUCUCUCUGAACUCGUAGGUCGAAGAAAAAAGGGGACUCACGACUCGACUCGUCGAGUCUGAAGAACAACUCGCCGAGUCCUGCCGUGCAUAUUCCAAACAAACGAAUUCAAAACUAUUCCAGAGCAUCUGACUUGAAGAUCUGAGCCCUUGGAACUAUCUAAACACGUGAAGUUUCUAACUUUACGUGCAACUAAGAAGGAAUGAAGCUAUUUCACUCAAACACUACUUUUCUUGGGAAAACUCAUCCGACUCGCCGAGUUGUAUGAACAACUCGUCGAGUCUAAGGCGAUCUUCAUCAGACUCGCCGAGUUGCUCAUCCAACUCGUCAAGUCUACGGCUAUCUUCAUAUGACUCUCUGAGUCACGCAUGCGACUCGCCGAGUCCAUUUAGUCCCUUUUUCCAUACAGACCUGAUUUGGGCCAUGCAUUGGCUCCAAAUCACAGAUCUAAGCUUCUAGGGCAUUCUUAUCACGUAAAUUUGCAAACUUUACGUGCAUGCAUGGCUUUAAAGGCUUCAAAUGCUAACCCUAAGCUCUUAAUGGGGCUCCAAGCUCAAGAGAGACCUCAAUCAUGACCAUAACAGAAACUUUACUCUUCUAGAAUGCAAUAAGAGUCCAGAUCUAAUGUUUCCAUAAAAAGGGGAAGUCCAUCUCUCAAGUUUGAACCAUAAGAGGCUCCAAAGAGGGCAUAACAAGCAUAAAGGAGGUUAUAAUGGGGGAAUGCACAAGUUCAUAACUUCAUUACCUGAAUGAAAAAUAGAUGUAAGCUAACUCCUGGAUCUUCCUUCCCUUUUAUGGACCUUCCUUCCUUCCCAAUGCUUCCAUGCUAUCACAAAUACCCUCAAACUCAACAAUGGGGCUAGGGUUUACAGGGGAAAUGUUCUGAGAGUGAUAGAGGCGAGGUUGGGGGCGCAUAAGUGUGUUUAAAUAGGGUGCAAACCCUUAAAAUUAGGGCUUCAUCCAGACAGGCGGACUUGCCGAGUCCAGCGUAUGGACUCGUCGAGUAGCCAGCUCAAAACGUGUGAUUGUCUCGUCUCUACUCGACGAUUCGGGCUACAGACUCAUCGAGUACCCCUUAAUAAAUGAAAAUACUUUAUUUGAAUUACAUACCAAAAAUGGGGCAUUACAUAAUGCUUAGCCCAGAAACACGGACGUUACACUUCUCUCCUCCUUAGGAUGAUGCCAUCCCCAGAAUCAUACAUCAACAAACUAAUGCGGAUAGCGACUCAUCAUGUCACUCUCCAUUUCCUAGGUGAGAUUUGACUCAUUCGUAUGUUUCCGUCGCACAAGUAGUAAGUCAACCAUCUUGUGACGCAACUUCUUCGUCUUAUGGUCAACAAUCGCCUCCGGUUCUUCAACUAGCCUCUUAUUUUCAUCCAUCCUUAGCUCAUAAAUUAGAAUUAUGUCAGGAACUUCUCCCAUGAAUUUCCUCAAAUAACUCACAUGGAAAGUGUUAUGAAUAAUGUCUAGUUCUUCUGGUAGUUCUAGCUUGUAGGCUUGGUUCCCAAUCCUCUGAAGAACUUUGAACGGUCCAAUGAAUCUUGGACUUAACUUCCCUUUUUCCCGAAUCUUAUAAGUUCCUUGUAGCACCUGGUUCCUGGUAUGUAAUUUAUUUAAAUAUUUUGCAUUUUUGGCCUUGGACUCGGCAAGUUGAAGGACCAACUUGCCGAGUAGAAGCGGGAUGGGACGUGGGAUUUAAGUGAUGGACACGUCGAGUCGGGUCCCGGACUCGACGAGUAGGCUCUGACUGAAAAACCCUAAUCCGAGGGUUUGCACCCUAUUUAAUCAUCUCAUUUUCCCCUAAUGCUCCCAGAAACCCUCCCUAGUAAACCCUAAGUGUUUUGGUGCAAGAUCUAAGGCUUUUGAGUGAUUUUUGUGGGUUUUGACCUCAAGGAAUAAGGAAGAGCAUAGAAGGAUCAAGAGGAGACUGAAGGAUUAGAGUUUGGUGCAUCAUUUUCAGUCCUUGAAAGGUAUAAAUUAUGUACCUUGCUUGUUCAUUUGUUAGAUCCUUUUUUGGGGAAGAUUUAGGGCUUCUUAAGUCAUAUGAGGUGGCCAAACAUGGUUGGGGGUCAAGACUUCGGAUCUAAGUCUUGGAAGGAGUCCCAAAGCAGAUUUGGGUUGCUUUUGCACCCAAGGAAGGUCCCAUGCAACAUAAGAGCCAUUUUAGAGCCUUUUUGGGUCAAAAGUCCCAUGCAUGCACGUAAAGUUCGAAACUUUACGUUCUAGAUCGAGCUUAGGGCUUGGAUCUAUCUUUUUGUCAAAGGUUGUACAUCAGAAAUCGAGGAUUUAGGGUGUGGAUGUUAUCGAAUCGGCGAGUCAGUUCUUGGGACACGACGAGUCCAAAGCAUAGGGUCUGUUAUCUGUUGAGGGUCAAAAGAACCCAGUUGGGUGUUAGAAGGGUUGUAGAAGGUCCGAGAGAGUGACCCAACGUGUUGGACUUAGCCUUAGACUUGGAAUUCAUGGGACUCGUCGAGUGCUAGAACAGACUCGGCGAGUCCAAGGCAAUCUCCUUAUCGAUGAAGAUGAACUCGACGAGUUGUUCAUACAACUCGGCGAGUCGGGGUCAGGACUUGUUCAUCAGAUGAAGGUGAACUCGACAAGUGUUCAUCCGACUCGGCGAGUCGGAUGAAGGUUCAUUGAUGUUCGUAAAGAAAGGGAACUCGUCGACUUGUUGCCAAACUCGACGAGACGAGUCGUGGAUAAGGACGAGUAAAGGAAAGGGACUCGACGAGUUNAACUCGGGGAGUCGGGUCAACUGGAAGUUGACUUUGACUUGGACUUGGUUGGGGGUAAAAUAGUCAUUUUACCCCAAGAGUAGAUAUUAGUUUUCUGACUGAGUAUUUUGUGGGGAUUAUAGCCGGAGGAUUUCCGAAGCAACAGCAGGCAGAGGUUUCCUGCACAUAUUAUCAGCAGCUACUUGUUCGAGGUGGGUUGCCUACCAGUAGCGGUGGGUCUACGACCACAAUGUCGGCCCACCAAUAGGAGUUGUAUAAUUAUAUGAUUGUCUUUGUGAUAUCAUCUAGGUUGCUUCUACCUGAUAUGUUAUAUGCUGGCAUGAUAUGUUAUAUGUGAUAGUAGUAGAGUUCGGUUGUUAGGACCGAAGGGUAGGUCAAACACCCCAGAUAUGUAUGACAGUAUGUGAUGAUAUGUUUAUAUGCCGACAUGACAUGUUAUAUGGGAUAGUGGUAGUAGGAGGGGAACAGUCCCCAAGUUCGGUUGUUAGAACCGAAGGGUAGUUCAGACACCCCAGAUAUGUCUGAUAGUAUGUUUAUGUUAUGAUAUAUGUGAUAGUAGUGGUACGUGUGGAAUAGUCCCCGAGGGUCGGUCUUUAGGACUGACGGGUAGGUCAGCACCCCAAAAAGACUUGACAGGGGUAGGACGACACCCCAGAAUGGCCGCACGGGUAGGUCGGCACCCCAGAAUGGCCGUACCGGGUAGGCCGGGCACCCUAGAAUUGCCUGGCAGUAUGUAUGCUAUGUGAUUGUAUGGUAUGUGGUACGAUGGGGGAACUUACUAAGCUUCCUGCUUACAGUUUACAGUUUUGGUUUCAGGUACCUCUUCAACAAAGGGGAAGGAGCUGGCGCGGUAGCGGCACAUCAUACACACAUGUUGGUUUCCGCACUAGUGUUUCUUGGGUCGUUACAAGUUGGUAUCAAAGCCCUGAUCUGAGGGAUUCGGACACACCUUGGGGGUGUCUGGACUCAAAUCGAGGGAUUAAAAGACUUUUACAAGAAAAAUGGUUUCUUAAAAGCUAAGAUAAAAGAGUUUUGGGAAAGAACAAAGUGUGUGAUGUGCGCGACCGGCCGAGCUCAAGUAAGUAUUCCCCAAAGUACCCAUACAAGUUUAUGUUAUGUUUAUCAGUUUCAGUAGAAUAGCAUGCUAGAAUAGGACUGAAGAUCUAGGAAUGAUGGCUUAUGUGUCUGCUUUAUGUGCUCCAGCUUAUGAGAAUUGCAUGCUAGUAUUAAGUAGAAAAUAAUAGGAUAGUCUGUUUAGGUUAUGCCUGGUAUUAUGAGCUCAGCAUUGUAUGAUGGUACAACUUCUCGUUAGGAGAAUAGAGUUGUUUGAGUAGUUUCCUGUGUCCGAAUGAUGCUUGCUCAGUGCUUGUAGGACUCUGAAUGAUGGCCGUUAGCCAUUAGGUGAGUACGUCGCGUCGCAUGUCAUUAGGAUUGAAUAAUCUCAGAGUGCUGGAUUUGGCCCUAUUGCGCGGCUCUCGUUUGAGUCUAACCGUUGUAGGGACGAGUCUUUUACUUGAAGGAUUAUCUGAGCCUUGUUACAUGUGAUGGUAUUUAGGUGAUGGCUAAUUGAUAUCACAAGGAGGCCUUCAACAGCCGAGGACCGGUUUGGGUAGAGUCAGAGAUUUUCCCUAGGGUAAGCCUACGAUGAGAGUAGCAGAGAUCAGCAGUGGAAAAAGGGACUUGGUGGAGUCGAGGCCGUCCUUGAGGAAAGUACGGAUAGAUAUGGAAGGUAGUAUGGGCCCGUACUACAGAAAGCAGAGGAUCCGUACUCGAAUUAAGGAAGGCUAAGGCAAGACCAAGGAACUUGUGAUGGGUGUGAUCCCUAUAGAUGUACUAGUAUCACUGACGGAUGUCAUGAUGUAUUGCGGAAUGGUGGUACUAAGGCCAAGGCCAGCAGUGGGUAGCUCAGGAGAGGGAUCGGGUUCGGGUUCAGGCUCCGAACCAGUGGACGAGAGGCUACGCGAGUUCAUCGCGUCUAAGAUCACUAUAGGCAUCCUUGAUGCGACCCCGAUCAUCUUUGGGUCGAUCAAGGAAGGGAUUGUUGAGCUGAUGGAGGAUCGCCUUAGGGCGCUCAGGAGUGACAUGGCGACCAGCCAGUCAGGAUCCCGCAUACUAUCCUUUAAGGACUUCAGGGGCAGUGGCGCGCCGGACUUCCACGGGGAAAAGGACCCCAUUUCUGCUAGACGAUGGAUUGCGGACAUGGAGUCUGCACAGCUGACAAGCUUCUGCCCCGAGGGGCCGAAGGUGAGAUAUGCAGCAGGGUGUUUGAGAGACAGAGCUAGAGAUUAGUGGGAGUCUGUUGUUGACUCCUUGGGAGCCUCGGCUGUUGAGGCUAUGACCUGGUUAGACUUUGUGACCAGAUUCAGGGCGGAGUUUGCGCCAGCUGUAGAGCUUCAGCAGCUGGCCAGAGAGUUUUUGGAUAUGAGACAGACUACGGAGACUGUGGCGGAGAUCACCGCCAACUUCUGGGAGAGGGCAUUGCUUGUGCCCCAGUAUGCGGGAGAUGAGGACAUGAGGAUGACCCGCUAUCAUGACAUGCAGCGAGCCGAAAUUCGGGAGCAUGUUAGUUUUUCAGCUUGCCCUACCCUAGAUUCCAUGAUUUCCAGAUCAAGGGAGAGGGAGAUCGAUCUAGAACAUGUCCAGAAGAGGAAGGUAGAGGAGGGGCAGACGAUUGGGGCUUCGGAGAAGAAGCCUAAGGGAUCAGAUGGUAGGCCGAAAGGCCAGUCAGGACCAGGCCACUGCAGGAAAUGCGGCAGGCCACAUGAGGGGGCGUGUAGAUUGGGAUUGUCGGGCUGCUACAAGUUCGACAAGACGGGGCAAUUCAGCAGAGAUUGUACCGCCCCUACACCAGUUAUUCAGACGUCUGAGUUGCUGUGUUUUCAAUGCAACCAGAGGGGCCACAAGAAAGACAACUGCCCCCAGUUAACAGCAGCAACAGUGCCAGUGAAGGCGCCAGGUCUAGCGACCCUGCGAAUUACUGAUGACUGGAAGGCCAAGGCUGAGGCUCCAGUGGUGAGGAGUCGGGCCUUCCAGUUGACUACCGAGGAGGCACGCGCUGCACCCGAUGUGGUAACAGGUAUGACUUCUUGUUUAUGCUUUUAUGAUAUGCUGCUGUGAUUUUGAUAUGUUAUGUAUGUGCUCUGUUUAGGAUCGUUCCAUGUGAACGGUAUCCCAGUUCAAGUAUUGUUUGAUUCGGGUGCUACCCGAUCAUUUGUCUCUCUUGCGCUUAGCAAGAAGUUUCCUGAGUCUUCGGGCAUGUUGGAUUGCCCUUUAGAGGUUGAGAUUGUAGACGACAGGUCGGUACGAGCAUUAGAGGUCUUCCGAGAUUGUGUUUUGAGGUUGUUCGAGGAGCGUUACAUGGUAGACUUGAUUCCCAUACCCUUGCGGGGGAACAAGGUUAUUAUCGACAUGGAUUGGUGGAGCCCCAAUAGGGCGGUGAUAGAUUGCGCACAAUAGUUGGUGCGAGUCAGGACCCCAGGAGGGGGAGAUUUAGUGAUUUAGGGUGAGAGCCACAGCGAGGGCCAACCUUAUGUUCGGCAACGAGGACAAGGCGUUACCUUCAGCAGGGUUGCGCCGGAUAUGUCGCUUAUGUCAUGGACACCCGGGAGGAGGGAAAGGCGACAGUGGGCAAUGUGCCUGUGGUACGAGAGUUUGCGGACGUAUUCCCCGAGGAGUUGCCUGGGAUACCUCUGGAACGAUAGGUGGAGUUUAGGAUCGACCUAGUCCUUGGUGCGGCUCCGAUAGCCAAGGCACCGUAUCGGUUGGCUCCUCUUGAGAUGCAGGAGUUGUCUACACAGCCGCAGAAAGUAUUAGACAAGUGAUUCAUUAGACCUAGUAGUUCUCCCUGGGGAGCCCCGAUUCUGUUUGUGAAGAAGAAGGACGGGUCGCAUCGGAUGUGUAUAGAUUAUCGGGAGCUGAAUAAGUUAACGGUGAAGAACCGUUACCCACUCCCGAGGAUUGAUGACCUCUUUGACCAGCUACAGGGAGCAUCUUGGUUCUCCAAGAUUGAUCUGCGUUCAGGGUAUCAUAAGAUGAGGGUCAGAGAGGGGGAUGUACAGAAGAUAGCGUUCCGGACGCGCUAUGGCCAAUAUGAGUUCGUGGUGAUGCCUUUCGGGCUCACCAAUGCUCUUGCCGCAUUCAUGGAUCUCAUGAACCACGUGUGCAGACCAAUGUUGGAUCGGUCCGUGAUAGUUUUCAUCGAUGAUAUCUUGGUUUACUCCAAGACACAGGAGGAGCACGAGGAGUAUCUGCAAGAGGUUCUAGAGACUUUGAGAAGGGAGAACUUGUAUGUUAAGUUCUCCAAGUGUGAGUUCUGGUUGCGCGAGGUGCAAUUUCUCAGACACCUUGUCAACCAGAACGGGAUAUCGGUGGACUCGGCCAAAGUGGAGGCCGUGAUGAGAUGGGAGGUUCCAAGGUCUCCAUCCGAGAUUCAGAGUUUCCUAGGAUUAGUCGGCUACUAUCGGAGAUUCAUCCAUGAUUUCUCCAAGAUAGUCAUACCCCUGACCAGGCUAACGAGGAAAGUCGUGGUUUUUCGUUGGGGGCCUGAGCAGCAGGCCGCAUUCGAGACAUUGAGACAGAGAUUGUGUGAGGCACCAAUCUUAGCCCUAUCGGAGGGCAUAGAGAAUUUUGUUGUGUACUAUGACACGCCCAUUUCAGGUUUGGGCGCGGUACUGAUGCAGAGAGGGCAUGUCAUUGCCUACGCUUCGAGGCAGCUGAAGCUUCACGAGGCGAACUACCCGACGCAUGAUUUGGAGCUGGGGGCUGUUGUGUUCGCCCUUAAGAUUUGGCGUCAUUACCUCAAUAGGGUUCGCUAUACUAUCUACAUAAACCACAAGAGUUUGAUGUACCUCAUGGAUCAGCCGAAUCUAAACAUGAGGCAGCGUCGGUGGUUAGACGUGGUGAAGGAUUACGAUUACGAAAUCCUUUACCACCCGGGGAAGGCCAAUGUGGUGGCCGACGCACUUAGCCGCAAGGCAGCGCCGAUCAGGGAUAUUUGUCUGAGGAUGAUAGUGGUGACCCCGCUGUUGGAGCGGAUUCGGGAGGCCCAACGGGAGGCCAUGAAGGAGGAACAUCGGAAGAGCGAGCGGAUUGUGGGGCAAGUUUCCUCCUUCGAUUAUGAUAGCCGAGAGCUGUUGACACUACACCGUAGGGUGUGGGUGCCGUACCACGGGGGUGUACGCCAGGUUCUGAUGAAGGAGGCGCACAAAUCUCGAUUCUCCAUUCAUCCCGGGGCGACGAAGAUGUACAAGGACCUUCUUUUGGACUAUUGGUGGCCCUGCAUGAAGCUGGAUGUAGCAUGGUAUGUGGAGUGGUGCUUGACCUGUAGGAAGGUCAAGGCCAAGCACCAGAGGCCACAUGGAAAGAUGCAGCCGUUGGAUAUCCUGCUGUGGAAAUGGGAAGACAUUACGAUGGAUUUUAUCAUAAAGCUUCCUAGGAUCGCUCGGGGAGUGGAUUCGAUAUGGGUCAUCGUCGAUCGAUUAACCAAAGAGCGCCCAUUUUAUUCCGAUCCAGGAGGGAAUUUUGGCCGAAAAGUUGGCCAACAUCUAUAUCAGGGAGGUGGUGGUGCGGCACAGGGUGCCGGUAUCGGUGAUUUCAGACAGGGACGUGCGGUUCACUUCCAGGUUUUGGAGGAAGUUUCAUGACGAGCUGGGUACUCGUCUGUAUUUUAGCACCGCCUUUCACCCACAGACGGAUGGUCAGAGCGAUCGGACCAUCUAGACAUUAGAGGAUAUGCUGCGAGCAUGUGUUUUAGACUUCGGAGGUAGCUGGGAUACCUACCUUCUGUUGGCGGAAUUCUCGUAUAAUAAUAGCUAUCAUACGAGUAUUAACCGUCCUCCCUUCAAGAUGUUAUACGGGAGGAAGUGCAGAACCCCAAUAUGUUCGGGUGAGGUUGGCCAGAGGGUCAUGAGGAGCAUCGAGGUGGUGCUCAAGAUGACAGAGAGGAUUCAGCAGGUCCGGAGCAGACUUCAGACUGCUCAGAGUCGGCAUAAAAGUAAUCUUGAUAAGCGCCGAUCAGACCUGGAGUUCCAGCUCAAGGAUAUGGUUCUCCUAAAGCUGUCGCCAUGGAAGGGCGUCAUCCGAUUUAGGAAACAGGACAAGUUGGGCGCCACGUACAUUGGACCGUUCAGAUUCUUAGCCCGGGUGGGCAAGGUAGCAUACAGGUUGGAUCUGCCAGCCGAACUCAGCCAGAUCCACAACACUUUCCACGUCUCCCAGCUGCAGAAGUUUCUGGUGGACGACUCAGCAGCGGUACCCUUAAAAGAUAUUCAGGUCGAUGACAGCUUGAAUUACAUUGAGCGGCCAGUAGCGAUCCUCAACCGGAAGUCGAAGGAACUGAGGAACAAGAGGGUUGAACUAGUGAAGGUGCAAUGGCAACAUCGGAAGGGCUCAGAAUGGACUUGGGAGCCAGGGGAGGAGAUGAUCGAGCAUUACCCAGAGUUGUUCCAGGAACGAACAGCAGACUUCGAGGACGAAGUCUAAAAUAAGUGGGGGAGAUUUGUAGCACCUGGUUCCUGGUAUGUAAUUUAUUUAAAUAUUUUGCAUUUUUGGCCUUGGACUCGGCGAGUUCAAGGACCAACUCACCAAGUAGAAGCGGGAUGGGACGCGAGAUUUAAGUUAUGGACUCAUCGAGUCAGGUCCUGGACUCGACGAGUAGGCUCUGACUGGACAAAAACCCUAAUCUGAGGGUUUGCACCCUAUUUAAUCAUCUCAUUCAGCCACCACUCUACCCUAAUGCUCCCAGAAACCCUCCCUAGUAAACCCUAAGUGUUUUGGUGCAAGAUCUAAGGCUUUUUGAGUGAUUUUUGUGGGUUUUGACCUCAAGGAAGAAGGAAGAGCAUAGAAGGAUCAAGAGGAGACUGAACAAUUCGAGUUUGGUGCAUCAUUUUCUGUCCUUGAAAGGUAUAAAGUCUGUACCUUGCUUGUUCAUUUGUUAGAUCCCUUUUUGGGGAAGAUUUAGGGUUUUUUAAGUCAUAUGAGGUGGCCAACCAUGAUUGCAAACAUGGUUGGGGGUCAAGACUUCGGAUCUAAGUCUUGGAAGGAGUCCCAAAGCAUAUUUGGGUUGCUUUUGCACCCAAGGAAGGUCCCAUGCAACAUAAGAGCCAUUUAGAGCCUUUUUGGGUCAAAAGUCCCAUGCAUGCACAUAAAGUUCGAAACUUUAUGUGCUAGAUCGAGCUUAGGGCUUGGAUCUAUCUUUUUGUCAAUGGUUGUACAUCAGAAAUCAAGGAUUUAGGGUGUGGACGUUAUCGACUCGGCGAUUCCGUUCUUGGGACUCGACAAUUCCAAGGCAUAGAGUCCGUUAUCUGUUGAGGGUCAAAAGAACCCAGUUGGGUGUUAGAAGGGUUGUAGAAGGUCCGAGGGAGUAACCCAACGUGUUGGACUUAGCCUUAGACUCGGAAUUCAUGGGACUCGUCGAGUGCUAGAAUAGACUCGGCGAGUCCAAUGCAAUCUCCUUAUGGAUGAAGAUGAACUCGACGAGUUGUUUAUACAACUCGACGAGUCGGGGUCAGGACUUGUUCAUCAGAUGAAGGUGAACUCGACAAGUGUUCAUCCAACUUGGCAAGUCGGAUGAAAGUUCAUUGAUGUUCGUAAAGAAGGGGAACUCGUCGACUCGUUGCCAAACUCGACGAGUCGAGUCGUGGAUAAGGACGAGUAAAGGAAAGGGACUCGACAAGUAGAUGACCCAACUCGGUGAGUUGGGUCAACUGGAAGUUGACUUUGACUUGGACUUGGUUGGGGGUAAAAUAGUCAUUUUACCUCAAGAGUAGAUAUCAGUUUCUGACUGAGUGUUUUGUGGGGAUUAUAGCCGGAGGAUUUCCGGUGCAGCAGCAGGCAGAGGUUUUCCAAACAGAUUAUUAGCAACUACUUGUUCGAGGUGAGUUACCUACCAAUAGCGGUGGGUCUACGGCCACAAUGUCGGCCCACCAAUAGGCACUACUAGAAAAAAGGCGUUUUACGAUGCUCAUUGCGCGUCGUAAAACGCUCAGACAACGCGAAAAUGCGUGUCAAGGAAGGCCCUGUCAUAACGAGAGACGACACGCAUUUACGACACGCAUUUACGACGCUCAUUUACGACACGCAAUGCGUAUCAAGGAAGGCCAUGUCAUAAAGGAUGACGACACGCAUUUGAGUGUCGUAACCUUACGACACGCGUUUAGGACAUGCAUUGUGUAUCAUUAAAGCCCCUGUCAUAAAUGAAGAUGACACGCAUUUGCGUGUCAUAAUCUUCAGCAACCAUUUACGAUAUGCAUUUACGACACGUCUUUACGAUACACAUUUACGCAAAAUACAAAAAUAUGGAAAUAAAUAUAUAACAAAACAAUCAAUUUCAUUCAUUAACAUCAUGUCAAAAAAUUGUAAUACAUAGCGGAAGUAUUUGUUGAGAGCCCAAAAAGUUACAUAAAUCAAUGAAAGUAAAAUUCAUAACUUUUCUAGUUUUCAUAAUCCUAACAAUAGCUGCAUCAACCUGCGAUAUAUUUAUAAAAAAAAUGUGAUUAUAAAUUUAUAAUUACAAAAAAAAAUAAAGCAAAAAAAAAUUGGACCUGAUAUUGACGAUCUUGGGAAACUCUCUCUGUGGUGCUUGCGUUUUCUUCCACAGUUUCCUUCAGCUGGAUAUCAUUCACAUGUACAUGGAAUGGAAUGGAAUAAUGAAAUAAGCAAAGGAAUGGAAUGAGUCAUUCCAUUCCAAUUUCAUAUGAACUUCACAUUAUAAAAAAUUAAUUGAUCUCACCUUUAUACGAUAAAGAGGAGCAGUAAAUACAUCAUUAAACAUGAAGGAAUCAUUGUCAUCCACAUCAGUUUGAACCUAUUCUUUUGUCUCCUUUUCUUCUUUCUCUUUCCCUUGUUCUUUUUUGUCUUGUAUCUUUUCAAGUGGUUGGUACAACAAUAGAGGUAACGGGACAUGUGCCAGUAUUGGGUCCUGAAGAUCUUGUUGCUUUUGUGCUAAGUGUUUUGUGAUUGAGAAGCAAAUGGUCACAAAUUGCAUAUGGGUUCUGGACAUGCAAAUAAACUUAACUAUCGAUCACAUAACAAAAGCAAAUGAAAGUAUGAUGUUAUAAUAAACAAUUCAAAUGCUAAUACCUUUGACAUGUUUGUAUCUACAACAUUUUGGGAGCUUUCGAUGCUUCGAAGAAUUAAAAGUAUUGAAAUAACCUCUUCCUUCUUUAGACUAUUAUGAGGCUUCCCAUCUUCACAAUCACCACCAAUUGCCAACAUAGAAAGAAAUAAAUACAAUUUUCCGGAAAAUAAUAAAAAUUCAUAUAUAUUUUUUUCAUUCAAAGAAUCAAAAUCAACAGGUAUAGUAUGCAUUCAAUUUAUAUUUCAGGAAAAAAAAACUAAUAGUAUACCUACCUGUAUGUGGGUUCAUAGCAAGUUUUCUCUCUUGGAUAAAACAUUAUUUUUUUAUUUUAUUUAUACUAAAUGUUUUUUUUUAUAUUUUGAUAUAAUACAAAUUAAUUUAUGUUUUAGAUAAGCUCUCUUUUACUUNCCUGUCUUUUACUUAUUUACAUUGAAAAUUGACAAAUAGUUCUUUUUCCACAAAAACAGACAAACUAUCUACAAUGAGUUUUUUGCCCUUUGCCACUAUUUAAUCACCUUACCUUAGUUUUACACACAAAAUCCAAUAAUGGAAUAAUGCAUUGAACAUUACACAUUUGCAAAUAAGAUACACAUUAGCAAAAAAUGGUCUUAGCACUAACUUUCACCACCCACCCACCCGAUAACAAAAGAAAAUAUAAUCCGCCCACUCAGUUUCACUUUAUUUGCAAGUAAGUAUAAACAAUAAUAUUGCAGGGUUUUUUUUUCAGUAUGAAUGAGUAUUCAGUCACUAUUCAUCCAUACCUCUUUAAGUAGUUGAUACCAAAUGCUACCAUUAUUCAAUCUCCAUCUAGGGGUAGGGCUAGGUGUUGGUGUUGUUGGAGCAGAAGAAGCAUCAAUGAUAUUGAUAACAAUGAAAGGGGAACUCAAAUCAUCAAGUUCAUCAUCACUUGUGUUUGACUUUCUCAACACUGAUGAUCCAGUGCGACCCAAGUGUUUUAUACAUACAGCCACUCCCUCUCCUCCAACCAAAAUGGUUUUUAUUAUUGAUGAUGCUGAUGGCGGAUCAUAAACAACCGAACCAGCUACACAUGGGACACUGCUCACACAGUCUUCGCCACCCUCUGUAGAAUAUAAAGCCAAAAGAAACCUGUGUUUGUUUACUACUCAAAAUGAAGACAUAAAAGAAGAAAGGAAUAUGCAUUGUAUUGGAAAAAUGAAGACUAAAAACCUCUUAUAUUAUCCAUAUCAAUAAAGCUAUAUUUAUAGCUUCUUAGACACCCACGAUGAAGUAUGAAAACAAUCCAUGCUCUUGACUCCACCUAAUUAGCUUAAGAAUUAACUAUUAUAUAAAACAUAAAACACAAAACAAUAAUAAUUAUCAAAUCUAAAGUUUCAGCCAUGCACGUGAGCUAUGACUAACAAACCGAUUAACCCAACACCUUCCACCCCCAAAUCCUUAGCAUAUAUAAACAAACACCCUCUAAAUGCAUGUUAUUAGACAUACCAAAAUAUCUUUAAUUGGUUGGCUUGUGUGUCCUUCACAUCAACAUAAUUACUUAAUUAAUUAAUUAUACUGAACUCACCUCUGAGUCUAAGGCUUCAAGCACAACUUCAGGAAUAGCAUCUGGACAAAACUCAUCUGGAACAAAACUAUCUAGUAUCCCUUUUAUUAAUGCUACACCAAAACUCAAACAUACCUUCAAAAAAUUUUAAAUAACUUUAGCUUUGUGGAUAACUACACUACUAUAAAAGAAAAAGAGCCCAAUUUUAGAGACCUCUUUUCUGAUUGUGCUAUCUAACAACAUAUCCUUAGGAAGCAUCAUCAGGUCACUUAAUGCAUUCAGGAGAUGAAAAGAUUUGAAUGAUGAAUCAUCAGCAUCUAUAUCAAAUAAAUCAGUCAGCCACCUCGACCAAUUUUCAAUUUGCACAUUGCCAAAUGAACNNNNNNNNNNUAUAUAUAUAUAUAUAUAUAUAUAUAAAGGAUCACUUGCCAUGGGAAUUGGUCGCCUAUGAUUCAGAUCAGAGGCCUGGAAUCGUCAAGGUAGAAAACACAAGUCAAGAAAAAAAAUAAAAUAAGAGACUUUUAGGCAUAAAUGGUAUAUACCCUGUAAUAGGGAUAACAAACUCCUUGAGUGCUUUUUCACUUGUUACUCCAAUUAAUUCGCCAAGACCUUGAGCAUCCUGUUCUCUCAAUUCUGCAGACCUGCUUAUUAGGCCCUGAAGAUAUAUGGGAAGCAAUGGUUGAAGAGCCUUUGGGAGACAUAACCUGGGUAUAACAAUUGGUCCACCCUAUAUGUCCAUCAACAAAUAUUUAAAUAAGAUAAACCUUAAUCACUACUAAAUGCUGAUUAAAAUACACAUAGUUGCCCCUCGAGUUCCAAAACAUUAAAACAACUCUAUUUUGUGCUUAGAUUCCAAAAUAGGACCAAAACAAAAUUCAUACGCAAGUGCUCAAUGGAUGAAAAAACUCAUAUGUACAAAUUCUAAGCCAAAAUACAAGAAUACAUUAGUUCUACAUAAACCCUAUCAACUCGAAAAUAAAAUUUUCUCGUAUAAUAAUUACAUAACCAAAUUAUGUAGUGAAAUCACACAUUAAAGCAAAUGUCUUUGUUAUUGUGAAUUUUGAUACAUCAUAUAUUAUUAUAUUUUUACCUUUAUUAUAGAUUGGUUACCCAACUUUACAUGCAUUUGUUGAGUUUAUUUCUGGAUUUGACAUGCCUUCUGACAUUCACUCAAAGAAGAAAGACAACAUUCUUCUAGAAACUGGGAAACCUUUUCGAUGGCUCUCUUCCAUGAUGAGUUAUCGUUGCCACUAGCUCAUAUCUUCGACCGUAUUUAUUAUAAUUUUUUUUAUAAAUUAAUAAAAAGAUGAAAAUGAUAUAUANNNNNNNNNNNNNNNNNNNNNNNNNUAUAUAUAUAUUAUAUAAAUACAUACCUCUGGUGAUGAUAAAAAAAGGAAAUCACGAUUCAGAGUAAGGUGAAGAGGAAUGUGGAUUGGUUUGAGUAAUUUUGUGCUUCCUUGACUUACAUAGCUAAACCUCAUUAAGUGUAGUAUUAUUAUCUCUGGAAGCUCUAAUAUUUCACUGAUUUACUUGCACAUACUAAUUCACAUAAUAAUAAAAAGAAGUAUACAUUUCCUGCUGAUGAAGCACGAUACCCUUCAAGUGUCUCUGGAGCUGAAAAAAGAUGAAGUGCAUCUUCUAUUGUAUGCAUAGGAUCUGGACAUAUAUUCAAAUGGAGCAAAAGAAAUGGCUGAAUAGUUGCAGAUGCUUUGUUACCUAUUUUUGUUUUACAUUAAAAAUAUAUAAAUGAUGAAUUAAUGAUAUCAUGUUAUUGAGAUGAGUGAAAAAUGUUAAAAGAUUAAAAAAAAAUACCUCUUGCUUUCAUUACACUUUUUAUUUGGCCUUCGAAGAUCUGACUUAAUUUUGAAGGAAUAAAACUUUGUGUUCUUGUGAUUGUAGUUUUGUUCUUUGGUCCAACUGUUUCCCAAAUAUCAUCAUCAUCUUCAUCACUUAAAGAUGAAACCAGUGAAACUUUUCCACCAUUAAAAUUACAAACUUCUCCUUCAAGUUUAAGAAGUUCAUCAUGCAUUUGGUGCAUUACAAAGCUUAAAAACACCUGAGCAUCUUCUUGCCUUUUUAAAAAACAAACUUCAACUCAGCAUCCGAAAUUCCAAACAUAACAUAUAUAAAAUUUGUUGAUUAAUUUUAUAACAUUAACACAAACCUUGGUCUUCCAGAGAAGCUAUUUGGCAUAUCUGGAGAGAAAUUGUUGAGAACAGAUUCAAACAUGAUAGGUCGAAAAGGUUUCCCAGUUUCUAGAAGAAUGUUGUAUUUCUUCUUUGAGUGAAUGUCAGAAGGCAUGUCAAAUCCAGAAAUAAACUCAACAAAUGCAUGUAAAGUUGGGUAACCAAUUUGUAAUAUAGGUAAAAAUAUAAUAAUGUAUGAUGUAUCACAAUUCACGAUAACAAAGACAAUUGAGUCCAACUCCAUCGGCGUUUGCUUUUGAAUGAAUUCCUUGGGAUAAACCUUCCAUAUACGCUCUGCUCCCUUUCCUUUUGGAACAAAACACCAUAGCAAGACUCCAAAUAUGUAAUAAUAAUCGAUCGAUAAAGUUUCUACAUAAGUUGCAGGUGAUCAAAAAUGGCGGAAAUCAGGAAAUGUAAAUUGUACCUUUAGCGAGAUUAGGGUAAAGCCAUCACAAGUUAGAGCCAUCAUCACCUGUGGGAGACCUAGGGGAAGUUGAUCGCCUCUAUCCACCUGCCAAAAAAGUGAAUCGUCUUCCCAUAAGUUUUCGUCACUUUCUCUCGAUCUUGCCGCUCAACCGGACCAAGGACGCCGGGAAGGAAAAGGACGUCCCUCUUCACCUCAUACUCGUGGAUGUGCCACAUUGGCUUUUCUGAAUCCGGCAAGGUGAAGAACAAUUUUUAUGUUACGAUGUUUUCAACUCCGAUUAAAAAAGCCCUAGAAAUUAUCCCAGUGAUUUUGUGAUAUAUGAGUUGUUGAGGUAUACAGCAGAGGUGGUAUCGUGAUUAGGGUUUGCAGAGAAAAGGGGGAAGAAGAGAAUGAAGGGGAUCAAGCGGGGUAUUAAAAAAUUUAAGAUUUUUGAGAGGAUUUCAUUUCCCCCUUUCAAGAAGGCGCGUUUUAGUAAAAAUUAUAAAGCGACAAUCACAGAGGACGCAUAUUUUAGAUAAAGUGCCCUCCGUGUUUUUAUUUUUUUUACAUUCGACACUAAUUUAAGGGCAUGCAAUAAUGCGUGACCUAAAUCCUCAAAUUUUUUGAAGAGACGACACUUUUUUAUUGUCACUCUCGUUUGCGUAACAUAAAUCAAUAAGUGUCGUGAUUUGCACAUCGUAAAAGGGUCUUUUUCUUGUAGUGAGGAGUUGUAUGAUUAGAUGAUUGUCUUUGUGAUAUCAUCUAGGUUGCUGCUACCUGAUAUGUUAUAUGCUGGUAUGAUAUGUUAUUUGUGAUAGUAGUAGAGUUCGGUUGUUUGGACCGAAGGGUAGGUCAGACACCCCAGAUAUGUCUGACAGUAUGUGAUGAUAUGUUUAUAUGCUGGCAUGAUACGUUAUAUGGGAUAGUGGUAGUAGGAGGGGAACAAUCUCCAAGUUCGGUUGUUAGAGCCGAAGGGUAGUUCGGACACCCUAGAUAUGUCUGAUAGUAUGUUUAUGUUAUGAUAUAUGUGAUAGUAGUGGUAGGGGUGGAAUAGUCCAAGAGGGUCGGUUUUUAGGACUGACGGGUAGGUCAGCACCCCAGAAAGGCUUGACACGGGUAGGACGAUACCCCAGAAUGGCCGCAUGGGUAGGUCGGCACCCUAGAAUGGCCGCACGGGUACCUAGAAUGGCCGCACGGGUAGGUCGGCACCCCAGAAUGGCCGUACCGGGUAGGUCAGGCACCCCAGAAUUGCCUGGCAGUAUGUAUGCUAUGUGAUUGUAUGUUAUGUGGCACGAUGGGGGAACUCACUAAGCUUCGUGCUUGCAGUUUACAGUUUUUGUUUCAGGUACCUCUUCAGCAAAGGGGAUGGAGCUGGCGCGGUAGUGGCACAUCAUGAAUGGUUUUCCGCACUAGUGUUUCUUGGUAUUGUACUAUGACAUUAUUCUUAUUUUUGUGAAUGGUUUUCAGACAUGAGAUGUGGUUUUAUGAAAAGUUAUGAUUAGAUGGUGUUUUCUUAUAAAUGUUUUUACAAGUCAAUUUUAAAAAUGAAAUUUUUGGACUUGUAAAUUGGGUCGUUACAUUCCUUCCAUGGUAAGACUUUAAGCAAAACCAAAUCUCCAACUUCGAAUGCCAUCAGUCGUCUUUUCUUGUCAGCAUAGCUCUUUUUACAAUCCUGAGCUGCUAACAUCCUUUCCCUAAUCACUCUUAACUUUUCAACAGUCUGAUGGACUAUCUCGGGGCCCAUAAACUGCCUUUGUUCAACUUCAAGCCAACAUGACGGCGUACGACACUUUUUUCCGUACAAAGCUUAAUAAGGUGCCAUCUUGAUGCUUAAGUGGAAACUAUUAUUGUAGGAAAACUCUACCAGAGGUAAGUGUUCAUCCCAGUUACCUUGGAAUUCUAGGGUACACACUCUUAGCAUUACUAUAGUGUUUGAAUCGUCCUUUUUCUCUAACCAUCGGUCUGUAGAUGGUAGGCUAUACUUAAACACAGCUUCGUACCCAAUUCUUCUUGUAGACUCCUCCAAAACCUUGACGUGAAACGGCUAUCAUGGUGUAACGCCCAUGUUUCUAGGCUAGGCAUUAAUGAUAAUGUAAUAGUCUAGGUUAACCUUUGUAACCCGUCUUGAAAUAAUAAAAAUGUAUUAUUUGAGUAUUAUGUGUUUUGUGCUUAAUUGUGUGACUUAAAUGAAUUAAGGAUAAAAAUAAGCAUCAAAAUGAAAUGUUAGAUAAACUCGAUAUCUAUGAAGGAUGUGGUAGUGGUCGUGGCAAGGUUUCCAAAUAUAUAAAGAAUGCCAAAAUCUGAGUUAUAACGAAAAAGUUAUGAUCUGUCGAAGUUUCGUUACAGAACCGGCACGGCACUGCGUGACGUAAAUAGUGAAUUUACGAUAGAGCGAUAUUUAGUCUUAGUGAUCUAAACAGAAGUUGUAGAAUAAGUUUAACCGAGAGCGUGCAUAAGAAGAACGUCUAAAUUUGACUUCGUAUGAGGAAGUUAUGAUUUUUCGAAGUUUCGAUUUAGCAGUAUGCAACCCAAAUCUCGAAUUACAGAUCGAGUGAUACUUGGCCGAAACAAUCUAAACGGGAAUCGAAGAUCUCGUCGAUAGUAGUCCAAAAGUGAAAAGACAUACGAAAACGGACGUCGGAUGAAGAAGUUAUGAAUUUCUAACGGAGUUUUCCUGUCCGACCUGCUAAAAAUAAUAUAAUAAAAAUAAGUUCAAAAUUAGCCGACGCAGUCUAAACGAAAGUUGUAGAGCAUAGUCUCACCUAUGUGUGGAUAUAAAGAACAUAAAAAAUGGAGCUCGUAUGAGGAAGAUAUGAUAUUAUGAAGUUUUUAAAUAAUUAAAAUAUAUAAAUUUUAUUAUAUAUUCGGAUAAUAUCCGAAUCCAUGACUCAGCCGAUCUGAUCCGAAGAUUACGCCCAACGUACUGCUUGUAGAGGCAUUACGCCCAGCAUAAUCAGGAUUUACGCCCAACGUAAAUCGAGGUUUCAUCCCCUAUAAAUAGAAGUCGUGGGCAGCCGAGUUUUGUUGCUCAUUUCUUCCUCUCUCUCCCGUUUUACCUCGUUUUACGUGCAAGCUUUACCCCCGAAGCCGCGGUAUCAUUCCCGAGACCCGAAGCCCCGGGGAUCCCGAGAAGUAAAGUUUCUGAGCCGAAACUCUGCCCGUGUAAAGCCCGGUUUUGGAGAAAACGUCCUGGUUUUAUCGGAAAAUAUUAUUUUAAUAUAUGAGGUGAUGUCCGAUCAUCUUCUUAUCAAGUGAGUGUAUAUUCCCUUUCUUCUAACACAUAGAUAUGAAGUAUCUACUUUAGAAUAUGUGUUACAUGUGUAUAAAUAUACGUGUAUAUAUAUGUUAUCUGUUUAUUUGGAAUGAGUAUCUUAUUAGUUUUUAAGUUACAUAUGAAUGCAUAUGUAUGUUGUUAUCUACAAAAUGUUGGGUAGAACUUGUGUAGAUAGUUGAUGUGUGAUAAACUGAUGAGAUGCCUCGAUGUGAUUGUGAUCUAGUCAUUCAACAGAAUAUGGGUGACGACCACGGACUCUUUCUAGACUGUCCCGUGGAAUGCUGGCAGGCUCAUAACCUGUAGGUGUUGGUGAACUUGGGUGUUCAUUUGUUGUAUUCUAUCCCCCUCAUGGUUGCCUUAGGACAUUCAUUGUUGAGAAAACCCCUCUGCAGUAGUGUCCGUCCUGAUGAAAAUCCUAGAUUAGGUCCCUUGUAAUAGUUAUUGUCAUAGUGACGUAAAGUGAGGAUAACAGGAAUGGGUAAUCAGGUUAUUGUUGGUUGGUGAAAUUAAAUAUAAUUAGUUAUUGUGGGUUGAAAACCCUAUAUGCUCACCAGGCUCCCAAGCUUGACCCACUCAGUUUUUUUGUAUUACAGGUAGUGGUGCGAGGGCAUAAGUUGGAGAACUUAUGAAGAUGUUUUUGUUUAUAGACCAGUAGUUGUAUAUAACAGUGUAAGGUCUAUGUUUUACUGUUUAUGCUUUUGUGUCUGUAUCGGAACAUGACAUCCUGAGUUUUGAUAUAUAAUGAAAAUACAUUUCUUUAAGAAAUGUUUUGAUAAACUUUAUUUUAUCAUGUUUUGUUUUAGGGACAAAUUCUGCAACUCUUUUAAAUCAAUGGAUUUACUCUGAAAUUAUUUUAAAAACAUAAAUGAAACCGGCCUUUUCUGGCCGUGAUUUUGGGGAUUUCACACAUGGUCUGAUACUAUCUUUAAAGGAACACCAUGAAGUCUUACUACCUCCUUCACGUAAGCAUUUGCAAGCUUAUCUGUAGACCAUCUUGUUGGAUUAGUGUCUAAGUCCAUAACUAUUUUGGUAUGUACUUGACCCGAUGGUGCAUGGUCCUUUUGGGUUGCCUUCACCAAAGCAACUUGAUUGGAGAAAUAAAUAAAGAGAGAGAGGUUAUUAUGAUUUAUUAAUAUGUUAUAAGAAUAAUAUAUUAAAGGAGAAAUCAUAUUUGUUUAAUUAAUAUUGGUCAAUAAUUAAUUAAGAAUUAAUUUUGUGAUCAAGUGUAAUUAAUUAAACUAGAGGGGCUGAAUUGUAAUUAUGUGAUAGUUACAAAAUAAGGUAAGGAUUAUCUUAAAUAUAGGGUGAACGAAUUUAAGGAGAUAAUGCCUUAGAAUUCGACUAGGAUAAGGGUUUCUAAGACUUAUCUUAUGGUUGCUUGGUGGGCAAGCAACUAGAUAAGGAUAAGGACUAAAACCCUAAUCUUUACACCUAUAUAAACCCCCUAAGGCUCAUGAAUUCGUCUAAGCCUUCCCAAGAAGUCCUAAGGACGAAUUCCUACCUCUAUCCUCUCUCUUUAUACCUUCUCCAUUUGCUCUUGGUGUUUGUGAGCCAUUAGAGGAGUGACACUUGUGACUCUAAGCCUUCCAAAGUCAAUUCAUGGAGAAUUGGGAUUGUUAUUACUACAUAACAAUCAAGGUAACAUCUUAAACCUAAUUAUAUGUUAAUAUUGAUUUCCAUAUGCUAGAAUUAGGGUUUAUAGUCUUGGAUUCAUUGCAUGUACAAUAGAGAAACCUAGAUCCAAGCAUUAGGGUUUGUAUGAGCACAUAGGAUGUCUUAUGACCAAAACCCAUCAGUGGUAUCAGAGCCUAGCUUGGUUUCAAUUGUAUUGAUGCAUUGUAUAACUGGAAAAUUCGUUUUUUGGGUUUCUGGAGGCUGGACUCGCCGAGUCCAUAGAUGAACUCGCCGAGUCCAUGCUGACUCGACGAGUCCAUGCCUGACUCGGCGAGUCGGCUCGUCAGAAGGAGGGAAAACCGGGAUUUCUUGCUGUUUUUGCUUAAGGAUAGUUGCCUUAUCAUAUUAGAUCAAUAUAAAUCCGAUUUUAUGAUAUAUUUGACUAUAUUCUUGAUCUAAUUGAAGAUAUUUAUCAAUUAAUAAAAUAUUUGUUUCCUUAUGUGAUAAUUGAUUAAUUAUUUUGAUUAAAUUGAUAAAUUGUUUUGCAAGAAAUCAUUAAAUAAAUCAAAUAUGGAUAAUUAUGUGAUUAAAUGUUAAUUUAGAUUAUUUGUUAUUUGAUCCUUGUUGUUAUGAAAAGUUUCAUAUUUUCCCCUUUAGGUUUUAUAGUUUAAAUUUGAACCCAAAAGUUUUGUUGUUUUGAAAUUUAAAUAGUUGAAACCCUAAUGUUUUGAAAAAGGUUUCAAAACUUGCCCUCAAGUUUUGGAAUUUAAAUUUUGAUUAAAUAGUUUAAUUUUGAUGUAUAUUUAAAUUCUAAACCCUAAUGUGUUGAAAUGUUUCAAAACUUGCCCUCAAGUUUUGGAAUUUAAAAGUUGAUUAAAAGUUUAAUUAGGAAUGUUAAAUUCUAAAACUCUAGUAUUGUUUUGAAAAAGUUCAAAUCACACCCUUAUGGUUUUAUUAAUUAAUUAAGGUGUAUAAUUAAAAGAGGUUUAAUAAAUCCAUAAAAGUUUUGGUUUACAAUUUAAUUGAAUUAAAAGUAUAAUUGUUAAAUUUGACCACCUAGUAUUUUAAAAGUGUAAAAUACACCCUAUACUAUAUAUAACAUUAAAAGUCUAACAUUAUAUAUAUGUAUGAGUAAAAGUCAGUCUUACCGUUAGUAGGCCUCAUUCACGAAGCUGGUCUAUAAGGGGUGUUUAAGGAAAUUGCCUAUAAAAUGGCGAUUGAAUGGGUAUCCACUCUUACCCACCGCACUCUUGACUAGUGGAGGGUCGUUAGCCGAACGGGUAGGAUAGGACGAAACCUUCCAUUAUAAGUAUAAUGAAGUAUAAAAGUAACUAAAUGUUUUCAUAAAAUUCCCAAUCUUAGUUACUUAGGCAAAAGUGAAUUGAUGCAAUUCCAUGAAAUUACACUUUGUGCCCUUGCGAAGACGUUAGUGGAGCGUGUGUGGUUUACCGGCACACUAAAUGGUUCUAAGCAAAGGUAGCAAAGGGUGACUCAAUGUUUGUCAUAGUUCGGUGGAGCGUGUGUGGUUUACCGGCACAUCGAAUAGGUGACUGUAACAUGUGAGGGCACCAUGUAAGUUUGCAUGGUUAUUCACACCCGCUUUGUGAUCCUCGGCAUCCCAGUCACAAACAAGAGGGGCAUAUCGAGAUUUAAACAUGCCAUUGAAAUGUUCAAUGAAUCUCAAAGGAUCUAGGAGUUUUCAUAGAUUUAAAACUUAAAUUUCUUUUUCGUUUUUCAUGGUGGAAAUUAGUGAAUCGUCAUUCACUUACCUUCAAAUGUUCUGCAAUUUGGGUUACGGCAUCCCUCUCCCGAGUUGUAGAAUAUUGUGUUGGGUCCUAGCCUUAGUAUCUCAUUUGGGUGAUUUACUAAGGACUCAAUCAAUCAACUAACUUGAAUUCUUUUUCUCCCGUUUUGUAGAUGUCAAAGUUCGACAACUAUGGUCUUCCCAAAUCCCGUGGAACAAGCAUUCCACAUGAAGAUGAUAUUCCACGAUUCGAUCGAGGAACAAGAAAUCAUGCUUCACUUCCUCCACCUCCUCCAAUUAUUCUCCCUAACCCACAAGUUCAAAGGCUUGAAAAGUUCAAGAUCACUCAAGCCCUUUUGGCAAGUAAACAUAAAGAAGGAAAGUCGGUGUGUGCACACGUCCUAGGGAUGAAGUCACACAUUGAUAGGUUAAGAAUGUUGGGAUCCGUUGUCUGUGAGGAAAUGGCUGUUGAUUGGGUUCUUCAGUCACUUCCUAACUCAUAUAGUGAGUUCGUAAGAGAGUACUAUAUGAUGAACCGCGACGUGACCCUUAUAGAUCUCACCUAUAUGCUUAUUGCUGCUGAAUCAGCAAUGGUUUGGCGCAAUAGAAAAGCAAAGUUGAUUGGUGAAUCUGCCUUCAAGACCUCUAUGGAUAUAGACAAUGGCAACGAAAGACAUGCUAUGAUCGAAAAGUUUGAUCAUAAGAGAAAGGCAAUGUCUGAAGUAGUUCCAUGUCAUGUUCCAAAAGAGUCAAUUUGCUUUUAUUGCCAAGAGAAAGGGCAUUGGAGACGAAGCUGCCCCAUUUACCUAAGAGAUCUAAGAGAUGGGAGAGUCGAAACGUAUGGCUCUAAUAUAGGUAAAAUCCAUUAACUAACUCUUUUAAGCUUCUAUUCUAGAUUCUUAAUACAUAAUGUGAUAAGAUUACAAUUGAUGUUUUGUAGGAUCGAAGAAAAGAAAGGAAGCUUAAGGGAAGAAGUGAGCAGAAUCUAACCGUGAAGGAAUGGAUUUCGAUCGCAUUUCUCGAAGAUUAGAUUCUUGAGCUACUACUUAGAGUUAGAAUUAGAUUGCUAAGAAAGAUGUAUUAGCAUAGUUUUUCAAUGAAUUGCAUUGUAAGGACAAAUUUUUCCGCAAUAAAAUAAAUUUUGAUUUUAAAUUUUAUUUAUUUAUCCUUACAAUGGCGUGUAUGAAAAAUUGAUGUUAAAAUGUUUCUAUUAUUAGCAAUAAUGGAUUUGGUUCUUAUUAUGUUAUUUAUGGAAAGUCGAGAAUUUACCAAAUAGGGAGAGUUUCUCAUCGCCCAAGUUUCAAUUGGACAGAAACUUGGAAUCAUGCAACUUGGUUGCACGAUGAAUGAGAAAUUUCAUAUUUGGAAAUUAGACUAAUUCAUUGACAAAGUGUCAAGUGAAGGACUAGGAGAUCGAGUACACAAAGUUGCGUGUUGAUCAAGUCCACCAUAAGAGUAACAAAGAUAUUCGUCAUGAUUUACUAAAGGUUUAGUAAAUAUGAUUAUACUUAUAAGAUUAAGUGUAAUUCUGAAUUGAUUGAAAAGGUUUAAAUCAAUAGCAGAACGAAUAAGAAGAAUCAAGUAGGCAGAAAGAUAAAAGUUUCUCCAUUCUAAGAAGAAGGGAGAGUACCUUUUAUGCUUUAUGAUAGGUCUUAAUGAUUAAGAACCAUAUCUCAAUUGAUCCUCUAAGUGAGUCUUAGUACAAUUGUAUGUCUAAGAAGAGGAAUCAAGAAUUGAAGAAAUGGUUAAAUCAAGAAGUCAAUCAUACUUCGUUCCAAAACAAGUCUUAGAGUUAAGAUUGUGACAUUGAGUGAUAAGUAUAAAGAAGGUUUAUAACAUUCAUUAAAUGUGGAAAGUUGUGAUGUCUUGGAUAAGACAAAGACCAACUAGGACCAAUUUAUGAAGUGUUUUGAUAAAAGCUACACUAACUCUUGAAUAUUUGUUUGUCAAGAAAUGGUUAUUGACAAGAGAAUCUUAUAUGUCAAGGAGUCAGUGGGAGUCUUAAUGGUCUUGAAAGGUUUCAAGAACAAAUCAAAUAAACCUUAUCGAUCAUCACUAGCACACGAGUUGAGGUUUACAACCUAUCGUGUUGACAUUAUUUUGAUUCUGUGCCAAUCCAAUCGAGUUAAUUAUGCAUGUGAGUUCUAUGAGUUCUCAUUUUGAACGCAUAAAAGGCAAAGCACCUUAAUCAAUGAAAGGUACAUUGAUAGGAAAGGGUGAGCUGCUUAACUACUUGGAAGACAUGGUGGGCAGCUGUGCUACCAUAAAGGCAAGAAAUCGAGAUCAAGAAAGUUCGAUCCAUAAGAGUUUGAAUUUGUCGUAAACUUUGGUUUUGACAAAUUCACAUGGAUAGGAACAAAUACACCGUUUAAAUCUAAGUGUCAUAAGAUUUCCUCCUUCAUGAAAAUGAUUGUGAGGAAAUGCUUUCACUAAGACAGAUUUUAAGAAGAUAGUGAUUGUAAAAUUGCAUUCUCGAAUUCAAUUAUGGUUACGGCAUCCCUUUCCAUAAUUUGAAUUGUGAGGUUUGGCAAUUAGUCUUAAUUGUUUAGACACACAUAUGAACUAUCGAAGGCAAAGGUGUAUAAGUUCAAGAAGCCUUGAUAAAAGAUUAUCAAAGCACUAAGUAUUAGAAACAUGAACUUAAGAAAUUCAAUAAGCAUUUUUUUUCUGAAAGUUAAGAUGUUUAUGAAUACAUGUCGAAGCUAGUGGGAGCAUAAGUGUUAUGUUUUAUAAUAAUCAUCAAGAUAGUGGGAGCAUAAAAGUUAUGAUUGUAUGAUUAUUAAGGAAAGUAUUGCAAGGUUAGCAAUAUUAAUUAUAGAAAACAAGAGUCAUACUUUGCAAAGUCGCAAUAGUUGAAGAGUUGUUUUGCUAUAAUUAAGGGAGAGAAUAUUAUGCUUCAUUUCAAAUCUAAAGGUUUAGGUUGAGAAAUGUUAAUAAAAUUUAGUCAAAGGUACAAAGUGUGUUCUUAAAAUUUCGAUUAUGAUUACGGCAUCCCUCUUCACAAUUCGAAUUUUGAGAACAUAGCAAAUAAAACAUUAUGCGUCGUGUCCCAUACGCUUCGGGUAUAGGAUCGAUUGCAAAUGCUUUAAUGUUUGACCAUUCUAAAAUUUUCCAAAUGUCGAGCGCAUUUAGAGGGAAAAGGGACUAGAAUUGGUUUUGACUAAAAUAAUUAAACAACUAUCAAAGGACAAUCCAAAGUUCGACGAGGAUUGGUCGCUUGUGAGUAGUUGGAAGUAUAGUAUUGGAAAAUAUGGAAAUGUUUCCAUAUUGGAUGGACCAUAUCGACAUCAUUACGAAUAGAUAAGAUUCUAUUAAGAAUGAGUUGUCAUAUGGAACAUAUGGAAGUGUGUCCAUAUUGGGAAUUGAAUAUUGAGAAAUCUAUGACUAGAUUAGAAACUUCUAUGCAAAAGGAUGUUCAAAGAAUGUACUUUGAGUGAGAGACAUCACAUCUAUGGAAUUGUCUUGUAACAAUCUCCGAUAGAGGACUUUGUAAUAUCAUUGGCAAUAGUCUUUGUGACUUUGGUGCAGUGACAUUACGAAAGGAUCGUUGCAUAAAAUGUUAGAAUCUAGCAUAUUCUAUAAGUAGCAAGAAUUUGAUAUUCUUUCACUUAUGAAAAGGAUUUGGAGUUGUGAAAUGAGAAUGAUUGGAAAUGUGUUCAAUUUGAUCUAUUUCACAAAGUAAGAACCAUAGGUAAACAUUGUGUGCAUGCUAGGAGCAUGGGACAAGUGUAAUAAUUCAAGUAAGAAGUUGAUUACCCGAAACGACAAAUAAUGAGUAAUCGAUAUGGUGAUAAAUAAAAGGUGUUUUAUUUAUACUCAAAGGUUUGAGGCCAUAUGGGAUUAGUAUUAUUCUUGUGUUUCACAUUUGCAUGUUUUGACUUCCAGAAUAAUUGAGUUUAUUAAGAAUAAUCGAAUUAUUCGAACGGGCCACAGUCGUUCAUAUGUUGGAAGUAGAUAUGAAUGAAGACUGUCGUGAAUUGGUGUGUGGAUUGUCUAAAAGAGUAUUAGACAUAAGCAAAUGUUUGCUGCAACGUUCAUGAGUGCUUAUGAAUAUGAUUUGAGCAUUGGAUUAAACCCACGCUCACUUGGAUCACUCCAUGAAUUGUAUCACGAGUGAUUGGUGAGACGAUAACAUCUUAUAUUCUUGAAACCGAGAUGUGUGAGUUGUAUCUUGCGAAUCGGUUGCACAUUGAUAAUAUGUAAACGCACUAGUAACUUGGUGUUAUAAAACAUAUUGUUGUGUGUGAUUUGGUUAGUAAGUGCAAGCAAGCAUUGUAUCAAAGUUUAUCCGUUCCUUUUAUCCAAAGUAGGAUAAAAGCGAUAUCUUUGGGCCCCUCGAUGAUUUAGUGAUGACAAACGUAAAUGCUCGGCCGGGCUAGGGCUAAUUUGAUUUGUUCAAUUAGUCAGUCGUCAUAAAUCGGGAAUCGAGAUAUAGUACAAAGAGAAUGAUUUGAAAUCAUAUCUCAUAUGAUAUCUAGAAUGGAGGAAUAUAUGAUCCCUUAUCUAAGGACACGCGUAUCUGAUAUGAUCAGAGUUGACAGCGGCUUUGGAAAGCUACGAUUGCAGAUCAGGAUCUGAAGUCAUACGCAGAAUAGUUGUUAGACUUAUCCAAGUGGGAGACUGUUGGAUUAGUGUCUAAGUCCAUAACUAUUUUGGUAUGUACUUGACCCGAUGGUGCAUGGUCCUUUUGGGUUGCCUUCACCAAAGCAACUUGAUUGGAGAAAUAAAGAGAGAGAGAGGUUAUUAUGAUUUAUUAAUAUGUUAUAAGAAUAAUAUAUUAAAGGAGAAAUCAUAUUUGUUUAAUUAAUAUUGGUCAAUAAUUAAUUAAGAAUUAAUUUGUGAUCAAGUGUAAUUAAUUAAACUAGAGGGGUUGAAUUGUAAUUAUGUGAUAGUUACAAAAUAAGGUAAGGAUUAUCUUAAAUAUAGGGUGAACGAAUUUAAGGAGAUAAUGCCUUAGAAUUCGACUAGGAUAAGGGUUUCUAAGACUUAUCUUAUGGUUGCUUGGUGGGCAAGCAACUAGAUAAGGAUAAGGACUAAAACCCUAAUCUUUACACCUAUAUAAACCCCCUAAGGCUCAUGAAUUCGUCUAAGCCUUACCAAGAAGUCCUAAGGACGAAUUCCUACCUCUAUCCUCUCUCUUUAUACCUUCUCCAUUUGCUCUUGGUGUUUGUGAGCCAUUAGAGGAGUGACACUUGUGACUCUAAGCCUUCCAAAGUCAAUUCAUGGAGAAUUGGGAUUGUUAUUACUACAUAACAAUCAAGGUAACAUCUUAAACCUAAUUAUAUGUUAAUAUCGAUUUCCAUAUGCUAGAAUUAGGGUUUAUAGUCUUGGAUUCAAAGCAUGUACAAUAGAGAAACCUAGAUCCAAGCAUUAGGGUUUGUAUGAGCACAUAGGAUGUCUUAUGACCAAAACCCAUCACAUCUUUCAUUGGCUACUAUGAAGUGUGCACUCUUAGUAAACCGAUCAACGACCACCCAAAUCAUGUCGUGACCGUCCUUCGUUCUGGGCAGUUUAGUGACAAAAUCCAUGGUAAUGUCUUACCACUUAUCCAUGGUUACACAUAAAGGUUCUAAAAUCCUAUAUGGUUUCUGAUGUUGUGCCUUAACUCUCACAUAGGUCACACACUUGGCCACAUACUUUGCAAUGUUGAGCUUCAUCUUCGGCCACUAGUAGUAGGGUUUCAGAUCCCUAUACAUUUUUGUGCUGCCGAGAUGAAUCGAGUACAUGGUCUUGUGAGCUUCUUCCAUCAGAAGAUCUCUUACUUCGCCCAUCUUGGAAUACCUUUAAUCCUUGAUUAUUUGUACCGAAAACCAAGUUUUUGCUUAAACAUUCUUCCUUUUGGUCAUUCUCCUCUAAAACUUCCUCCCAAGCUUUGUUGAUGCUUUCCACAAUCAUUGUGACAACCUCUAUUGAUUGUUUUGAUUAUAUUUCUCUUCAAUCUUCUGUCCUAACUCAGAUGCUACAUGAAACUUGGUUCUCUGAACCAUGUAACAUACUCAUCUUAGUUGGACUCGAUAUGAUACGACCACUAGGGUCAGAAUCAGAAUCAUCUUCUUAGUCAUUACCAAAACGAUGGUAAUGAAGAACUUGAACAAAACAGAAUCAAUUACUAGCUUCUUAGUAACCUUGCGACUUUCACUGAUCCAAGUGCAAGUCCUGUGCUUCCGGUAGUAUAGGCCUCUACUACCAUUCACACCUACUCAUACUCGUUCAAGGUGCUAUCUCACAGUUUUCCAAGUCAUCAUUCAAGAGUUUCACAUAAUCAUUUAACACAUCAGAUAACAAAAUCAAGGUUUUAUAUUAUUUCUUGAAAUGAUUACAUAAAUGUUCAACUUCGUCCUAUACUAUGCCUCUAAUAAGUUGCGCUACAUGAUGCUAUCCACAUGGCCACUUCAUAACUUGAUCUUCGGAUAUCAGUCCUCACUCCUGCUUCCUUGCAUUGUCAGCUGCUUCGUUAAGGAUCAUUUGGAAUGCCCUUGGCUGGGGCGGUGCGUUUGGCCUUGCCGCUUUAUUCUUCCUUGGGCGGUUCUUCAAAAUAUGCCAUCCUUCAUUGCAUUCAUAGCACACCCUCUUGCGGGAUGUACACUCAUUGGCGUAGUGCCCAGGAUUUUCACACUUAAAACAAGUGACCUCCCGUCACAUUUCCCAUGGUGCUUCUUUUUGUACUUUUCACACCAUUUCGCUUCAACUCCUCCUCCUCUCGAACCAGACUUCGAGAAAUUACUUUUCUUGUUGGAUUUCGAAGAUCCAUCAAACUUCCUUUUCUUACCAACCUCUGCCCUCUCCAGACCCUUCUCCCUUAUCCGUGUCUCAACAAUCUUCAUAGCUCUAACGACUGCCUUCAACGUGCUUGCCAUUUUGACUAUUGGGCCAAAGUCUGAUGGCAAUCCGUUAGCAAAUUUCUCUAUCUUGGCGAGUUCAGUCGACACCAAGUAUGGAAAUAACUUCAUCUUCUCAGUGAAUGCAGUAGCAUAAUAAUCAAUGCUUAUUCUCCGUUCUUCAAUUUCUGGAACUCAUUGUUUAGAUCUAUCAUAUCUAUUUCGGAGCAGUACUGCAUUUUCAACUGCAUUAUGAACUCUUCCUUAGACAUUUUCAGAGCUUUUCCUCGUGGCAUCGUAUCCGUUAAUAACUUCGACCAGCUUAAAACUUUGGUCUUUACUUGUUUGACCGCAAAGACAAUUUUUUGUUUGUCGCUAUAGUUGCAGCUUUCAAAUACCAUCUCUAUUUCGACAUGAUCUUCAUUGUGAUUUGACGAAACAUAUUUGGACGGUUAUGCUUUUCAUGGCCAAUUUUCGAAGAAGUACUUCUUUUAAAUUGACGAGUGUGACAUCCACCAUUUUCACGGUCAGAAAAGACUGAUUUUGUUUAUGCUUUAUAAUAAAAUCAGAGUAACCUUUUUAAAGAAAAGUGUUGUGGAAUUUGUUCCUAAAAUAAAAUAUGAUAAAGAUUUAUCAAAACAUUUCCAAAGAAAUGUAUUUCAUUGUAUUAAAACCUUGGGAUGUCAUUAUUAAUACAAAUCAGAAACAUAAGCAGUACAACAUAGGCGUUACAACAUUUAUUUAAAUCUACUAGCCUAUAAACCAUAAUCCUCUCGUCAAGUCAUCCAACUAUGCUCUUGCCACUACCUAUAAUACAAGAAACUGAGCCGGUCAGGCUUGGGAGCCUGGUGAGCACAUAGGGUUUUCAACCCACAAUAAAUAAUUUUGUUAAUUUCAACAAAUGAAAUAAACCAGAUUACCCGUUUCUAUUUAUCCUCACAUUACGUCCCUAAAACAUCUAAUAUAAGGGACAUAGCCUAAGGAUUAUUGUAGCACCUGGUUCCUAGUACGUAAUCCUUGUAAUUAAUAUUUCUUAAUUUUGCAUUUUUGCCUUGGACUUGGCGAGUUGAAGAACCGACUCGUCGAGUAGAAGCGGGAUGAGAAGCGGGGUCUGAGCUUUGGACUCGGCGAGUAGACCCUGUUUGGGCAAAAACCCUAACCAAAGUGUUUGCACCCUAUUUAAACGCUCUAACUUGGCCUCCUUUGUCCCGAACACUCCCAGAGAGCUGAAGAGCGAAACCCUAGCCCCCAUUUUGUUCUUGAGAGUGAUUUUUGGCUUUGUGAAGAAGGUUUGGAGCUUAGAAGAAGAAGAAAUAGGUUGUAGUGUGCAAAGAGGGGAAGUAGAUCCGGAAUCUACACUACAAGAGGCUUCCAUUCAGCCGGAGGAUUACCGAUUCAGCAGUCAGGCGCUUAGCAAGCAGAUUUUCAGCAGCUACUUUUCGAGGUGAGUUACCUUCCAGUAGCGGUGGGUCUAAGGCCACAAUGUCGGCCCACCAGUAGGAGACGUAUGAUAGAUGAGUGUCUUUGUGAUAUCAUCUAGGUUUGUUACUACCUGAUAUGUUAUAUGCUAGCUUGAUGUGUUAUAGUAGUAGAGUUCGGUUGUUAGGACCGAAGGGUAGUCAGAUACCCCAGAUACGUCUGACAGUAUGUGAUGAUAUGUUUGCAUGUUGGCUUGUUAUGUUAUAUGCGAUAGAGGUAGUAGGGGGUGAAAUAGUCCCCGAGGUUCGGUUGUUAGGACCGACGGGUAGUCAGCACCCCAGAAUGGCUUGACAUAGGGAGGGCGGCACCCCAGAAUGGCCGUACAGGUAGGUCGGCACCCCAGAAAUGCCUAGCAGUAUGUAUGUGAUAUGAUUGUAUGGUAUGUGGUACGAUGGGGGGGACUCACUAAGCUUUGUGCUUACAGUUUUCAGUUCUGGUGUCAGGUACCUCUUCAGCGAAGGGGAAGGAGCUGGCGCGGUAGCGGUACAUCAUACACACACAUUGGAUUUCCGCAUUAUGAGAUGUCCUGGGAUUGUACUCUGACAUUAUUAUUAUUUUCAUGUUUUGGGUUUUCAGACACGAGAUUUGUUUUAUGACAUGAUAUGAUCGGAUGAUGUUUUACUGCAAAUGUUUUACAAACCACUUAUUUUAAGUGAAAUUUUUGGGCGUGAAAAUUGGGUCGUUGCAAUUAUCAUCGGGGUAACAACAUUGCUUAGGGGAUACUGUGACAUCCCCAAAAUCUUGGCCAGAAAAGACCGAUUUUCAUUUAUGCUUUUAAAAUAUUUUCAGAGUAAAUCCUUUUGAUUUGAAAGAGUUGCGGAAUUUGUUCCCAAAAACAAAACAUGAUAAAACAAUGUUUACCAAAGCAUUUCAUAAAAGAAAUGUAUUUUCAUUAUAAUCAAAACUCGGGGUGUCAUGUUCCGAUACAGACCAAUAAGCAUAAACGAAUACAUUACAAGUCAUAUAACAAAUAUAAACAUAUGCAGACUUGUAAACAAAACAACUUGAUGGUUCAUCCAUCUCAUGCCCUUCCGCCACUACCUGUAAUACAAUUUAAAACUGAGUGGGUCAGGCUUGGGAGCCUGGUGAGCAUAUAGGGUUUUCAACCCACAAUAAAUAUCAUAUUUAAUUUUCACCAACCAACAAUAACCCAAUUACCCAUUCCCGUUAUUCUCACUUUAAUGUCCCUAAAACAACUAACAUAAGGGACCUAGUCUAAGAAUAUUUCAUCGGGGCGACAACACAUGCUUCGGGGGUACCUCAGCAAUAUAAGUCAAAUAAGGCAACCAUGAGGGGGAUGGAGUACAGCGAAUGAACACCCAAGUUCAUUAACACCUACAGGUGGCGAACCUGCUAAUGUUUCCACAAGACUAUCUAGAAAAGUCCGUGGUCGUCAUCUAAACUCCGCUAGAUGACUAAAUCAAACAACAACGAGGCCUCUCAUCUGUUUAUUACACACCAACUAUCUACCCAUGUUCUACCCAACAUAUUAGUAGAUAAAAAUAUACAUUUUUAUACAUAGUUUAAAAACCUGUAUAGCAUGCUUUAAUCAACACAUAUUUCACAUAACAGAUGAGGCACACACACACAUAACACGUAUCUCAUAGAGAAUAAAUCAUAUCUAUGAGAUAGAAGAAAGUGAAUACACAUUCACACACAUAACCACAAAAUUAUACACAUAAUACGUAUUCCGUAUAAAAUACUUCAUAAUUAUGCGUUAGAAGAAAGUAACUACACACUCACUUGAUCAGAAGAUGAUCGGACAGCACUACGACUUGCAGAAGUAGUAAUCCUCAGCAGAUCUGGAAGAUCUUCACAAAAAUCGAACUUCUCGCGGGCAGAGCUUCGGCUCGGGAACCGCACUUCUCGGGAUCUUCGGGAUCUCGGGACUUGCCUCGGGGCUCGAGUAUGAUACCGGGGCUUCGGGGUAUUUCUGGCACGCAAAACGAUGCAAAACGGGAGAGAGAAGAGAGAAAAUGAACAAAAGAAUCGGCUGCCUUCGGAUCCUAUUUAUAGGAGGCUGAAGCCUCGGAGUACGCGAGGUGUACUGGUCCGAAAAACGUCACUGCUUACGUAUCCGAAGACUCGAGUGCGAAUGUCGACAUCCCUCGGUGUACGCGGGGCGUACUUCGGAUCGGAUUGCUGACUCCCCUUCGGAUAAUACCGGAUUUUCUAAUAAAAAUUAAAUACAAAUUAUUUAAUAAACUUCGGAAAUUCAUCUCUUCUUCAUACGAACUCCGUUUUCGACGUUCUUUAUAUCCACGCGAAGGUGAGACUACGCUCUACAACUUUCGUUUAGACUCCGUCGGCUAAUUUUAACUUUAUUUUUAUUAUUUAUUUUUAAUAGGCCGGGACAGAAAAACUUCGUUAUAAAUUCAUAACUUCUUCGUUUGACGUCCGUUCUCGCCUAACUUUUUAUCGCUUCGAGACCAACAACGAGACCUUCGAUCCUCGUUUAGGUUGCUUCGGCUCAAAACCGCUCGAUCUCAAAUCGAGUAUUUCGGGCUGCACACCGCUAAACCGAAACUUCGAUAAAUCAUAACUUCCUCAUACGAAGUCAGAUUUGGGCGUUCUAUAUAUACAUUCGUAAACCUCGUUUCAACUACUACAUCAUCAACCAAAGAUAUCAAGUUUAUUUUACACUUUAAUUUUGACGCUUAUUUUUAUUCUUAAUUAAUCAAACCACAUAAUUAAGCAAUUAAGCACAAAACACAUAAUACUCAAAUAAUACAAUCAUAUUAUUUCAAAACGGGUUACAAAGGUUAACUUAGACUAUUACAUUGCUAAAAAUGGCAAGCCCGGAAACACAGGCGUUACAGAUACCUCAACAUUUUAUGUCAAAUAAGGCAACCAUGAGGGGGAUGGAGUACACCUGGUGAACACUGAGUCCAAAUAAACACCUACAGGUUGCGAGCCUGCUAGCGUCCCAUUGGACUGUCUAGAAAAGUCUAUGGUCGUCAUCUAUACUCCGCUAGAUGACUAGAUCAUCGUCAAUAUCGAGGCCUCUCAUCAUUUUAUUUCAUCACACGCCAACUAUUUCAUCUACCCACGUUUUACCCAACAUAUUUGUAGACAUAAAUUACAUAUACAAUUCAGAUCUAAAAAACAAAAUNUAUAUAUAUAGUUUAGAUCUGAAAAGAAAAGUCUAGAUCUGAAAUGAGAAAGUUUGGAUUUGAAGGAAACAGUUCAGAUCUGAAAGAAAGAGUUUAGAUUUGAAAGAAAAGUUCAUAUCUAAAAAGAAAAAGGUUUAGAUCUUUCUUCCAACAUAGAUCUCAGGUAAACAGAUAAUAUAUAUACACAUAACACGUAAUUUAUAUAAAAUAGUUUAGAUCUGAAAAGAAAAGUCUAGAUCUGAAAUGAGAAAGUUUGGAUUUGAAGGAAACAGUUCAGAUCUGAAAGAAAGAGUUUAGAUUUGAAAGAAAAGUUCAUAUCUAAAAAGAAAAAGGUUUAGAUCUUUCUUCCAACAUAGAUCUCAGGUAAACAGAUAAUAUAUAUACACAUAACACGUAAUUUAUAUAAAAUAUUUCAUAUUUAUGUGUAAGAAGAAAGUAAAUACACACUCACAUGAUAAGGUGGCGAUUCGGACAACGUUUUGCUUCUUAAAAUAAUCUCCAUUGAUGAAACCGGGAAGUUUGGUUGAAAACCGGGCUCUGCGGGGGGGCAAAGUUUCUAAACCGAAAAACUCUUUUUCUCGGAGACUUCGGGCGCUCCGGGGCUUUCUUCUAGUGCUAAGGAGGUCCCCUAGGCUUCGGGGGUGUUUAGGGUGGAUAGAGAGAGAAAGAGAGAGAGAGAGAGAGAGAGAGAGAGAGUAGAGUAGAGAGUGAAAGAAGUGUGAAAUAUGUGAGAAAACAUGGCUAGCCUCGCAUCCUAUUUAUAGUCAGGAGGUCUCGCAUUACGUUGGGCGUUCCUCGGUCUACAUGGGGUGUUCCUCGGUACGCAGGGCGUACCCUCGUACGCGGUACGGUUUGCGAGGUUCGGAUUUGUCACCCUUCAGAUGGAGCUAUGUGGCCAAUUCCGGACCUAGCCUUUGCGAACGCGGGGUGUUCUCUUCGGAUAGCCUCGAAAUAUGUACCUCUUACUUCAAAAAUUCAUAUAUUUUGCAUACGAGCUCCGUUUUCGACGUUAUUUAUAUCCACGCGUAGGCAGGACCGUACUCUACAACUUUUGUUUAGACUCAGUUGGCUAAAUUUGACUUUAUUUUUAAAGUUAUAUUUUUAACAGGCCGGGACAGGAAAAGUCUAUUAAAAAUUCAUAACUUCUUCAUCCGACGUCCGUUUUCGUUUUUCUUUUAACCGUUGAACUACUAUUGACGAGAUCUUCGAUUCUUGUUUAGGUUGUGUCGGAUAAAAAUCCCUCGAUUAUAAUUCGAGCUACGGGCUGCACACUGCUAUGCUAAAUCUUAGAAAAUUCAUAACUUCCUCGUACCAAGUCAGAUUUGGACCUUCUUUUUAUGCACGCUCUUGAUUUAACGUAUACUAGGAUUUUCAUUUAGAUCGCUAAGGCUAAAAUGCACUUUAUCGUAAACUCACUUUUUACGUCACGCAAUAUCGUGCUAGUUUUGUCGUGAAACUUUAACAGGUCAUAACUUUUUUGUGAUAACUUGGAUUUCGGCAUUCUUUAUAUGUCCGAAAUCCUUGUCACGACCACUACAACUUUCUUCAUAGAUAUCAGAUUUAUAUAACAUUUUAUUUUUGAUGCUUAUUUUCAUUCUUAAUUUAUUAUAUCAUUAUAAAUAAGUAUAUAAUCACAUAAAAUCACGUAAUUCACAUAAUAUUCAAGUAAUUCAUCUUUAUUACUUUAAAAUAGGUUACAAUAGUUGACCUUGACUAUUACAUCAUCAUACUAAUGUUUAGCCCAGAAACAAGGGCAUUAGAACGAGUAUGUUACUAGGGAGAAGAGAAAGAAAAAGAGAAACGGAAAACAUGAAGGUUUCACGAGAACUUCUCACUGAUAUCACUAUUCCCGUCGGUAACGUCAUGGACAUUGCCGGUGAUAAGGUUACCUCGUUACCAGAGGCAUUUUCGGUGAAAAACGACAUGAGUGAAGCUUUUCAUCGGAGUUGAUAGAGAGAAAAAGAGUAACACGGAAGAGGGAAGAAUGAAGUCGCUAAGGGUAUUAUUCGUGUCACACUUUAGCAACGAUACCAUUUAGUGGUGUCGAAAGACAUUUGUGGCAACUCGAAACGUAAUAGUCGCGACACACUUUUGAGGGAAUAAUUGGCAGAGGGUUCGAGUAUUAGCGGUGACACCGUUGCUGGUAUUAGUUAGUGGUGUGUAUGGGGCGGUUUGGUUCGGUUAUUGGUUAAAACCGAACCAUAACGAUUAUGAUUGGUUAAUGCAUUUUGGUAGCCAUUGGGUAUGGUUAAUAUUGGUUAUGGUUAGUAGUUUUUAUCGGUUAACGGUUUUGGUUAAUGGUUAAUAUUGGUUAACCAUAAUGUUCAAAAUAAUAUAAACGACGAAAGUAUUUUGGCAUGAAAAAUGAAAAUAAAAUACCAAAAAGUCCUCGACGCCGAUGUUUGUAACCUAACUUAUAGUAAUAUAAUAAAAUGUGUAUCUGUAAUACUUAGAGUGAGAUAACACAUAGUCACAUUUAAAAUCAAAAAUAUUUAAUAAAAAUAUAAAACAUUAAAAAAAUUGACAUUAAUAAUUUCAUAUAUUGAUAAUUGAUAUUAAUAUUAAAAUAAAGUCAAACAUUCAUACACGUUCAAUACGAUUAAAUUAAAACUAUUAAAUAAAAAAGCCAAACAUUCAUAUUCUGUGUUAUUAGAUAUAAAAAAAAAAAAAAGUCAAUCACUCAUCUACAUUCAAUGUGAUUAAGUCAAAAACACUAAAAAAAUUCAAAAAAUUAAAAAAAAAUACAUUCUUAAUAUAUCACAUAGUUAAAAAGAACCAAAAACUUAACUUACCUAGAAGUCUUGAGUAUAAAGUCAAAAAAAUCCUUCGAAUAGGACUAUAAAGUCCAAACAAUCUUUGAUUAUGAUUAACGGUGUGAGAAGCCUUCGAUUAGGAUUAUGAGUGUGAAGAUUAAACUAAUUGUGAAUAAUGUUUACAAAUUGUAGAAUUAGCCGAUUAUGAAUUACAACAUUAAUUAAUAAUCUAACUCAAUGUAUGAUUGGAAGAUUAUGUGUGUCUGAGUGAUCAGUCUUUGAUGAUUUGAUUGCUCGUUCGUCUCCUGGUAAGUGAAGAUUAAUAGAUUAUAUUUUCAAAAUUUUAAUGGAUCUUAAAUAAGUUUGACUAUAUNUCUCUUUCUCUCUCUCUCUCUCUAUAUAUAUAUAUAUAUAUAUAUAUAUAUAUUAAAAUAUAAAGUUAGCGGUUCGGUUAAUAAUGGUUCGGUUAACCUAUAAAACCAUAACCGAACCGUUAGUUAUUGGUUAACAAAAAUUAGAAACCGAACCAACGGUUUUUAAAAUGGUUCGGUUAUAACGGUUAAUUUGGUUUUGGUUCGGCUUUUCGGUUAUUAUGCUCACCCCUAGUAUUAGUUUCGCCGUUAUUGUUAUGUACGAAAUCAUUUUUCAAGUGUUGGAUUAUGACAAAAUCGACGAAUAGGGUUUAACCUCAGAUUUUGACGCGGAUCGGGGUUGAUGAGUUUCGCCUUUAGCGGUGACAACCACCAUUACAACGAGACCUAAUCUAAAUGUUGGGUAUCGCUUGUAAUGGUGGUUGUCGCAACUAAAGGAUUCGCCACUGAAGUCCUAUAUUGUUGUAGUGAUAAAUGUUAAACCUAAACACCAAUUUAAACACACCAACCACUAGAAAUUGGUGGCGACAAGUUCAUGGCAUUAAGAGCGAUAACAAAUGGUGUAUAAAUCCAUUAUGAUCUUCGUUGCGAUUUAACAGAACAUAUUUGGACGGUUAAUGAUUUUGAAGCUCAAUUUUGGAACAAUUUUUUUUUUGAUCCAUCAUGUUAUUAAGUUUUAAGUUUUUAAUUUUUUGAGUUGUUAUGGUUUAGUUUCUUGUUGUGUAAUUUUUAUUUUGAUUUAAUAUAAAAUUUAGUUUUUAAAAAAUUAAUUGCUAAAAAAAGUACUGAUGUUAAAAAAAUGAUGUUAAUCCGCCUAACCUAAAUGUAAAUGGUAUGUUGAAGACGGUGUGUAGCAAAAUCAAAUAUAAGCUGCUGGUUGAUGCAUCGGGUAUUGUAUUACGUGAGGUUGAUAGUUUGAUUUGUUGAAAUUAUCUUUUGUGUGUUUGAGAAUUCUUUUAUGGAAGUCCCUAUAAAAAGGAGUUCAAACUCAAAUGUUGGUUGAAAUAUUGCGAGUACACUUCACUUAAUUUGAUUGCGGUUAGGAAGCAAUUUAAUUUCUCAAAAGAUUAAAUGCCACUAAUAAAUUAAAAAAAUAAACUAAAAAUCAACACCAAAUUAAUGCCAAAGCUUUAAACCAUAUAUUACUAAAUUAAUUCACAUACGCCAUCAAAAAAAAAUUCAUGUCACAAACCCAUACUCAUAAAACUCACUUUCCAGGUACAAAGUUUGUAGCAUAUGACCAUGCAUUGUUUGCAACAGGGUCAGCAAGGUGGUCAGCGAGGUUCUCCAAUGGUCCCUUUCCGGUAACAAUGGCUUGAACAAAGAAUCCAAACAUAGAGAACAUGGCUAGUCUACCGUUCUUGAGCUCCUUCACUUUCAGCUCAGCAAAUGCCUCUGGGUCAUCAGCCAGACCCAAUGGGUCGAAGCUACCACCAGGGUAAAGUGGGUCAACUACCUCACCAAGAGGUCCACCAGCAAUUCUGUAACCUUCAACUGCACCCAUCAAGAUCACUUGGGUAGCCCAGAUGGCUAAAAUGCUUUGUGCAUGGAUCAAACUUGGGUUCCCCAAGUAGUCAAGACCACCCUCACUAAAGAUCUGGGAUCCAGCCUUGAACCAUACAGCCUCACCAAACUUGACACCAUUACGCGCCAAGAGUUCGGGGAAGACGCACCCAAGAGCUCCGAGCAUGGCCCAUCUGCUGUGGAUGACCUCAAGCUCACGGUUCUUGGCGAAUGUUUCAGGAUCAGCAGAGAGCCCAGCAGUGUCCCAACCGUAGUCACCGGGGAACUCACCGGUCAGGUAAGAUGGGGCUUCGCCGGAGAAUGGGCCAAGGUACUUAACACGGUCGGGGCCGUACCAUGGACUUCCUGAUGGUGCGACUUUCUUGACUGCUGUCUUCCUCAUGGAAACCCUUCCAUUUCCGGUGAUUUCUGAACCAGAUGGUGUUAUUUUCACUGCUUGUCCGAUGAAUGAAGAAGAUACAGACAUAGUGGAAGCUGCCAUUCUGUUAAAUUUGGUUGAAAGAUGUUGUGGAGAUAGGAGAGUUUGAGUUAUGAAGAUGGGGAGAUCUGCAAGUUUAUUUAUAAGGUGGUUUUUUGGUCAGAUAGAUAUGAUCGAUGCUUAUCUAGAUACAAUCUUCACCUUCAUUUUGAUUGGCAAACAACAUUCUAGUUUUAUCUAAGGGUCAGUAAUCUGCGUGCUGUGAGUUCUCUGGUCCACCAGAGAUUUUUGAAGGGGCUGCGGUAUAUUCAUGGCUCUGGUUUAUUGAGGGAAUGUAAUGGCUCCCAUUCUCAGCCACAAGCUGUUCUUGGUGGGGUUUUUCAUCUUUAACCAUUUUACAUUUUCACAAAGUUACAUAAAUAGUCAUCAUGCUUUACAAAGUCACCGGUUCAGCAACAAACUUUUUUUCCAUGAUUAAAAAUUCAAAACGGUCCGUAUGGUUUUAAUAUUAUUAGUAAUCAUCUUAACAUUUCUAAUUUUUAAAGACAAAUAUUCAUAUAAAUGGUUAUGUGAUUUUCCAGAAUAUCAAGUGGAGCACAUCAUUUUUUCGGUCUUAUGGAAUGACUAUUUGGUUUCAAUUCCUAUCAUAAUUGAUCUUAGAGCAUCCACAAUAGGGGAGUUUAAUGGAAGAGUUGAAUGAGGUGUCAUGCCUACUUGUCAUUCAAUGGAUACAACUCCACCAUUGUGAAAUGCCACCUUGGCAUUCAAUGAAUUUGGAGUUCAAUGGUCAUUGAACUCUUCAAUGGGAAAAAGGAAAAUCUUUAAAUCUUUAAAUAAAUAUUUUUUAAUAUAUUCCAUUGAACUUGUAGAGUUUAAUGCAUUGUGGGAUAAAAAUGAAAAGAGUUGUAUGGAAUAAUGAAUGAUGACGUGACACUCCAUUGAACUCUAUAGAGUUCAAUGCAUUGUAGAUGCCCUUAGUCCCACAUAAAUAAACUUUUAUACCCUUCUAUAUUAUAAUUAGUUUAUUUAAUAUAUAAAUAGCUAUGUUUUAUAGUUAACAAUAAAUUUUGUUCAUNNNNNNNNNNNNNNNNNNNNNNNNNNNNNNNNNNNNNNNNNNNNNNNNNNNNNNNNNNNNNNNNNNNNNNCUCUCUCUCUCUCUCUCUCUCUCUCCCAUCACACCCUCCUAAUCUUUAUUUCUUUCACUCGAUCGGUCAACCUCUUUUCUUUCUACAUAAAAAUUAAUCCAAAAUGCAGCCUUUUCCCAUACUCUGUGCUUGCACCGCCACUUUACCUUCUUGAAACCAAAUUACUAACCAUACACAAGUCUACAAAUCUACUAAUGUGUCUUCCAUUUCUCAAAAUCGAAAAAUAGAGAAGGUGUAGAACAUUGAGCUCACUUCUGUGCAUCUCCCACCUCUUUUACACAAAUAUGAAAUUAAAAUUGAAGAACAACUUUGUGAAGAACCUAGAUUGUGGAGAUGAUGAUGAAUAAAGUCGAUAGUUGGUGGUGCUCGGUGAUGUUUGAUGUUAGCGGCAGUACACUAGUGUUGUGGUGAUCGCCUGUUCAGUUGGUUAUAUUCUGGUAGGGUGGACGAUGGUGACCGUAGAACAGUUCAUAUAUAUAUNNNNNNNNNNNNNNNNNNNNNNNNNNNNNNNNNNNNNNNNNNNNNNNNNNNNNNNNNNNNNNNNNNNNNNNNNNNNNNNNNNNNNNNNNNNNNNNNNUAUAUAUAUAUAUAUAUAUAUAUGUGUGUGUGUGUGUGUGUGUGUGUGUGUGUGUGUGUGCGCGCGCACACUACAAGAAAUUUAGGUGUUUAUCCACACACGUUAUAUGUGGCUAAAAGACCUUUAUGUGUAGUUAUCUUUAGCUACACACAGAUUAAGUGUCAUAAUGUAUUGACUCAUGCCUAUAGAUAUAUAUCAUUAACUAUACAUUCAUUAUGUGGAAGUAUAGUGCAAUUAGUACACACAUACAUGUGUGGUUAAAACUAGUAAGUAUGUGCAUAUAGAAAGGGAGCUGAUCCGUUCACAACAAUUUUUCUCCAUACACAAUAAUUGAUGCUUUAAAAUGUUGUAUUAUACAACUAUAUAAUGCAUGAAUUGUUGUGUAUGGCAAAAAACUGUUGUGUACGAAUCACUUCCCAUAUAGAAGUACUAAAAAUUGUUUGAGUUGUCAACGAUGUGGCUGAUGACAUGUCAAAUUAUGUGGCAAGCCCACACAAAGUGUUGGUGAUAUGUGUUAUUCGAUAUGUGUGGGUAAUAAUUGUUAUAUGUGUAGGUUAAGAUAAGAUAUAUGAAAUAUAUAAAACACAAUAAAUGAAAUAUAAAAUUUAACAACACAAAUUGUUAUUACUUUUAAUAAGGAGUUAACGAUAUAUAAAACUUCUUUUGGAAUGGAAGUAUGUAGCACCCAAAGUCAGAAAGGCCAAGAAAGGAAAGGAAACCCUAAGUUUAAGGGACGACUCAGCAAGUCCAAGGAGGUACUCGGCGAGUCCGAGCGGGAUCCGGGUCGAGGAGUAAAUGACCGACUCGGCGAGUCGGCCAAGGAGACUCGGUGAGUCUGGUCUGUACGAGGAAAUCCCUAAAUUCGGGACUUGGAGCCUAUUUAAGCGCCUCAUUCUCUUCUCUAGGGUUCCUCUACUGCCUCUCUAACCNCUCAACCCCACCCCCGCCCCGCCAUAUCCAUUGUUGAGCCAAUUAUUGCUUUGAAGAGUGCAUUAAAGCUUGGAGAAGGAAGAAGGACCUUGGAGGUGCAAGAAGGAGCUAUAGAUCUGGGCUUGGGAAGAUAUUUCUGAACAUUUGGAGGUAAUAAACUAGUUCUUGGACUCCUUUGCACCUAGAUCUAUGUGUGAGUUUUGGGGCUUUUGGCCAUGAUUGGUACCCAUUUAAGUUAGAAGCCAGAUCUAAAGUUGCUACUUCGGAUAUAAGCAUAUUAUGGGCUUGUGAAGCAUAAAGUAUCAGCCCUUGAGUUGAUUAUGGAGCCUCUUUGCAUUAAACCCUAUUUUAUGGUGUGUCUAGCCUAGAUCUCCUUCUCUACACGUAAAGUUUGCAACUUUACGUGAGGAAUAGGCUUGGGAAGGGUAGAUCUACAGUUUGGGGUCCAUGCAUGACUCAAAAGUCCUCUACAUGUAUGUAGAUCUGAAUGGACUCGGCGAGUCCUUUGAGUGGACUCGGGGAGUAGCAUGAAGAUUAGGAGGAACUCAACGAGUGGGAUGAACAGCUCAUCGAGUCGGAUGAAGUUGGGCAGGAACUCGGCGAGUUGGAAGAACAACUCGGAGAGUCGGUUGAAGAUUGCCUUGGACUAGGUGAGUCUGUUCUUGGACUCGGCGAGUCAGGUCGCGAAACCCUAAACCCUUCGACUUGAGACUCGAAUCAGUGAGUCGAGUGGAGACUCGGUAAGUUGGACAGGUCAGGACUCGGAAAUCGGUAGACUCGGCGAGUCAUGGACUGACUCGGUGAGUCGAGUCGCGAUUGGAAGGACUUAGAGCAUAUGAACUCGGCGAGUCAAUAGGUAGACUCGGCGAGUAGGGUUGACCUGGAAGAUUGACUUUGAACAGGACUUUGACUUUGACCAGAGUUGACUUAGUUGACUGUUGGGGGUCAGUUAGUCUAAGUGUUUCAUUGAUAUUGGUAGCUCGGGGAGCUAGUGGAGCAGGAGUUCAGAGAGUUUCCGGGCAGCAUCCAGAAGGUUAUCAGCAUGUUCAGCAAGUGCAUGUGAGUUUCCCUUUGUGCCAAUGGGUCUACGGUCACAAUGUCGGCCCAUGUAGUUAUGAGUAGAAGACCCGGGGGUUAGCCCUAGGCACAGUAUGCUAGUAUGAUAUUCAGGACGAGGUCCAAUGAUAGCGGGCGGGUGCCCAAGGAAUGGUUUAUGUGAUAGUUUAUACUUGUUGUAUGUGUGAUACUUGUAUGUGUCUGGUAGGGAGGUGAGUGUGGGCGAGGUCCCGUAUCUCACCAAUAGCAGAGUGUGGAUGGUGUUCCACAUCUCAGUAGCAGCAGAGCAGGGGCGAGGCCCAAGUUAGGGAAGGAGUGAGGGUGGGCUGGGCCCGUACCUCACUAUCAGCAGGAGUAUGGACGGGGUUCCAUGACUCAUCAGUAGCAGGACAAGGGCGGGGCCCAGAGAUAGGCGAGGCCUUAGGACAAGAUCCGUUAGUAUGUGUUUAGCUUAUGUGAUGUGAUGUGAUAUGUUUAUGUGCUAUUAUAUGUUAGUGGGCGAGGCCCUGUGACAGGCGAGGCCUAAGUGAAACAGAUCUGUAUCCGAGCGGGGCUCGAAGCCAGGCGGGGCCUGGAGCGGCGGGGCCGUUGUAGCGGGCGAGGCCCGAGGUAGGGGGGGAGGCCCAGGAUAGCGGGCGUGGCCCAGCGUGUGCAGUAUGUGGUUAUGCAUGGUAUGUGGUAGGGUGGGGAACUCACUAAGCUUCGUGCUUACGGUUUUCAGUUUUGGUUUCAGGUACUUCCGGUAGCGGAGGGAAGAGCUCGGGGGUGAUCGCAUGGCACACACCAUAGAUUAGACAGUCUGGGAAUGUUUUACUCUGACAAUGAACAUGUGUUUUGGAAAAUUAAUACUCUGAUUAUGUUUUGAAUUGGUGACCUUGCUUAAAGAAAUCUUUUAUUAAAAGAAAUUUUUAGUCAUGAAUUUUGGGACGUUACAAGUUGGUAUCAGAGCCUUGGUUUGAGGGAUUCGGGCAUACUCUCGGGUGUGCCUGAACUCAAACUAAGGGGUCGGAUAAAAAGUUUUCAAAAUGAAAAGACAGUUUUCUAAAAAGAGAGUUUUGGGAAAGAAAACAGUUUUAGAAAAGCAAAAAGAAUUCAGAAAGAAAAGAACUUUGAAAAGAAAAAAAUGGUGUGGUGCAUGCAAUCAGCUGGUCUUAAGUAAGUACCCCAAAUUACCCAUACAAGUUUAUGUUAUGAUUAUCAGUUAGUAGAACAGCAUGCUAGAUUAGGACUAAGGAUCUAGGGAGGAUGCCUUAUGUGCCUAUUAUAUGUGCUUUGAGUUGCAUGAUAGUGUUGAUUAGACAGUGGUAGGAUAGCCUGUUUAGGUUAUGCCUGAGUAUAUGAGUUUGUGUUGCAUGCUAGUUCAGAUUCUUGCUAUGUGGAUAUGAUUGCUUAUGUAUGUUAUGGUUAGAUUUUCCCCUUGUCUGAAUGCUGCCUGCUUUGUGCAAUAUGGGAUUCCGAGUGAUGGGAGUAACCAUUAGGUGGAUACGUCACGUCACAUGUGAUCAGGGUUGAAUAAUCUCAGAGUGCUAAAUUUGGCCCUAUUUCGCAGCUCUCGUUUGAGUCCAACCAUUGUAGGGAUGAGUCUUUUACUCGAAGAAUUAUCUGAGCCUUGUCACAUGUGAUGGUGUCCAGUUGAUGGCCAAUUGGCAUCACAAGGAGUCCUUCAGCAGCUGAGGCCUGGUUUGGUGUGAGUCAGAGGUUUCCUUAGGGUAAGCCUAGGAUGAGAUAGUGUUGGGAGCAGUAGUAGUGGAUAAGGGACCUGGUGGAGUCGAAGCAAUUCCNGAGGAAAGUACAGAUAGAUAUGGAUGGUAGUAUGGGCCCGUACUACUGAAAGCAGAGGAUCCGUACUCGAUUCGGGAAAGGCUGAGACAAGACCGAGAACCUAGUAGGGUGAGUGUGUGUCUGGUCUCACAGCAGUGAUAAGUAUUCUGAUAGAGGAUGUAUUAUAUAUUCAGCAUGGUGACAUUGCGAGAGAGACCAGUGGGUGGACCAGGCGCCGGAGAGGGAUCGCUCGGGGUCNAGCAGCUCGAGGAGCGGAUGAGGGAGUUGAUAUCAGCUGAGGUUACGCGCAGUAUUCUAGAUCAGACUCCUGUGAUCUUUGGCACGGUCAAGGAGGGUAUAUUGGAGAUUUUGGAUGAGAGGCUGGGAGCCUUCCGUACCGAGAUGAUGGCAUUGAUGGGAGCACGUACCUUGACAUUUCGAGAGUUCAGGGCUUGCGGGGCACCAGAUUAUCAUGGGGCUAGGGACCCCAUCGCUAGCAGCAGAUGGUUGGUUGAUGUUGCCAAUGCAUUCCGUACGAGCCGGUGUCCUGAGGGGGACAAGGUUAGGCUCGCUUCUUGUCUUCUGAAGAACAGAGCAAGGGAUUGGUGGGAGGAGAUUAGUCAUGCCUUGGGGGAUGAUGUCGCGUUGGAUGCGAUGACUUUGAGCGAUUUCUCGUCCAGGUUCAGGGCGGAGUUUUCGCCGAUUAUUGAGGUGCAGCAGUUGCCACAGGAGUUUCAGGAUUUGACGCAGACCACUGAGACUGUGGCGGAGAUCACCGCCAAGGUCAGGGAGAGGGCUCUUCUUGUACCGCAGUGUGUCGCGGAUGAGGAGAUGAAGAAGGCCCGAUACCAUGAGAUGUUGAGGGAUGAUAUCAGGGUGUUCGUGAUCAGGUCCAGCUGUAAGACGCUAGAAGAUAUGAUUUCUCGAGCUAGAGAGAGGGAAAUUGAUUUGGAGCAGAUCCGGAAGAGGAAGCCGGAUGAGGUUUAGGUAGCCACAGGUUCGGGCAAAAGGCCUAAGGGAUCAGAUUCGAGAUCGAGGGAUUAUCAGGACCGCAGUCGGUGCGGGAAGUGUGGCAGGGCGCACAGGGGUGCGUGUAGGAGUGGUAGCGGUGGUGAUUCUGGCUGCUUCAAGUGCGGUCGGACUGGUCAUUUCAGUAGAGAUUAUACUGUUACCACCACACAGGGAUCAGACUUGAUAUGUUUUCACUGCAAUCAGCGGGGCCACAAGAAGGCCCAGUGCCCCAGUUUGUUUUCAAUAGGACGGGUGAUGACACUUGCCCCUGCAACUUUGAGGAUCACAGACGGCCGUCAGGGCCGUGCAGAGGCGCCUGCGGUAGGAGGCAGGUCUUUUCAGAUGACUACCUUGGAGGCGCGAGCAGCACCGGACGUUGUAGGUAUGCGAUUUUGUUUUCAGUUCUUUUAUUUGUGCAUGAUUAUAUUGUUAUGGUUCUGGAUCAUCAUUGGUUUGAGUAUUUUAUUUUUUGAGCGGUUGAUUGUGAUCGAGUUAUAUGCCAUCUUAAUACCUUGGAUAUUUGAAUGGUAGUUAGGAGAUGUGCUCUAUUAGAGAAGGUUUCAUAGGAUGCAGUAAUUGUAGCAUGCCUGGGAGGGACUUGGUAUGUCUCGCUAGAUCGGAGUUGUAUAAUGUUAGAGAUGGAUUGGUUAGAUCCCUAGCUAUGGUGAGCUUGGGUUCCUCAGCAGCUUGAUUAUGGAAUGGUAGCAAGGAUUGGGAUUCUUUUGAGUAUUGAGCAGCAAGGGGUAAGCAGGAUCGAAGUGGGGGAGAAUCCUCCGAGUGUGCAAAGGUAGGAUCACGCAGACCCAAAAUGAGUGCGCGACCUCCGAGAAGGAAAAGAAGUAGUUCAGCGUUUGAUGGAUUGAGGAUUUCAGGGUUGGGAUUUUGAGAAACUCCCCAUCAGCUAGUGCGUGUGAUGGUGAUGGUUAGUAUGUGGUUGGGAAUUCAGGUUGUGGAUCGCCCGUAGGACUCGAGGGAGUCGGAAUGAGGAUCUUGAGAGCUAAUGGCACAUGGGUGCCUUCGUAUUAGCAGUCAGUGGUAGAAAGUGAUGUAAGACUACGGGGCAGCCGUAGCAUUCACUAACAGUUAGUGGUAGAAAGUGAUGUAAGACUACGGGGCAACUAUAACACUCACUAGUAGUCAGUGGUGGAAGUGUUGUAAGACUACGGGGCAACCAUAGCAUUCACUAGCAGUCAGUGAUGGAUGGUGAUGUAAGACUACUAGUAAGCCGUAGCAUUCCUUAGUAGCUUCGUUAGCGGAGUUGGGGCGAGGCCCUUAUCUCCUAGCGAUCAGAUAGGGAUCAGGAAUGGGUAGUGGAUGAAAGUGAUAGGAAGUUUGCUUGUAUAGCCCUAGAGAGGUGAGACCUUGGGAGAGGCCGCUCCAGGAUAUAGUUGGGUGAGGCCUGUGGGCGAGGCCCGUAUGAGAGUAGCGGUAUAGGUGAGACCUGAGAGUAGGGUUGCUCAGUAGUAUGGCCGGGUGAGACCCGUAGGCGAGGCCCGAGAGAGAGUGGUUAGACAAGUAGGACUAGAAGGAUAGAGGCGGGGGGGACCCGUGGGCGAGGCCCGUGUGUUUUAGCGGCAUAGGGGGGACCUGGUAAGGACCUUAGUGUCAAGAUAAGGGAUCGGGGAUCCAUGGAUUGUAGUGACUGAAUGGCAGAAUAGAUUGCGCAGUUAUAGGUGGUCAAAGUUCCUUCGAAAGUCGCUGGGAGCGACUAGGAGUAGUGUUGGGACUAGCGACCGGUGGGAUCCGGUAAUCCAGAUAUUGGUAGGACGGUAGGGAUUAGGGUGGUCUCAGUUCAUCCGGAAGGCAGAUAAGGAAUAGCAGAAUUUUCAGUCAGUAGUAGUGCGGGUAAGCAGUGUAUGGUGGAAUUCAGUUAGUUGUAUCGAGGGGUGCUCGACACCAAGUUUUGACAGAGAGGAGUGUCAGUGGUUACUGGCGGUGAUGACCUGUACUGGAAGUAGCGGGGGUGAUGGAGUUGGCGAAGGAUAUGACCUUCACAGUGACAGAGGAAAUAGUUGGUUAUGGAGCAUUGCCUUGGGAAGGCAAGGAAUUCGCACAAGGAAAGAAGGGGUGAACCCCUAUAGGUUCAGUACAGUACUCGGUGAGUACCGGAAGGAUUGUCGGUUGAGUAAGUUGUGUUUCCAGGAUGUUCAGGGUCAGGGUGACCUGAGUCUAUUAUCCGCAAGGAAUGAUGUUAGUCAGAAUGACCGGGCGGAAGACCAGCGAAGGUAGGCAGCUGGUGUUGGAAUGAUUAGUUGGGUAUUGAAAGCAUAUCGCAGGCAGUGGCCCAUAGCAAACUUCGAGGAUGAAGUUUAGUUUAAGUGGGGGAGAGUUGUAACACCCAAAGUCAGAAAGGCCAAGAAAGGAAAGGAAACCCUAAGUCUAAGGGAUGACUCAGUAAGUCCAAGGAGGAACUCGGCGAGUCCGAGCGGGAUCCGGGUCGAGGAAUAAGUGAACGACUCGGCGAGUCGGCCAAGGAGACUCGGUGAGUCUGGUCUGUACGAGGAAAUCCCUAAAUUUGGGACUUGGAGCCUAUUUAAGCGCCUCAUUCUCUUCCCUAGGGUUCCUCUACUGCCUCUCUAACCCAGAACACCAAACCCUAGCCGCCAUAUCCGUUGUUGAGCCAAUUAUUGCUUUGAAGAGUGCAUUAAAGCUUGGAGAAGGAAGAAGGGCCUUGGAGGUGCAAGAAGGAGCUAUAGAUCUGGGCUUGGGAAGAUAUUUCUGAACAUUUAAAGGUAAUAAACUAGUUCUUGGAAUCCUUUGCACCAAGAUCUAUGUUGAGUUUUGGGGCUUUUGGCCAUGAUUGGUAUCCAUUUGAGUUAGAAGCCAGAUCUAAAGUUGGAACUUCGGAUCUAAGCAUAUUUUGGCCUUGUGAAGCAUAAAGUAUCAGCCCUUGAGUUGAUUAUGGAGCCUCUUUGCAUUAAACCCUAUUUUAUGGUGUGUUUAGCCUAGAUCUCCUUCUCUACACGUAAAGUUUGCAACUUUACGUGAGGAAUAGGCUUGGGAAGGGUAGAUCUACAGUUUGGGGUCCAUGCAUGACUCAAAAGUCCUCUACAUGUAUGUAGAUCUGAAUGGACUCGACGAUUCCUUUGAGUGGACUCGGCGAGUAGCAUGAAGAUUAGGAGGAAUUUGACGAGUGGGAUAAACAGCUCGUCGAGUCAGAUGAAGUUGGGCAGGAACUCGGCGAGUUGGAAGAACAACUCGGCGAGUCAGUUGAAGAUUGCCUUGGACUUGGCGAGUCUGUUCUUGGACUCGGCGAUUCAGGUCACGAAACCCCAAACCCUUCGAGUUGAGACUCGAAUCAGUGAGUCGAGUGGAGACUCGGUGAGUUGGACAGGUCAGGACUCGGAAAUCGGUAGACUCGGCGAGUCGAGUCGCGAUUGGAAGGACUUUGAGCAUAUGAACUCGGCGAGUCAAUAGGUAGACUCGGCGAGUAGGGUUGACCUAGAAGAUUGACUUUGACCAGGACUUUGACUUUGACCAGAGUUGACUUAGUUGACUGUUGGGGGUCAGUUAGUCUAAGUGUUUCAUUGAUAUUGGUAGCUCGGGGAGCUAGUGGAGCAGGAGUUCAGAGAGUUUCUGGGCAGCAUCCAGAAGGUUAUCAGCAUGUUCAGCAAGUGCAUGUGAGUUUCCCUUUGUGCCAAUGGGUCUACGGUCACAAUGUCGGCCCAUGUAGUUAUGAGUAGNGGAAGGUUGACUUUGACCAGGACUUUGACUUUGACCAGAGUUGACUUAGUUGACUGUUGGGGGUCAGUUAGUCUAAGUGUUUCAUUGAUAUUGGUAGCUCGGGGAGCUAGUGGAGCAGGAGUUCAGAGAGUUUCUGGGCAGCAUCCAGAAGGUUAUCAGCAUGUUCAGCAAGUGCAUGUGAGUUUCCCUUUGUGCCAAUGGGUCUACGGUCACAAUGUCGGCCCAUGUAGUUAUGAGUAGAAGACCCGGGGGUUAGCCCUAGGCACAGUAUGCUAGUAUGAUAUUCGGGACGAGGUCCAAUGAUAGAGGGCGGGUGCCCAAGGAAUGGUUUAUGUGAUAGUUUAUACUUGUUGUCUGUGUGAUACUUGUAUGUGCCUGGUAGGGAGGUGAGUGUGGGCGAGGUCCCGUAUCUCACCAAUAGCAGAGUGUGGAUGGUGUUCCACAUCUCAGUAGCAGCAGAUCAGGGGCGAGGCCCAAGUUAGGGAAGGAGUGAGGGUGGGCUGGGCCCGUACCUCACUAUCAGCAGGAGUAUGGACGGGGUUCCAUGACUCAUCAGUAGCAGGACAAGGGCGGGGCCCAGAGAUAGGCGAGGCCUUAGGACAAGAUCCGUUAGUAUGUGUUUAGCUUAGGUUAUGUGAUGUGAUAUGUUUAUGUGCUAUUAUAUGUUAGUGGGCGAGGCCCUGUGACAGGCGAGGCCUAAGUGAAACAGAUCUGUAUCCGAGCGGGGCUCGAAGCCAGGCGGGGCCUGGAACGGUGAGGCCGUUAUAGCGGGCGAGGCCCGAGGUAGGGGCGAGGCCCAGGUUAGCGGGCGUGGCCCAGUAUGUGCAGUAUAUGGUUAUGCAUGGUAUGUGGUAGGGUGGGGAACUCACUAAGCUUCGUGCUUACGGUUUUCAGUUUUGGUUUCAGGUACUUCCGGUAGCGGAGGGAAGAGCUCGGGGGUGAUCGCAUGACACACACCAUAGAUUAGACAACCUGGGAAUGUUUUACUCUGAUAAUGAACAUGUGUUUUGGAAAAUUAAUACUCUGAUUAUGUUUUGAAUUGGUGACCUUGCUUAAAGAAAUGUUUUAUUAAAAGAAAUUUUUAGUCAUGAAUUUUGGGACGUUACAAAGUACAUUAAUCCUUGGUACAAAUAUUACAUCAACAAAAGUUAUCUCUAAGCUUUCAUGAAAUUGAAGACCUUAUGCCUAACACAACCAUUGUAUCUAGAUAAGAUUUUCCUACUUAUUUACUUUGUUGUGUGCAAAUAUUAAUACACUUGACUUAAGCAUCACCAACAUUUGGACAUAAUUGUUGACGUUGAGGUGGUUGGUUAGAGCAUUAGUCAACUUUAAUAUUCAAGUGAAGACGUAUCAAAUACAAGUGAUUGUAGUUCACUCCUAUAGCAACAAGAGGAGCAGAGGCUUUAAGUAGUUUAUCCAUUUCAACAUGAAACUCUUUUCACACAUGAACGAUCUUAUGACACCUGUCAAAUGCCUCUUAAAAUAUACAAUCAACACUUGGUCAGUAGCUUUCUUCUCUGUGGCCAGAACCAUGACCUCUUCAUUUCCCUAUAUUAAUGAUGACAGGUUCAUAAACUAAAAGGACUGUAAAGUCAAAAUAGUUGACAUUAUGUUGACAUACCUAGUGGUGUGAAGAGAAGAAUAAAUAGAAUGUUUGUAAUAAACCCGCUUUCUUGGGUGAGGAAACCAUGACACUUGUUCAGAAAUGAAACAUCCCAACUAGCACCUAACGACUUUUGCUACAUUGAGAUAUACUAGCAAACAACAUAAGCAAAUCACAUGGAAAAUUAUUACAAUUAAUAAAACUCAUAAAUAAAGUGGUAAAAACAGCCUUGCACACACUCUUGAUUAAAAAAAUAGUUUAUAUUAGUGUAACAUCCCGAUUUCUCGAUAUCAGUUUAAAGUUCUAGAGUCAUGUUUCAAAGACAACUCGACGAGUUGAUAGGCCAACUCGUUGAGUAGUGACCAAAUCAGCCAUGUGGAUUUUAGACCCUACUCGUCGAGUUGGAGGACCCGACUCGACGAGUAGGUGCUGGAAAGUGAAAACCAUAAUUUUUAGGGUUUGCACCCUAUUUAAAGGUCCUUAACUUUCCUCCUCAGCCUCCCUUGUCACCUUCACGUCCAAAAAAACCAACUAGUCUCUAUUCUUGAGUGUGUGAGACCAAAAGAGAGUGUAUUGGAGCAUUCUUAAGGAGUUAAGAGCUUUGAACAAGGGAUAGCUUGUAGAUCCAACUUUUCCAGUGUUGUGACAACAAUAUUGAGUUAUAAAGCUACCACCUUUAUAUUUCAUUGCUUAGAUCUUCCUUUUUGGUAAAGUAAUUGUCAUGUCUAGGGCAUGAUGGGGUCACACUCGGAUUUAAGCUUGCCACAAGGGCAUAGUUUUAGAACUUGACUUCUUAAGGCCUUAUGAACAUAAAUCCUUAAGCUUUAUGAAGCCCUAGCCCUCCUUCAUGUCCAAAACCUUCUCCUAAUGCUAAUUAUGAGUGUUUUAGCUUCAUAGAACCAUGCAUGCAUGUAAAGUUAGCAACUUUAUGUGAUAACAACACCCUAGGAGCAUAGAUCUACUGUUUGGAGCUUUGGAGCAGCUUAAAAUAGUCUGAAUGAGUGAUGGACUGAAGGAGACUCGACGAGUUUCAUGGUUGAAUCGAAGAGUCGGUUGAAGAUUGCCCAUAAUGGUUUUGCAUGGACUCGGCAAGUCAGUAAGAAGACUCGACGAGUCAGUUAGGGUUCUUCCUGACAUUUAGACACGCGUAGACUCGCCGAGUUGGUGGGGAAACUCUGCGAGUUGGCCCAGGGAUUUCACGGUUUUCUGAGUUUUGGAGGAACUCGAUAGGUCAGUAGUUGGACUCGACGAGUUGGGUCAACAUGGACUGUUGACCUUGACUGUUGACUUGGAGUUUGACCAGGGUUAACCAUGUUUGACUUUGGAGGGUAUUUGGUAAAUGGGUAUUUAAGGAAAUGGAUCAUGGGUGGAUAUAGGUAAUGGAGUUUGGGGCAGUAUUUUGAGAGCGUGAUUUCGUGGUUUAGUUCGGCAUUGCAAGGUGAGUUAUCCUCACUAUAUCAACAGGGUCUAAGGCACCAAGGUCAGCCCUUUAUCUGAUUUGUAUUCGGGUAUUUGCUUGAUAUGUUUUUUGAUCUGCUAGAUCUGCAUCCUGGUAGUUAGGAUGGUAUUAUGUUUAGUGACCUGGUUUAGGUCAGUAUCCUGGUAUAUGGGAUGAUGUUAUGUUAGUGACCGGUUAGGUCGGUAUCCUGGUUAUAGGACGGUUGUUGUGUUAGUAAUCAGUUAGUUUGGUAUGAUUAUCUGUUGUAUACAUGCUCGCGUAUAAUAUUUAUGUGCACAUGAUUGUUUGAUUGUUAUGGGGGUUGGGUUGAGGCGGGUCCUGCUUCGUGUUGUAGGCCAACAUACCCAUGGCGGACCGGAAAGACUACAGGCCCAGGAAGGCACAUUGUCCAACCAAUGGCCCAACGAGCGGUCCGGAUAGGCUGAAGGCCCCGAGAGGGUGGUCCAAACGUGCCGAGGCUCGGAGAGUGGGCCAGGUGGACUGAAGGCCCGGUGCGGGCGGUCCAGUCAUACUGUAGACUCAAAGAGUGGACCAGGUGGACUGAAGACCCAGUGCGGGUGGACCAGUCACACAGUAGACUCGGGAUGCAUGGCUGUUCAGUGUUUGUUAUAUGAUAUGAUUAUGGAUUGUAUGAGGUUGGUAUUUUGGGGGUAACUCACUAAGCCUUCGAGCUUACGUUUAUCAAUUUAUGUUUCAGGUACAACGAAUUAACCCAGGAAGACGAAUGUGUGAUCGUACACUUCCCCAUAAUAUGUUUUGGAUUUUCUGGGAUACUCUGAUGUGAAACUAUUUUGGAAACCUUUUUGUAAUAACUAUUGGCAUUUGAAAUGUUUUUAAAAGUUUAAAUUUGGCUUGGAUUUUAUGGGUGUUACAAUUAUUUCAAUUAUCCAAGACGAUUUUAUGUCGAGAUUUUAAGUUAACAUUAAAUCUCAAUUAUUUGUUUGAAUGAUUUUUUUCUUUUAUCUUAGAGAUUUGUUUGAAAUUUAUUAAUUUUUUUUAUAAAUUUGAAUUAAUCAAAGACACAUAUAAAAAUAUCUCAUCAAAUCAAAUAAAUUUAAUAUAUAAAAAAGAUAGUAUCCGAUUAAGUCAAUCUAAAAAUACCAACAUAUAAAUAUAACUCACAAAUCUUGAUGGGAAUAAGAAUCAAACUCAAAAUCAAUCAAAUAAAAAAACCUUUGAUUUGUGUUAUAAGUAUAAAAUAAAUCAGGAUUCCAAAUAAAUAUUACAAUGAAAAAAAACCUAAAAUGUUUGAAACAAAAUAUGAAAUUCGCCAUCACUGUCAAUUUAAAAAAAAAACCUUUAUUAAUACUAAUGGGCUAUUUGGUAGCAUCCUGAUGAAUCAUAUCUGAAUGAUCUAGAUGCCUGGAUGAUCUAGAUGCUCUUUAGGAAUUUCUAUCGGAAUGAUAAAAUAAUGUUUGGUUAGGCAUCUAAAUAUCUGCCUCUUAAUGAGGAAAAUAACCAUUUUAGCCCUCUAAAUUAUUUUUUGAAUACAAAAUAAACAUUAUACAAUAUCCAACAAAUCGGUUAAAACAAAUUGGCUUUUGAUAUUCAGAUUCAUGUGUUUCUUCAUCAACAAUCUCUUUGAAGAGGACUCGUUUUGUUUCUGUUUUUAGAUCAUUAGGCUUUCUUGCUUCUGGAACAUUGAUGGGCCUAUUUUCUUGCUGAAUAUCUUCCAUCACUAGCAACUUCAUCUUGCUCCUAGAUCACAUAUCAACUAAACAAGUUGAAAAAUAACCAAACACAUAUUUUCAUAUAGAACAUUUCAAGCAAACACAAACACAUUUUCAAAAAAAAAAAAACAAAUCAAUUGUUAUUUUCAGAUUUCCAAAGGACAAAAACAACAUCAACUGAACACAUAUAUAGAGCAAGAAGAACAAAGCACAAAAAUCGAUUUCAUACAAAAUCGAGCAGCAAGAACACGAUUGACACCAAUUUCAUGCAAAAUUGCUCAACAAUAACACGAUUGAAGCAACAGAUUCGAGAAAAAAAACCAUACCUGAAAACUUACCGACGACGAGUAGGCGGAGAAGUAGGAGCGUUGUCGAAGGCAUGCAAGGGGAGGCGGCGACGGAGCCAAUAAUUGGAAGUUGUCAACGCUUAAUGAAGAUAAAGAAUGAGGGAUGAAAGGUCGAUCUCUAGAAAGAAGGAGAAGAAAAAAGAGUCGGCCGCAAUUUGUUGUUAGGGCAAUGGUAGAAGAUGAAAAUUUUUUUAUUCAGACUUCUCCUCAUAUCUUAACGAAUCAGAUUAGUUUUAGCUACAUCUGACCGAUUAAGAGCGUAAAAAUGUUUCAACCAAACACUCUGAAUCUUAAUGAUCCAAAUGCAACCUCUUAAUGAGACCAUUAAGAGGCAAAACAAACAGCCCCUAAAUAAAAAAAACAAUAUAGUUUCCAUAAAAAUCGAUUUAAAUAUUAAAGAAGAGAAGAAAUCAGCAUUUAUACGACGUAAUAGUUUUUUAAAAUUAAAAAAAAAAAAUUAUUCAUAUUAUAAGUAUAAAAUACAUUUUAUUCUUAACUCUCAUUUGUAAUUUGCCAUAUGUUUUCAUAAGAGUUUAUGGUAAUAACUUAAAUUUUUAUUUUUCCAUAUACCAUUUUUCAUUUACAAAAUUGUUUGUGCUUAUUUUUUUUUGUUAUAUUAAAAUUUAUUAUAUUUUAUUAUAUAAUAUAUAUCAUAAUUUUUUUCAUUAAUUUACAUAUAUCUUAUUUUUACGUGUUUAUUUGAAACAAUCGUUAUAAUGCAAAAUAAAUACCACUUCUCCAUAUUAAUUAUUAAUUUUUAUUAAAAUACUUUAUUAAUUAUUAUAAUUUUUAUCUAUUGAUAUUCGUUUAAUUUUGUAAGUUUUAUUUUCACAAAGUAUAACCUAAUUAAUUUCUCAUCAUCUAUAGUAAAUGAAAGUUUUUUUUUUCACAUGCAAUCACUAAUUAAUUUUGACACUUGUCAUUUUAUAAUAUUUUUUAAAUAAAUAAUAUCCACAUAUCAAUUUAUGAUUUUUNNNNNNNNNNNNNNNNNNNNNNNNNNNNNNNNNNNNNNNNNNNNNNNNNNNNNNNNNNNNNNNNNNNNNNNNNNNNNNNNNNNNNNNNNNNNNNNNNNNNNNNNNNNNNNNNNNNNNNNNNNNNNNNNNNNNNNNNNNNNNNNNNNNNNNNNNNNNNNNNNNNNNNNNNNNNNNNNNNAUCAAAUGUAAUAAAUAUUAUUUUAAAAUUUCAUUUUAAAAAAUAUUUAUUAUUACAUUUUAAUAUUUUAUAUUCUUUAAUCAACCGUGUAAUACAUUUUAAUACAUAGAUUUUCCAUCUAAUAAAUAAAUAAAAUGUAACCAUUUUAAUCACUAAAUAAUUAAUCAACCAAAGAUUAAAACCCACUGAUAAAAAGGAAACUAAAUCAACACCAAAUUGAAAAUUAAACCAUAUAUUACUAAAUUAAUUCACAGAGAGUUCGACAUCAAUCAAAUAUUAUCUCGCACUCAAAUUCACAAAACUCACUUUCCAGGUACAAAGUUUGUAGCAUAUGACCAUGCAUUGUUUGCAACAGGGUCAGCAAGGUGGUCAGCGAGGUUCUCCAAUGGUCCCUUUCCGGUAACAAUGGCUUGAACAAAGAAUCCAAACAUAGAGAACAUGGCUAGUCUACCGUUCUUGAGCUCCUUCACUUUCAGCUCAGCAAAUGCCUCUGGGUCAUCAGCCAGACCCAAUGGGUCGAAGCUACCACCAGGGUAAAGUGGGUCAACUACCUCACCAAGAGGUCCACCAGCAAUUCUGUAACCUUCAACUGCACCCAUCAAGAUCACUUGGGUAGCCCAGAUGGCUAAAAUGCUUUGUGCAUGGAUCAAACUUGGGUUCCCCAAGUAGUCAAGACCACCCUCACUAAAGAUCUGGGAUCCAGCCUUGAACCAUACAGCCUCACCAAACUUGACACCAUUACGCGCCAAGAGUUCGGGGAAGACGCACCCAAGAGCUCCGAGCAUGGCCCAUCUGCUGUGGAUGACCUCAAGCUCACGGUUCUUGGCGAAUGUUUCAGGAUCAGCAGAGAGCCCAGCAGUGUCCCAACCGUAGUCACCGGGGAACUCACCGGUCAGGUAAGAUGGGGCUUCGCCGGAGAAUGGGCCAAGGUACUUAACACGGUCGGGGCCGUACCAUGGACUUCCUGAUGGUGCGACUUUCUUGACUGCUGUCUUCCUCAUGGAAACCCUUCCAUUUCCGAUUAUUUCUGAACCAGAUGGUGCUGCUUUCACUGCCUGUCCGACGAAAGAAGAAGAUAGAGCCAUGGUGGAAGCUGCCAUUUUUGUGAGAUUUAUUUUGAAGAUGUUGUGAUGGUUAUACUUAUGAAGAUGGGUAGAACUGGAAGUAGAUUUAUAGGGUAGUUUUUGGAUCAGAUAGGUGAUCAAUGCUUAUCUUGAUACAAUCUUUAGCUUCAAUUUGAUUGGCUACAGAGAUUCUUGUGGGUCCGUAAUCUGUGGUGUGAGUUCUCUGGCCCCCCUGAGAUAUUUUGAAGGGGCAGGAUAUUCGUGGCUCUGGUUUAUUGAGCCAAUGACUGGCUUUCACUCACUACUCUUAGUGGUGGUUUUUUAUAAUAUGCUGUAAGCUUGUAACCAUCCAAUCGUCUAAGUUUAUAACUGACCUAUUAUUACAAAUAUAUACUAACCAGGCAAAACUUUUGGUUAUAAAAGUUAAUGUGACCGAGAGACUAACACAAAAAAUUAUAACAGGAGUAGUUAAUAAUCCGCGAUUUACCGCUAUGCCGAGAGCCGUAGGGAGGAUCCACCAUUUACCCCUAAGUGUGCAGAAUGCCUUUUUUUUUUUAGUAUUAAAAUAUCAAGAUCGGACACGCGUUGUAAAAUUCUUGUUCGAAUUGUUUGCAAACUCUUCGUCACAAUAAGGGGAGUUUAAAUAUGCGUUUUAAUAUAAUAACAUUGGCAUUGAUUAAAUGUUAAUAUUCAAUUAUCAUCCCACAUGAGAAUGAAAUAUAUUAAUGAUUUAUUAAUCUAAAAACAUUAUCAUCCCACAUGAGAAUGAAAUAUAUUAAUGAUUUAUUAAUCUAAAAACAAUUUUUUUAUGUCAUUAUUUUUUGGGGUUACAGUCGAGCUUGGAGGAUCUCGACUUUAGGUAUGCCCAUUUUAUUGAGAGGAAUUACUAAUAAAUUUCGGAAAGAGGAAAAAAAUAUGAUCGUGGACAUAUGGUUUAGGAAUAUUUUCAUGUUCGUUUGACACAAGUAAAGUUCUUGAAAUGGGUGCUUCAGUUUGUACGAGCGGCUAACUUGAUAAAGUUCAAAGACAUAAAGGCAAUUUUCAAAAACUCACAUGAUCAGUUAUCGAACAAGCAUGUCGUACUAGUGUGCCCACUACACAUGUUAGUUAGCGGUUUCAAUAGGAAAAGAGCAUCAUUAGCUGUCAAUGAUAAUAUUCUUUCUCUAGUACUCGAUCCUUACGACUUUUAUAUUUAUAUCAUGUAAUUUAGAAUUUAAUUUAAUUUCUAUUAAUCUUCGAUUACAGUUUAUGUGAUCUAAUUCAUGGAUGUUUUGGCACUACAUAUCUCAAUGGAGUAUGCCAGGGAAAUUUUGGUCAUAACAACAGCCUCCAUGGGUUUAUAUAUAUUUUUAAGGUACAUAUAACAUCCUAUUUUUAGGCUUAGAAAUUUUGGUCAUUUAUAGUGAAAAUAAUUUUUUUUAAUAAAAAAAUAAAAAAGGAAAAAUAAAAAUAAAAAGAAUGACUGAAUGAAUACAUGAGCUAAUAAAAGGUUUAGAUCAAAUGUUUAAAGAAAAUAGCGAAUUUAUACUUAAAAUAGGAAAUAAAUAAGGAAGGGUCAGUGGUGGCAACUUUGGAAAACUUGUUUAAUUUAGAUCUAACUAGACAAUUUAUUUGUAAAGAGUUAAAAAUGUAACGAAAUGAUACUUAUAAGCUUAAGAGGGAGUUUUUCAGUUGGAAAUGUUGUUAGAAACCCUUAUUGGAAAAAAUUAGGACAAAAGGACUAAAAUUGUCAAGUUGAUGAAACUUGUGUUAACCUUAAUGUAACGACCCUAAAAUCUUAAAUUAUGUGUUUAAUUACUUUGUAUCAUUUUGUUGAAAAAUGAACAUUAAUGAUGCAAUAAUCAAUUUGUUAGUAAAUUUCAUUGUAUAUCCUUACAUUUAUCAUGUUAUAAUCGAAAAUAUAGGACAUUUCAGCAAAAAAUAACCCUGUAGGAAAGUCGCAUUACACCUCGAUAUAUUCGUGUGGAUAUAAAUUCUAUGAAAAUCCAAAUUUGUAUGACGAAGUUAUAGUCAAUAUAAGUUGGAAGUACAAAUUUUAAUGUUUAAAUGUGUAUGUUNNNNNNNNNNNNNNNNNNNNNNNNNNNNNNNNNNNNNNNNNNNNNNNNNNNNNNNNNNNNNNNUAUAUAUAUAUAUAUAUAACAUCUCAAAACCAUAAUAACCAUAACAUAAAAUCAGAGUUUCAAAACAUAUUAUCUCUCUAAACCAUAACAAUCACUGGAUGAUGUGUAGAGUCACGUGUAACAUCUCGUUUAAAAUUAGAUAAAUAAAAUAAAAUAAGUAAAUAAAUUAGAUAAAAUAAGUAAAUAAAUAAUAAACCCUAAAACCUCAAGAUGAAUUUUAUAUUUUUAUGUUAGCCUUAAAUCCAUAAUAAUUAUCAGAGUAUUAGCGCAAUAAGUUAAAUGUUAUUAAUUCUGGAAAUAGGGGUUUAAAAUGUAAAUUUCGAACUAGUUAAGAAUAGAUUUGUGGAAGCUGGGGAUUGUUUGGUAAUUUGGACUUGAAUUGAAAGGAUUAUUGGAAACAGGUAUAGAGUAAAUUACAGAUUUAAUUUGUAAAGGAAUUGAGAUGGAGGGACUGAAAAUAUAAGAAAGGGACUAAUGUUUGAAGAGAUAGGCAUGACUUAAACCCAUUCCCCCUCCACCCUCUUGCUACUCGGUUGCACCCAUAUAAACCCUAACCCUAAUAUCUUCUCAGCCGCCACCUUAUCCCUCCAUAUCUCCAGUCGCUUCCAUCACCUGUGUCGCCGUCAUGAACCACUGAGCACCACUGCCGCUGCUCCCACUGCCGAUGAAAACGAAGAUCAACGUUUGGACACCGUGACAGUGGGGAAGUAGGAAGAAAGGAAGCUCGUGGUUGUUAUUGCUGUUAUUCUCGGUUAGGGGUCGCAAAACCUUUCUCUUCUCCGUUUCCUUUUGUUGCUACGUUGUCAUCGUCAUCGCUCCAUGUGAGGGUGGUUGUGUUUGUGUUUUGUGAGUGUAGGUGUGUGUUGCUGCUGUGGCAAGUUGGAGAGGUGUGUGUGUCUUUUGUUGGCCAGAAAAACGAAGAGAAUCACCAUGGCAACCAACCAUGGUGGUUUUCACCGUUCUGGAGCCACUAGCCACCACCCUAGGUGGCUGUGUGUGUUGGAUUGACAUUUCUUCUGUACCAGGAUGCUUUUGAUAGUGUUUGGCCUAAAAUUAUAACUACCACCAUUAAAAAGUGGUGGCUGUCGCCUCCUACCGCCAUGGACCGCCGCCGACCACCAAUGCCCGAGGUGGCAGUGGGUGGUGUCUGACUUACUAAACAUUAAAUAACCUAAACAUCUAACCUUAGACCGAGUGGUACGUGUUUGGGUUGGAAACUCUUACUAGGCUUUAGAAAAUCCUAAGGUCAAGAAAACCCUAGUUUUGGAGUUUUGUCGGGACCCGCGUUGAAGUGUUAAUUGAACUUUAAUUAUACUCGAUAAGGCCCUACGAUUAACUUAAUGCAGUAUUGAACUUAAUGAAUUAAGUCCUUAAGGGGUUAUGUGUGGAGCACUAACCCUAGUUAUCAUUUUAUGUGGAAACCCUAAAAAUCAAGAAGCCUUAUUUUCGGCAAUGAUCAGGGCACAUAUUUGGGAUAUUCCUUGGAUUAUUAUUAUACCCGAGAAUGAAUAUGUCAAACCUUAAUCACUCCUACUUUUAUUUGAUUAAGUCCUUAAUGGGUUAAGUGUCCUUACUUAACCCUAAUCGUCAUUUUAUGUGGAACCCUAAUCACUAUUUCAUGUGAGGUAGUCACUGCUGCAAUUGACGAUGACUUGUGAUCGAGUAUUGAAUCAAGUAUCUUCCUGUAGGUGAUUGGAAGUGAGUUGAAGCUGGUAGAGUUCUUCGUUACUACGGUGGUUACCUACUAGCAUAUCGAGCUGAGUUUCACCUCACUGUGUUAGAUCUAUAUGCACAAGAAUCAUUAUUCAGUGACAUUGCUAAUAACAUAUGAUCCUAUAAGGUCACACUUUAAUCAAGUUGGUACUUAUUGAAUAUUUAUUAAGUAUUUUAUAAUUAAUAAUAAAAGUUCAACUCAUGUAUUUAAUUAAAGAAAAUUUAUUGUUUUGUGAAAAUAAUAAUAAAUGAAAGACUAACUANAUAUAUAUAUAUAUAUAUAUAUAUAUAUAUAUAUAUAUAUAUAAGUCAUGUACAAAGUUUUGGACACUUUCACCAAAGAUUGACAAACUAGCUAGUUAAUUAAGUGACUAAACAAUAAACUAGAAAAUCCAAUGGACCAUUUUAGUCCUUAAAACCAUGGGUUAUCAAGGCGAGGAGGUUGAAAGUCAACCUCCAACAUUCUUGUCCCCCAUGUUUGUUCAUUACCUUGCAUGUAAUACACACCAUGAUCAUAUUAUAUAAGGCUAGUUGUUUUAUCACUAUAUGACUAGAAGAAAAAAAUCAUUUACACUUUCAUCCAUAGAAUUGUAGGUUCUCUUGGCUUCUCCCUAUCUCUCACUUGAAGUUAGUUCUUGGUUUUUUAGAGUUCGUCUUUUGUGUCUUCCUUUUACACUUAUUAUCUAUGUGCUUAAGGCUUAAAGAGAAAAAUAUUAUACAAGAAGAAAUCUAGCAAUUUUGGUACCUUAUUCUUGUUGGUGGAUUACUUGUAGAGAAGAUCAGACUUGUUGUUCUUGCCAUCUACUUCAACACCCCAAAUCUAAGAGGGUCCAAAGUCUACGAAGGUUGUAUUUUCUAAACUCCCUAUGGUUGUUAUAAUAUCAUUCUAAGCACUUUAAAAGGAUCCUUGAUGGUUUGUUUUGUUUUCAAAUUUAUAAGAAAUUUUUAAAGCUUCCGUUGCCAGUUUUUGUGAAAAACUAUUUAUUUUAUGCAACAAACCCCUUCAGUUGUAACACUAUAAAUUUUCAAACAAAAUUUCCAUUUUUAAAACACACAAAUCUUAAAAUCACAUUUCUCAAAAAUCACAAAUGUAUCAAUUGUAAGAAUAUCCCAGAACCCUCAAACAUAAUCUCGAACAGGUGUGUACAAUCAAGUCGGCGCCUUACCGUGAUUCUGAGAAGUACCUGAAACACAUAACACACAACAUAGUAAAAACGAAGCUUAGUGAGUUCCCCAAAAUACCACAUACACAAAUAAUAAGCCACUCAUAGCUAUAGCUCGGCAUGGACCUUCCAGUCAUGCGUCUCGGUGAGGACCCUCCGGUCUCACGGCUCGGUGUGGACCCUCCGGUCAUGUGUCUCAGUGAAGACCCUCAGGUUUCACAGCUCGAGUUGGACCCUCCAGUCCUGUAUCUUAGUGAAGACCCUCCAGUCUCACAACUCGGUUUGGACCCUCCGGUCCUAACUCAGUAAGGCACAAAAUAAUAUAGCAUAUAUGACAAAGACAAAAUGCAUAAUAUCACAUAACUCAGUAUAAGCACAUAGGACCAUCCGGUCGAUAACUCAAAUAAGACCCUCUGUUCACAUAGUAUUACCACUCAGGUAAGUAUAGUGAUAAGACUCGUCUCGGAAGUAAGCAAAUAGAUCUAGUACCCCACGAACAGUUUAGACUCCGCCUACAUAAUAUAAUUAUCUCUAAUAAGCAAUUUGUAAUAACCAUUCCGAGAUGUUAAGCUAGCUCCCCCACUAAAUCUCAAAAAUGGUGAAAAUACCAUUUUACCCCUCCAUGGUCUCUAAGGUCCACAGUUGACCAAACCCUAAAACUCAACGUAAGUCAACGCUCAAGUCAACAGUCCAUGUUGACUAAACUCGUCGAAUGCAUCCAUGCGACUCGUUGAGUACCGUCGUUUUCUCUGAAGUAUCGGGAAAAUCCAACUCAACUCGUCGAGUUGUCUCAUCAACUCGCUGAGUUGUAACGCAUUUAGACUAUCAGGGAAAACCCUAGCUGACUAGUCGAGUUGUCUCAUGCACUCGUCGAGUCCCUCUAUACAAAUUCUCAUUUAGACUAUUCUAAGCAGGAAUAAGGUCCCAAACUCUAGAUCUAGCCUCCCAAGGCUGAAAUACCAUGUAAAGCUGCAAGCUUUACGUCUAUGCAUGGAAUCUAGCGCUCAAAAUGCUAAAACAAGCUCUAUAUAGGGUUUAAUGCAUAAAAUCUUGCCACUAGCUUGAUAAAGCUUGGACCUUUGGGCUCAAGGGACCUCAUAUUGUCCAUAUCUGAAGUCUCAAAUUCAUGGCAGGCUCAAACAACUCAAGUACUCAAAGAAGGAUGGAAAAAGGCCCUAAAACUCCUUAGAAAAGAGAUCUAACCAAAUAAUGAUCAAGGUGGUAACUUUUUACCUUCAAACAGAAGCUAGAAAUGAAUAAGCACCAGAUCCAAGAGCUCCCUCUCGUCCCAAGCCUUUUGUUCCUCAAUCUUUCUCCAAAAAUGCACCAAAAUACACAAUAUUAUCCUCUCCUUCUCUCACACAUAGAUAUAGCUCGAUUAGGGUUUCUCUCAGAGUUUUAGGAUGAUAAGGGAGGAUGAAAUGAAGGCUUAAGGUCCUUUAAAUAGGACACAAACCCUGAAAAUUGGGGUUUUCUCACUCUGCUCCUACUCGUCGAGUUGGGGUCCUCCAACUCGUCGAGUAGACUCUAAAAAUCACGCAACCUUUAACUCCUCUACUCGGCGAGUUGGGGCAUCCAACUCGUCGAGUUGCUCUGACAUCAUAAAUGCAAAUUUAUUAAAUGUUAUAUAUGGGAGCAGGAUGGUACAUGUAACGACCCAAUUUUCAUGACCAAAAAUUUUGUUUUAAAAACAUUACUUUAGAAAAUAUUAAAAGCUAAAAACAUUGUCGGAUCAAAUCAUAACACAAGUGAACCAUGUCUAAAAGCCAAUUCAUACAUUCAAUCAAAAUAUCAGAGUACAAAUCCCAGUGAAGCUCGUAAAUGCGGAAACCGGAGAGUGUGUGUGUGACAUGCUGCUACCGCGCCGGCUCCUUUCCCCUAGCUGAGGAGGUACCUGAAACCAAAACUGAAGACUGUAAGCACAAAGCUUAGUGAGUCCCCCCGUCGUACCACAUACCAUACAAACACGUAACAUACAUACUGUCAGGCUAUUCUGGGGUGCCUGACUACCCGGUACGGCCGUUCUGGGGUGCCGUCCUACCCGUGUCAAGCCAUUCUGGGGUGCUGACUACCCGUGUCAAGCCAUUCUGGGGUGCUGACUACCCAUGUCAAGCCAUUCUGGGGUGCUGACUACCCAUCGGUCCUAACAACCGAUCCUCGGGGACUAGUCCCCUCUUACUACCUUUAUCUCAUAUAACAUAACAAGCCAGCAUGCAAUCAUAUCAUCACGUACUGUCAGACAUAUCUGGGGUGUCCGACCUACCCUUCGGUCCUAACAACCGAACUCUACAACUAUCACAUAUACAUAUCAUGCCAGCAUAUAACAUAUCAGGUAGUAGCAAACCUAGAUGAUAUCACAAAGACAAUCAUCUAACAUACAACUCCUACUGGUGGGCCGGCAUUGUGGCCGUAGACCCACCGCUACUGGAAGGUAACUCACCUCGAAGUAGCUGCUGAUCUGAUCGGGAACUGACUGCCUACUGCUGCUGCUGCUGCUCCGGAAAUCCUCCGGCUGCAAUUCCCACAACAUACUCAAUCAAACACUGCUCACUGACCUUUGGGUAAAAUGACCAUUUUACCCCUGAUCAUGCCCUAAGUCAAAGUCAGAGUCAACUUUCAGUUGACCCGACUCGCCGAGUUGGCUUUCCAACUCGCCGAGUCCCUACCCAAACGACUGCCCUGAAACCCGAUCCUACCCGUCGAGUUAGGCGACGACUCGACGGGUUCACCUUCUUAACCAAUAUUCAAGUCCUUCAUUCUACUCGCCGAGUUGUAUGAACAACUCGCCGAGUUCAUCUUCAUCCGAAGAACACUUAUGCUAAGACUCGCCGAGUUGUAUGAACAACUCGCCGAGUCUGUUCUUGAUCUAAGGAGAUUGCCUUGAACUCGCCGAGUCAGGGCAUUGACUCGCCGAGUACCUCCAUAGAUGAGUUAAGCUUCCGACUCACUGAGUCACACCCCGUGACUCACUGCUCACUCGACACUACGAAAAGGGGACAAACUCGGAGACUCGCGAACAGACUCGCCGAGUCAUAUGAACGACUCGCCGAGUCGUUGCCAUGCAUCCACUAAAUACACAGAUUUGCUCGAUUCCAGUCCAUGCCAUUCAUAGAUCUGGGCUUCUAGGACACGAAUCACACGUAAAGUUUCCAACUUUACGUGUGGAUAUUCACCAAUAUGGAUUUUAGGGCUCAAAAUGUCUCAAAAGGGUAGAUCUAGGGCUAACAAGCAACAUGGGGCCAUAAAGCUAACAGAUCUGAGCUCCUGGAGCUCAAUCUUGCCUAGAUCCAGAGGCCAAACAUCUUAUUACGACAUACAAUGCACAUACAAGCUUGGGGAUUUGACCAAGAAGGACCCAAAUGAAGUUUUAAGCAUAGAAUCAAGGGGAAAACGGGUUAUACCUCAAAGGAACUGCUGGAAGAACACAAAUAAUGCCUGGAUGGCUUCCCUUCUUCUGGAUCUACUUCCUUCCUCCUUCCAAACCUUCAAAAACACACACACUAACCUCAAACUCUCAAGGAAUAGCUUAGAACGAGAGAUA